GGAGCUCUGCGCCGCGCAGGUGGCUGGCUCCGGCUCGACGCGCCGGAGAUCUGCCGCCUCGCGCGGCUCAACCACGCGUUCCGCGGCGCCGCGGGGCAGACUUCGUGUGGGAGGCCAAGCUGCCGGAGAACUACCGCCACCUCAUCGGGUACGUCGAGGGCGGGGCGAGGAGGGCAGGCGCCGGCGCCGCCGGGCCGGCACCAAGGAGAUCUACGCCAGGCUCUCCAGGCCCGUCUCUUUCGACGACGGCACCAAGGUUAGAUAUUCUUCUACAUGAAUAUAGGUCCCUUUCCAUGUGCUUGUCUAUGAUUUUUUUUCUUUUUGCAACGCAAACAAGACCCCUCAUGAGCUUGUCUAUAUGAUUUUGGCCAAUCAGUUUUGUGCUUGAAUCAUUGUUAUUAUUUACCGAGUCUGAUGUCUUAAUCCACGUAUCUGUUUAGUACUAGCCAAAUAUUGACAUCUGAAUCGUUUCAGAGUUAAUUAGUGUCAAGGGGAAGAACUCAUCUAAAACUAUUUUGAAACAAUUUCAGCACCGAAAACUAUCUUGGUUCCCUUUUUAUCUAUAGGAGCUAGAACUAUUUUUAGUGCUAAAUGGUUUAUAUUUUGUGUGCUUUGUAAUUGCAGGAAUUUUGGCUAGAGAAGAGCAAAGGUAGGGUUUGUAUGGCGCUAUCCUCCAAAGCUCUGGUCAUAACUGGCAUCGAUGACAGGAGAUAUUGGACGCACAUGCCGACCACAGAAUCAAGGUAAAAACUCGAUCUCGCGCUUACAGUUUGUGCCAGAAAGAUGUGAUGUUUGGGUUGCAACUUGCAAUUGAAUGACGUAACUACAUACUUAAUGGCGAGAUUGAGCUGUUCGUCUUUUGUUGUAGAAGAUGGGACAGAGUUGGACUUGCACGUCUACUUCUGCAUUUUAGUCCAACUUGCACGUCUACUUCUGCAUUUUUCUUCCUCGGAGCACACAAGGCUUUUGAAAUUAUGCCCCUGUACAUUUAAUUGUCGCUGGUUUAGUCCAACUCUGUACCGAAUCAGCUACAAUUAAUAUGGAUUUGAGGGAGUACGCUGUUCUCAUUUCUUGUUUAAAAUACACUCACUUUGCCUGUUGCUCUGAUAGACACAUAAAUUCAACAUAGACGAGUGAUGUCUGCCUUUAUCUUACCAGUGCUAUCAAAACGUAACUUAGAUGUAGUCCUUCCAACUGAUGGCACGAGAAGUAUGUGCCUACUCUGCCAGUGGAAGAUAUUGACUCCUCACACAGAUGUAAUUAUAUUCAUCUGUGCAAUAUCUUUCAAUGUAAUUAUAUUCUAACACAGCAAAGAUGCAUGAUAUCUUGUUCCUAGAACGGUUAUCUGACCUAUGUGUACCCAUUAUGCUCAUGCAGGUUCCAGUCCGUGGCAUACCUUCAGCAAAUCUGGUGGUUUGAAGUGGUUGGAGAGCUUGAUUUCUGCUUCCCUGUGGGAACCUACAGUUUGUACUUCAGGGUUCAUCUCGGGAAGUUCAGCAAGCGGUUUGGACGCCGUGUUUGUAGCACUGAGCACGUCCAUGGUUGGAACAAGAAGCCGGUGCGCUUCCAGCUCUCCACCUCGGACGGCCAGAAUGCAUUAUCUCAAUGCUACCUGGACGAGCCCGGGAGUUGGGUUCUGUACCAUGCAGGCGAUUUUGUUUCCUCGAAGCCAGGCCAAUCACUUAAGCUGAAGUUCUCCAUGGCGCAGAUCGACUGCACGCACACGAAAGGUGGCCUGUGUGUCGACUCGGUGCUCGUGUACCCCAAGGGCUUUCAGCAGGAGAAGGUGGUGACCGGCAAGAUCUCGGAGAUGAGAUCGUAGUUGUAGUGGUGGUGGCGCUUGCACCGCUAGAGUUGUAGAGAAAAUGCAGCUUGCAGCCCAAUCCUAUUAUCAAGUUGGGCUCUAGUAUGCAACGGAUGAAACUGUCUGUGUAAAGAACUGUAGACUCAGGGUCUGUGUGGUGAGGUACGUCAGUCAGAGUGGUUUGUGUGUCGUCCAGUCUUCCCAUGGGUAAUUUUUUCUCUCCCUGGUGCUAAAUGAGACUUUGAAGCUACGGAUGCAACGGUUGUACUGAAACGAGAUCAGAGGUUUCGUUUCCAUGUUCCUGGUUUCUUGUUCCUUGUCAUAAACUUCUGUUUUCUUGCUGCUAUUAGCCUUAGUUAAGAUGACUGGAAGAUCUGUGGUACUUACUCUCCGUGUUGACUUGAUUAUGUUGUUGGAAUGGCCAUGUUUCUUUGUCCGGUCAGAUUUGGCAGGCUUGGAGAACUACAAUUAUUUAGGAAGGGAGGGAGGCGAAUGGCGUUUUGGAGGCCGAGCUUCAUGGAGGCCUUUAUUUUGAAAAUUUAAAUUCAAAUUUUUAUGGUUCAAAAAUUCUGAAAAAAAUAUGCAUGUAUGUAAGGAUGUAACCGACAUGUGUGUAAAAUUUCAGGUCAAAAUACUUUAAAACGUGAUAUGUACAAAAAGACAAAUUCAUGGUCUGAAAUGAUGAAUAGUAACAUGUGUUAAACAGCUCUUUUUUGCACAGCCCUCAUUUUAAGGUAUUUUGUUCUGAAAAUUUAUACACUUGUGUAUUAUACCUUCAUUUAUCUAUGUAUUUUUUCAGAAUUUUUUGGAACAUUAAAAUACAAUUUUUAUUGAAUUUGAAGAAUUUAAAGGCCUUCAGUGAGCUCGGGAGUAGCUUUGUGGUAACAUAACUGCAAAAUGCUACUACUAGCACUACUGACCUCAUGACUGAUCUAUCUACUUCAUGUUGUGCCAGUUCCCAUUCUAGGACAGGCAUUUUGCAAGUGUACAUGAUUACGUACCUAUAGUAAAAAGAAGUAAAGCGUGAAGGCAAUAAUACAUGUCGCUGCUGCUCGAUCCGUCUGGAAGUUUUCCCCAACCUUUUCGAAAUAAAUAGAUAAGGUUUUGCCUAAUUGGCAUACAUGGCUUUCUUCCGUUGUCUCGACUAUAUUCAGCUGUCACAUGUCCCCCUCGCAACUUUGUGGAUUCUCUCUUCUCUCUUUCAUCGUCACCGCCACGAUCUUCGCCCUUUGUUAAUCGCCAUCACAGCCACGACCUUUCACGAUUUGUUUAACACCAAAAAGCUUCACCUUUUCUUAAGUUUCUCUGAGGAAUCAACGGCGCUGGGUCGCUGUCCCGGGUUAGAUUAGAUACGCAGGGGAGACGCGAGUUUUCUAUCCCAUCUCACGGAUGCGAUCACACACACACACACACACCAAUUUUGCACGGUUGACGUCGCUAAUUCUUCUCACUUUCUUCCGAUCUCUCCAUAGAACAGAAACAUUUGAAUAUGGCUUCUGCUUUUCAUCAGACUUGUGGCCUGGGGCGGUGCUGCGCGCAUGCGCUCGAGUUGGUGCCCGGGGAAACAGAAGGGAUCCCAUGACGCGGCUCUCCGCUGGCGGCAUCGGCUUUCAGCGUGCCCAAGGUUUGGUUGGAUUCGCCGUGGUGCCCGCACCAUUUUCUAUGGCACCGGCAGACCAUCAUGAGGCUGGCUCUGCGCUCUUGCUUUGUCGUGUCGCCCCGGCAGUUAUGCCUGCGCCCCGAGCCGUCCGUUGGACCGACCAACCAUCGCUCUGUUGCAUGCGGUAGUGGUGCAGGUCGGGAGCUUUUGGGCGACGGGUGCACUGCUGACAGCCGUGACAGGGGACGGGGCCGGAGGCGUGCUCGACGCCAAGAGAUGAUCGGUUCGUGCGGACGGUGCUCACGGACGUACGCUUUUGACUCCAAGCGACCGCACGCAUGGGCAUACGGUUUGCCGUUUUUUACUUUCGAAUUUUGCCGGUUUCAGGGUUUAGAAUGAACGCACGCUUUUCCACGGUCAGAAGUGCAACGCGACGUCAACUGGACUUGUGGCUUUGGCAAACCACGACGCCGCGUCAAAACCCGCAUGUCUGGUUUCUGACUGUGGUAUACUCGACCAGUUUUCCUUGUCGUGGCAACGACUUUGAUCCUUGUUCGCGUGAUGCCAAAUGCCAAUUCUUUUCACGUGUCCAUGCAUACCACUUUUUAUUUAUUUUACUCACUGUAUAGUUAUAGUAUAGUAUGGUCUAAUAUAGUAUAGUAUCAUUUUGACCUUGGACACAUUAGGAGCACGCGCGUGUCCAUGCAGGCCACUUCUUUUCUCAUUACUCAUCGUGCAGUAUAGUAUUAUUUCGACCUUGGACAAAUUAGGAGCAAGCACCAUUGAACUUUUUACAUGUUCAUGCAUAGUUUUUAUUUUAUUUUACUCAUGCAUGUCACUUCUUUUUCUCAUUACUCACCGUGCAAUAUACUCCAUCCGUUCCAAAAUAUAAGAUCUUUUAGGUAUUUCAUUGAAGACUACACACGAAACAAAAUGAAUGAAUCUAUACACUAAAAUAUGUUUAUGUACAUCCGUAUGUAGUUUAUAGUACAAUCUCUGAAAGGUCUUAUAUUUAGGAACGAAGGGAGUAGUAUUAUUUCGACCUUGGACAAAUUAGGCCCUGUUUGGAACCAUAAUAGAUUAUAAUAAUCUGGUUUAUGAACAUAGAUUGUAUAAACUGGUUUAUAAAAAUAAUCUAGGUGGGCAUGUUUGGAGGCCAGAUUAUAUAAACUGUAAACCAGCUUUUAAAUUGUGCAAUGACAUGUUUGCCCUCUGUUUUUUUUGCGAUGGGAAAACGGUGCGGUGGCAGUACCUUGUAAAUAGCUCAAAGUUAAUAAGGGUAACAUGUCUUUAUUAAUCCAUAAUCUGAUUUUAGCUGGGUUAGAGUAGCUUAUGAGUUUUUAAUAAUCUGAUCAUCUAGUUUUAUAAUCUAUAGUAUAAACUGCCCUGUUUGAAAACAUAAUAGCUUAUAAAAACCAGAUUACAUAAACUGGAUGAAUCCAAACAGGGCCUUAGGAGCAAGCACCAUUGAACUUUUUACAUGUUCAUGCAUAUAGUUUUUAUUUUAUUUUAUUCAUGCAUGUCACUUCUUUUUCUCAUUACUCACCAUGCAGUAUAGUAUUAUUUCGACCUUGGACAAAUUAGGAGCAAGCAUCAUUGAACUUUUACGUGUUCAUGCAUAGUUUUAUUUAUUUUACUCAUUGUCUAGUAUUUUCUCUGUAGCUAAAUAAUUAGAGUUGAUUUAAAAAAAAAUCUAACUAUAAUUAUUUAGGUAUAGAGGAAGUAUGGUAUGGUAUAUUUUAUUUUGACCUUGAACAAAUUAGGAGCAAGCGUCCGUGACUUCAUGCACAUGCCUUAUUUAAACGUAUAGAUUAGUUUGACGGGGUUGGGGAUACCCAUACCCUGUGCUAUAUAAUUUAUUUAUUUUUCACGUGUCCAUGCAUGUCACUUUUUUUUCAUUACUCACUGUGCACUAUAGUUUUAUUUCGACCUUGGACAAAUUAGGAACAAGCACCAUUGACUCUGCAUGCCUUAUUUGAACGUAUAUAAAUUAUUUAANNNNNNNNNNNNNNNNNNNNNNNNNNNNNNNNNNNNNNNNNNNNNNNNNNNNNNNNNNNNNNNNNNNNNNNNNNNNNNNNNNNNNNNNNNNNNNNNNNNNGCUGCCUUGAAAAAGUUGUCUCAAAUCAGCCCUAAUUGCUCCAUUUAUAUAGGAGGAGGGAGGGGAGUCUUGCCUUGAGGCUCAAGGAGCCCCAAGGGCUGCGCGACUAAGGGAGGAGGAGUCCUCCUCCAGUCCUAGUCCAACUAGGAUUGGAAAGUGGAGUCCUUCUCUCCUUUCCCACCUCCUUUUUUUCCUUUCUCUUUGAUUUUCUAUCCUUGGCGCAUAGGGCCCUCUUGGGCUGUCCCACCAGCCCACCAAGGGCUGGUGCGCCACCCCAAGGCCUAUGGGCUUCCCCGGGGUGGGUUGCCCCCCCGGUGAACAUCUUGAACCCAUUCGUCAUUCCCGGUACAUUCCCGGUAACUCCGAAAACCUUCCGGUAAUCAAAUGAGGUCAUCCUAUAUAUCAAUCUUCAUUUCCGGAUCAUUCCGGAAACCCUCGUGACGUCCGUGAUCUCAUCCGGGACUCCGAACAACAUUUGGUAACCAACCAUAUAACUCAAAUACGCAUAAAACAACGUCGAACCUUAAGUGUGCAGACCCUGCGGGUUCGAGAACUAUGUAGACAUGACCCGAGUGACUCCUCGGUCAAUAUCCAAUAGUGGGACCUGGAUGCCCAUAUUGGAUCCCACAUAUUCUGCGAAGAUCUUAUCGUUUGAACCUCAGUGCCAAGGAUUCAUAUAAUCCCGUAUGUCAUUCCCUUUGUCCUUCGGUAUGUUACUUGCCCGAGAUUCGAUCGUCAGUAUCCGCAUACCUAUUUCAAUCUCGUUUACCGGCAAGUCUCUUUACUCGUUCCGUAAUACAAGAUCCCGCAACUUACACUAAGUCACAUUGCUUGCAAGGCUUGUGUGUGAUGUUGUAUUACCGAGUGGGCCCCGAGAUACCUCUCCGUCACACGGAGUGACAAAUCCCAGUCUCGAUCCAUACUAACUCAACGAACACCUUCGGAGAUACGUGUAGAGCAUCUUUAUAGUCACCCAGUUACGUUGCGACGUUUGAUACACACAAAGCAUUCCUCGGGUGUCGGUGAGUUAUAUGAUCUCAUGGUCAUAGGAACAAAUACUUGACACGCAGAAAACAGUAGCAACAAAAUGACACGAUCAACAUGCUACGUCUAUUAGUUUGGGUCUAGUCCAUCACGUGAUUCUUCUAUUGACGUGAUCCAGUUAUCAAGCAACAACACCUUGUAUAUAAUCAGAAGACCUUGACUAUCUUUGAUCAACUGGCUAGCCAACUAGAGGCUUGCUAGGGACAGUGUUUUGUCUAUAUAUCCACACAUGUAUAUAAGUCUUCAUUGAAUACAAUUAUAGCAUGGACAAUAAACGAUUAUCUUGAUACAGGAAUUAUAAUAAUAACUAUAUUUAUUAUUGCCUCUAGAGCAUAAUUCCAACAGUCUCCCACUUGCACUAGAGUCAAUAAUCUAGCCCUCACAUCAUCAUGCGAAUUACAUUGUAAUAAAUCUAACACCCAUACAGUUCUGGUGUUGAUCAUGCUUUGCCCGUGGAAGAGGUUUAGUCAGCGGGUCUGCUACAUUCAGAUCCGUGUGCACUUUGCAUAUAUUCACGUCCUCCCCUUCGACGUAGUCGCGGAUGAGGUUGAAGCGUCGUUUGAUGUGUCUGGUCUUCUUGUGAAACCGCGGUUCCUUUGCUAAGGCAAUGGCACCCGUGUUGUCACAGAACAAGGUUAUUGGAUUCAGUGCGCUUGGCACCACUCCAAGAUCCGUCAUGAACUGCUUCAUCCAGACACCCUCCUUUGCCGCCUCCGAGGCCGCCAUGUACUCCGCUUCACAUGUAGAAUCAGCUACGACGCUUUGCUUGGAACUGCACCUGCUUAAUGCACCCCCAUAAGAAUAAAUACGUAUCCGGUCUGCGACUUAGAGUCGUCCGGAUCUGUGUCAAAGCUUGCAUCGACGUAACCCUUUACGGCGAGCUCUUCGUCACCUCCAUACACGAGAAACAUCUCCUUAGUCCUUUUUAGGUACUUCAGGAUAUUCUUGACCGCCGUCCAGUGAUCCACUCCUGGAUUACUCUGGAACCUGCCUGCCAUACUUCUGACUAGGCUAAUGUCCGGUCUAGUGCACAACAUUGCAUACAUGAUAGAUCCUAUGGCUGAAGCAUAGGGGACGGUGCUCAUAUGCUCUCUAUCUUUAUCAGUUGCUGGGCACCGAGUCUUACUCAAUCUCGUACCUUGUAAAACUGGCAAGAACCCUUUCUUGGACUGUUCCAUUUUGAACCUCUUCAAAACUUUAUCAAGGUAUGUGCUUUGUGAAAGUCCUAUCAGGCAUUUCGAUCUAUCCCUGUAGAUCUUUAUGCCUAGAAUGUAAGCAGCUUCUCCUAGGUCUUUCAUAGAGAAACUUUUAUUCAAGUAAUCCUUUAUGCUCUCCAAAAACUCUACGUUGUUUCCAAUCAGCAAUAUGUCAUCCACAUAUAAUAUUAGAAACGCCACAGAGCUCCCACUCACUUUCUUGUAAAUACAAGAUUCUCCAACCACUUGUAUAAACCCAAAUGCUUUGAUCACCUCAUCAAAGCGUUUGUUCCAACUCCGAGAUGCUUGCACCAGUCCAUAAAUGGAUCGUUGGAGCUUGCACACCUUGUUAGCAUUCUUAGGAUCGACAAAACCUUCGGGUUGCAUCAUAUACAACUCUUCCUUAAGGAAACCGUUAAGGAACGCCGUUUUGACAUCCAUCUGCCAGAUUUCAUAAUCGAAAAAUGCAGCUGUUGCUAACAUGAUUCUGACGGACUUAAGCAUCGCUACGGGUGAGAAUGUCUCAUCGUAGUCAACUCCUUGAACUUUUGAAAACCUUUUGCCACAAGUCGAGCUUUAUAAACGGUCACAUUGCCGUCAGCGUCCGUCUUCUUCUUAAAGAUCCAUUUGUUCUGAAUAGCCUUGCGGCCCUCAGGUAGUACUUCCAAAGUCCACACUUUUUUUCAUACAUGGAUCCUAUCUCGGACUUCAUGGCCUCCACCCAUUUGUUGGAAUCUGGGCCCACCAUUGCUUCUUCAUAAUUUGCAGGUUCAUUGUUCUCUAACAACAUGAUUGACAAAACGGGAUUACCGUACCACUCUGGAGCAGCACGUGGUCUCGUCGACCUGCGUGGUUUGAUAGGAACUUGAACCGGAGUUUCAUGAUCAUUAUCACUAACUUCCUCCUCAACCGGUGUCGCAACGACAGGGGUUUCCCCUUGCCCUGCGCCACCAUCCAGAGGGAUGAGAGGUUCGACGACCUCAUCAAGAUCUAUCUUCCUCCCACUCAAUUCUCUCGAGAGAAACUCCUUCUCGAGAAAAGCUCCGUUUUUAGCAACAAACACUUUGCCCUCGGAUUUGAGAUAGAAGGUGUACCCAACUGUCUCUUUUGGGUAACCUAUGAAGAUGCACUUUUCCGCUUUGGGUUCCAGCUUUUCAGGCUGAAGCUUUUUGACAUAAGCAUCACAUCCCCAAACUUUAAGAAAUGACAACUUUGGCCUUUUGCCAUACCACAGUUCGUAUGGUAUCGUCUCAACGGAUUUUGAUGGUGCCCUAUUUAAAGUGAAUGCAGCUGUGUCUAAUGCAUAACCCCAAAACGAUAACGGCAAAUCGGUAAGAGACAUCAUAGAUCGCACCAUCUCUAAUAAAGUACGAUUACGACGUUCGGACACACCAUUACGCUGUGGUGUUCCAGGCGGUGUCAACUGUGAAACAAUUCCACAUUGUCUUAAGUGAGCACCAAACUCGAAACUCAGAUAUUCACCCCCACGAUCAGACCGUAUGAACUUAAUCUUCUUGUUACGAUGAUUUUCAACUUCACUCUGAAACUGCUUGAACUUUUCAAAUGUUUCAGACUUGUGCUUCAUUAAGUAGACAUAACCAUAUCUACUCAAAUCGUCAGUGAAGGUGAGAAAAUAACGAUAUCCGCCGCGUGCCUCCACGCUCAUCGGACCGCACACAUCGGUAUGUAUGAUUCCCAAUAAGUCACUGGCACGCUCCAUUGUUCCGGAGAAUGGAGUUUUUGUCAUCUUGCCCAUAAGGCAUGGUUCGCACGUGUCAAGUGAAUCAAAGUCAAGUGACUCCAAAAGUCCAUCGGUAUGGAGUUUCUUCAUGCGCUUUACACCAAUAUGACCUAAGCGGCAGUGCCACAAAACAUGGCGCUAUCAUUGUUAACUCUAACUCUUUUGGUCUCAAUGUUAUGUAUAUGUGUAUCACUAUCAAGAUUCAAUAUGAACAAUCCUCUCACAUUGGGUGCAUGACCAUAAAAGAUGUUACUCAUAGAAAUAGAACAAGCAUUAUUCUCUGACUUAAAAGAGUAACCGUCUCGCAAUAAACAAGAUUCAGAUAUAAUGUUCAUGCUCAACGCAGGCACUAAAUAACAAUUAUUCAAGUUCAUAACUAAUCCCGAUGGUAACUGAAAUGAAACUGUGCCGAUGGCGAUUGCAUCAACCUUGGAACCAUUUCCUACGCGCAUCGUCACUUCAUCUUUCGCCAGCCUUCGCCUAUUCCGCAGUUCCUGUUUCGAGUUGCAAAUAUGAGCAACAUAACCGGUAUCGAAUACCCAGGCACUACUACGAGAGCCGGUUAAGUACACAUCAAUAGCAUGUAUAUCAAAUAUACCUGAUUUUCUUUGGCCGCCUUCUUAUCAGCCAGAUACUUUGGGCAGUUGCGCUUCCAGUGACCCAUACCCUUGCAAUAGUAGCACUCUGUUUCAGGCUUAGGUCCAGCUUUGGGUUUCUUCAUCGGAUUGGCAACAGGCUUGCCGCUCUUCUUUGAAUUGCCCUUCUUGCCUUUGCCGUUUCUCUUGAAACUAGUGGUCUUAUUCACCAUCAACACUUGAUGCUCUUUACGGAGUUCGGACUUUGCGACUUUCAGCAUCGCAAACAACUCGCCGGGUGACUUGUUCAUCCCUUGCAUGUUGUAGUUCAACACAAAGCCCUUAUAGCUUGGCGGCAGUGAUUGAAGAAUUUUGUCAGUGAUAGCCUCUUGCGGGAGUUCAAUCCCCAGCUCAGCUAGACGAUUUGAGUACCCAGACAUUUUGAGCACAUGUUUCACUAACAGACGAAUUCUCCUCCAUCUUGCAAGCAUAGAAUUUAUCGGAGGUCUCAUACCUCUCGAUCCGGGCGUUCUUCUGAAAGAUAAACUUCAACUCCUGGAACAUCUCAUAUGCUCCAUGACGCUCAAAGCGACGUUGAAGUCCCGGUUCUAAGCCAUACAAGACUGCACAUUGAACUACUGAGUAGUCCUCCUUACGUGUUAACCAAGCGUUCUUAGCAUCCUGGUCAGCCGUAGCGGGUGGUUCAUCUCCUAGCGCAGCAUUAAGGACAUAAUCCUUCUUCCCAGCUUGUAGGAUCAACUUAAGAUUACCAGCCCAGUCUACAAAGUUGCUUCCAUCAUCUUUCAACUUAGCUUUCUCUAGGAACGUAUUAAAAUUCAGGGUGACUGUCGCGUGAGCCAUGAUCUACAACACGAAUAUAUUCAAAGUGGACUUAGACUAUGUUCAAGAUAAUUAGAGUUUAACUUAAUCAAAUUACUUGCUAAACUCCCACUCAAAAAGUACAUCUCUCUAGUCAUUUGAGUGGUUCAUGACCCACUUACACUAGCUCAAGUCCGAUCAUCACGUGAGUUGAGUAUAGUUUCAGUGGUAAGCAUCCCUAUGCUAAUCAUAUCAACUAUAUGAUUCAUGAUCGACCUUUCGGUCUCAUGAGUUCCGAGGCCAUGUCUGCACAUGCUAGGCUCGUCAAGCUUAACCCGAGUGUUCCGCGUGUGCAACUGUUUUGCACUCGUUGUAUGUGAACGUUGAGUCUAUCACACCCGAUCAUCACGUGGUGUCUCGAAACGACGAACUGUAGCAACGGUGCACAGUCGGGGAGAACACAAUUUCGUCUUGAAAUUUUAGUGAGAGAUCACCUCAUAAUGCUACCGCCGUUCUAAGCAAAACAAGGUGCAUAAAAGGAUUAACAUCACAUGCAAUUCAUAAGUGACAUGAUAUGGCCAUCAUCACGUGCUCCUUGAUCUCCAUCAGCAAAGCACCGGCACGAUGUUCUUGUCACCGGCGCCACACCAUGAUCUUCAUCAACGUGUCGCAAUCGGGGUUGUCGUGCUACUCAUGCUAUUACUACUAAAGCUACAUCCUAGCAAAAUAGUAAACGCAUCUGCAAGCACAAACGUUAGUUUAAAGACAACCCUAUGGCUCCUGCCGGUUGCCGUACCAUCGACGUGCAAGUCGAUAUUAUCUAUUACAACAUGAUCAUCUCAUACAUCCAAUAUAUCACAUCACAUCAUUGGCCAUAUCACAUCACAAGGAUACCCUGCAAAAACAAGUUAGACGUCCUCUAAUUUUGUUGUUGCAUGUUUUACGUGGUGACCAAGGGUAUCUAGCAGGAUCGCAUCUUACUUACGCAAACACCACAACGGAGAUAUAUGAAUUGCUAUUUAACCUUAUACAAGGACCUCCUCGGUCAAAUCCGAUUCAACUAAAGUUGGAGAAACCGACACUUGCCAGUCAUCUUUGAGCAAAGGGGGUUACUCAUAGCGAUGAAACCAGUCUCUCGUAAGCGUACGAGUAAUGUCGGUCCAAGCCGCUUCAAUCCAACAAUACCGCGGAAUCAAGAAAGACUAAGGAGGGCAGCAAAACGCACAUCACCGCCCACAAAACUUUUGUGUUCUACUCGAGAAGGCAUCUACGCAUGAACCUAGCUCAUGAUGCCAUUGUUGGGAACGCCGCAUGGGAAACAAAUUUUUCCUACGCGCACGAAGACCUAUCAUGGUGAUGUUCAUCUACGAGAGGGGAUUUCCGAUCUACGUACCCUUGUAGACCGCACAACAGAAGCGUUAGUGAACGUGGUUGAUGUAGUGGCACGUCCUCACGUCCCUCGAUCCGCCCCGCGAACCGUCCCACGAUCCGUCCCGUGAUCCGUCCAACGAUCAAGUGCCGAACGGACGGCACCUCCGCGUUCAGCACACGUACAACUCGAUGAUGAUCUCGGCCUUCUUGAUCCAUCAAGAGAGACGGAGAGGUAGAUGAGUUUUCCAGCAUCGUGACGGCGCUCCGGAGGUUGGUGAUGAUCUUAUCUCGGCAGGGCUCCGCCCGAGCUCCGCAGAAACGCGAUCUAGAGGUAAAACCGUGGAGGUAUGUGGUCGGGCUGCCUUGAAAAGUUGUCUCAAAUCAGCCCUAAUUGCUCCAUUUAUAUAGGAGGAGGGAGGGGAGUCUUGCCUUGAGGCUCAAGGAGCCCCAAGGGCUGCGCGACUAAGGGAGGAGGAGUCCUCCUCCAGUCCUAGUCCAACUAGGAUUGGAAAGUGGAGUCCUUCUCUCCUUUCCCACCUCCUUUUUUUCCUUUCUCUUUGAUUUUCUAUCCUUGGCGCAUAGGGCCCUCUUGGGCUGUCCCACCAGCCCACCAAGGGCUGGUGCGCCACCCCCAAGGCCUAUGGGCUUCCCCGGGGUGGGUUGCCCCCCGGUGAACAUCUUGAACCCAUUCGUCAUUCCCGGUACAUUCCCGGUAACUCCGAAAACCUUCCGGUAAUCAAAUGAGGUCAUCCUAUAUAUCAAUCUUCGUUUCCGGACCAUUCCGGAAACCCUCGUGACGUCCGUGAUCUCAUCCGGGAUUCCGAAUAACAUUCGGUAACCAACCAUAUAACUCAAAUACGCAUAAAACAACGUCGAACCUUAAGUGUGCAGACCCUGCGGGUUCGAGAACUAUGUAGACAUGACCCAAGUGACUCCUCGGUCAAUAUCCAAUAGCGGGACCUGGAUGCCCAUAUUGGAUCCCACAUAUUCUACGAAGAUCUUAUCGUUUGAACCUCAGUGCCAAGGAUUCAUAUAAUCCCGUAUGUCAUUCCCUUUGUCCUUCGGUAUGUUACUUGCCCGAGAUUCGAUCGUCAGUAUCUGCAUACCUAUUUCAAUCUCGUUUACCGGCAAGUCUCUUUACUCAUUCCGUAAUACAAGAUUCCGCAACUUACACUAAGUCACAUUGCUUGCAAGGCUUGUGUGUGAUGUUGUAUUAUCGAGUGGGCCUCGAGAUACCUCUCCGUCACACGGAGUGACAAAUCCCAGUCUCGAUCCAUACUAACUCAACGAAMACCUUUCGAGAUACCUGUAGAGCACCUUUAUAGUCACCCAGUUACGUUGCGACGUUUGAUACACACAAAGUAUUCCUACGGUGUCACAUUAUGAAUUUUAGGCAACUGGAUAAUGAACAUGUUGCUCAAGCUUGAGAACGUAUGAAAUUUCUUGUUAAGAAUUUCCCUACACAUGGCUUGACUACUUGGAUGGUUAUCCAAACUUCCUAUGCAGGAUUGAACUUUACUUCGCGGAAUCUGUUAGACUCGACUGCGGGAGGAACCUUUAUGUAAACUACACUUGGUGCUGCCACAAAGCUAUUGGAUGAGAUGAUGGUAAAUUAUUCUUAAUGGCACACCGAGAGAGCUCCAACAGGUUGGAAGGUAAACUCUGUUGAGGGGAUCUCCUCCCUUAAUGAUAAGGUUGACAUGAUCAUGACUCUACUUACUAAGCAAUCUCCUAUUGAUCCUCAUGAUGUUCCUUUAAAUUCUUUGGUUGCUCAAUAAAGAGAGCAAGUUGAUGUUAAUUUAUUUCUAGGAACAACUUGAAUAAUAAAGGUUAUAGGACUAAUUUUGGUAGCAAUCCUAGACAUUUCCCAUCCAACAACUAUGGGAACAACAACAAUUAUCCUAGCACCAAAAACUCCACUUCUGAAUUAUAGAGCAUGCUUAAAGACUUUAUCACUUCUCAAAAAGCCUUCAACAAGAGUGUAGAAGAGAAGCUAGAAAAUUAGAUAGUCUCUCUUUGAAGGUGGACAAUAUAGCUCAUGAUGUAGAGAUGCUUAAAAUUAGAACUUACCCCUUGAGGAAAGGAACACCAAAACCCAUGAAUGAUAUCCAAGUCCAAAUUAAUGAGAACAUAAGAAUGCUAGCCAAACUUAAAAAUAGAUGGGCUAGAGAAAAGAAGAGGAAGAUAGGAUUAAGAGCCUUCCUACACACACAACCAUUGCUACUAUACAAGUUGUUGAGGAUCUCAAAACGUUUAGCACCCAUCACACUUCUAGUCCUAAUGGACCUAUUAAUGGUGAUGCUAAUACCUCAACUAUAGGACAAGAAGGUCCUUUGAAUUUAGAGACUACUAAAAGAAUGAUCUUAGAUGACAUUACUACCACUUUAAUUAAUGGUAGUAACCUUGAUUUUGACAAUUGUAGUCUUUCCGAAGUUAUCACCUUUUUGCAAAGAAUGGCUAAAGACCCCACACUAGUACACUCAAUAUUGCCUUCACCGAGCAUAUUACCAAUGCUCUUAUCAAAGCUAGGGAGGAGAAGAUCAAGCUAGAGACUUCUAUCCCUAGGAAACUAGACGAUGGUUGGGCUCCUAUGGUCAAAAUUGAAUUGAAUAAUAUCUCUUGCUUUGCAUUAUGUGAUGUUGGAGCUAGUGAAUCCGUUAUGCCCAAAAGAAUGUAUGAUAUGCUUGAUUGGAAACCUUAUGAUCCAUGUUCUUUUGGUGUUAGUAUUGUUGAUUCUUCCAUAAAGAAACCUAUAGGGAGAAAUGAUGAUGUGCUUAUUAUUGUCAAUGAUAAUUAUGUGCCCGUUGAUUUUCUUAUUAUGGACAUUGAAUGUGAUCCUUCAUGUCCAAUUAUUUUGGGACAUCCUUUUCUCCGCACCGUUGGUGCUAUCAUUGACAUGAAAGAGGGGACCAUUAGAUUCCAAUUUCCCCUUAAAAAGGGAAUGGAACACUUCCCUCGAAAGAACUUAAGUUACCUUAUGAGUUCGUUACUCGGGCAAGUUAUUCUUUUGAUAAUACUUGAUCUUCUUGCAUUUUGCCUAGCUCAAAGACAUAAAAGAAAGCGCUUGUUGGGAUGCAACCCAAUUUGUUUUUACUUUCAGUUUUAGUGGUCUUGAUGCGUGUUACUACUGUAGCAACAUCAUUGUAUCUUUAUUUUUAAGCUUUGUGUCAAGUUAUAGCCUCCGAUCGCAAGAAAGUUCAAAAAUUGUGACAGGCUGUCCAGAAACAGAUUUUGUUUGCCCAACGGAAAAAUCGCCAAAAAUCACCAGAUCAUCUUUUUAUCUGAAUUUGUUUUACAAAAGAUCUAUAUAUUUGUCUUUCUCCCAUAUGUUCUGAGUUUUUUUAUUUGAGUUGCAUAAGUGCCCCGAAUAAAUUAUUUACUACCUGAUGUUCUGUUUUUCACAUAUUCUGCCAUGUUUUGCGUUUUCAUCAUUUUGCAAAUCUUAAGCUUGAUUUUCCUUUGCAAAACCUUUUGGCAAUCAUGAGAAAUAGUAGCUUUUCAUGAAAAUAAUCAUUUCCAGUAGGUAAUGAAUUAUUUUAUUAAGGGUAGUAACCACUCUAAUCAGCUUAUGAUGAGUUUCGUAUGAAGGGAGUUUUCAAGCAUGCGAUGGGAGAUGAUGAAAGAAGAUACAUGAGUGUCAAGCGCUCAAGCUUGGGGAUGCCCCCAUGCAUCCCAAGUAAUAUUCAAGGAGACUCAAGCGUCUAAGCUUGGGGAUGCCCCGUGCAUCCCCUUCUCUAUCAACAAUCAUCAGUUCGUCCAUCUCCAUGCUAUAUUUUAUCACUUCAUAUGUUAUGUGCUAUGCUUGAAGCGUCCCGAUCUUUACUUUUAGUUUGUUUAGUUUUGCUUUCUGAUCAUAACAAGUCGGAAUCUAGCCUACCUUGUUUUGGAGAGAAACACGCUACAUUCCACUCUAGAACACAACAUAGGUUUUCAUGCUUAUCUUUUUGUGUGUUCUUUAUCUUUUCGUAACUACUGUCAUGCCUAGCUCUUAGUUUUCAUGCCAUAUAUUUUUAAGAGCUAUUAUUUAGGUUGAUUUUGGAACUCUUCUGAGUUACCAUGCUUAUCUUGUUUAGAGAGUUGGCUCAUUGCACUAAGUUGUGUGUCUUGCAUGAGUAGGUAAUUGAUGUUGCUAUUUAAGUAUAGUAGUAACUUGCAAUAGUUUUGAGGUAUUGAUUUGAGUAACGUUUGGACUAUUGGUGCCAAGAGCUUGAGCCUAUUAGUUAUAGGUGUCAUAUUUUGGGAAAUCCAUGUGUUUUUCAAAAACAAAAAAUAGUUGAGAACUCUAGCUACUAAAUUGAUCGCUAACCUCUGGAGGGGUUGGAAUAUAUAGAGUGCCCUCACGUUACCAUGAGUCGAGGAUGCACAAGGAUAACCAAACCCCCAAACACUCCUCCUCGGGGUACUUGUCUCUUUGUGAAUUUCCUAACUAGAUAGAGAGUUACCAAUAAUAAGUGUAUGAGUUCUGCGGACUAAUGUGAGUAUUCGAUUGUUGGCACUUCCACCAUCCAUAUUUUGCAAGCCUCUUCGGUAUCGUGCAUUACCCUUUCUCACAUUGAGAGUUGGUGCAAACUUCGCCGGUGCAUCCAAACCCAUGACAUGAUACGCUCUGUCAUACAUAAGCCUCAUUAUAUCUUUCCUCAAAACAGCCACCAUACCUACCUAUUAAGGCAUUUCCAUAGCCUUUCCGAGAUACAUUGCCAUGCAAAAUCCACCAUCUCAUGACUUGAUCUUCAUGCCAUACAUGCUUUUGCUUGAUCGAGGAGCCGCAUGAUAGUUGGGACUUGCCCUUAUUAUUGCUACAUGACGUGCUAGUAUCAUUGCAUAUCCUGCUACACUCGCAGAGGCAUACAUUUGCAUACAUCAUGAUAGUUUUCACUUGUCUUUAUGUUGAGUACUUCUUAUAAAGUGUGAUGAUUUUUUUAUUCUUGUAAAACAUAGAGUGUUGGCCUUAAGUGAGGGAAAGAUCCCAAAGAGGACAAAUGAGAUAUAAAAAUAAAGAGACAAAGAGGCCACAAAAAAAGAGAAAAAGAAAAAGAAAAAAGAAAUAAAAARAAGAGAAGGGACAAUGCUACUAUCUUUUUCCACACUCGUGCUUCAUAAUAGCACCAUGUUCUUCAUGAUUGAGAGCUUCUUGCUUUAUCACUACCAUAUGCUAGUGGGAAUCUUCAUUAUAUAACUUGGCUUGUAUAUUCCAAUGAUGGGCUUCCUCAAAAUUGCCCUAGGUCUUCGUGAGCAAGCAAGUUGGAUGCACACCCACUAGUUUUCCUUUUGAGCUUUCACAUACUUAUAGCUCUAGUGAACCUCUUGUAUGGAAAUCCCUACUCAUUCACAUUGAUAUCUAUUAAUGGGCAUCUCCAUAGCCUUUUGAUACGCCGAGUCAAUGUGACCAUCUCCUCCUUUUUGUCUCACAACCACCACCACACUCUAUUCCACUUAUAGUGUUAUAUCCAUGGCUCACGCUCAUGUAUUGCGUGAUAGUUAUAAAAAGUUUGAGAAAGUAAGAGUGCGAAAACAAUUACUUGGCCAAUACCAGGGUUGUACAUGAUUUACAUUAGUUGUGUGAGGAUGAUGGAGCAUAGCUAGACUAUAUGAGUUUGUAGGGAUAACUUUCCUUGGCCUUGUUAUUUUGAAAGCUCAUGAUUACUUUGCUAGUUUGCUUGAAGUAUUAUUGUUUUCAUGUCAAUAGCUAACUAUUGUUUUGAAUCUUAUGGAUCUGAACAUUCAUGUCACGUGAAAAAAGUUGCAAAGGACAACUAUGCUAGGUAGCAUUCCACAUCAAAAAUUCAUUCUUUAUCACUUCCCUACUCGAGGACGAGCAUGAGUUAAGAUUGGGGAUGCUUGAUACGUCUCCAACGUAUCUAUAAUUUUUUAUGGUUUCAUGCUAUUAUCUUGUCAAACUUUGGAUGUUUUUCAUGCCUUUUAUAUAUUUUUGGGACUAACUUAUUAACUCAGUGCCAAGUGCUAGUUCCUGUUUUUUCCAUGUUUUUGACACCUUUCAGAGGAGAUUUUGAAACGGAGUCCAAACGGAAUAAAAUCUCCGAAAAUAAUUUUUCCGUAACGGAAGAAGAUCAGGAGACUUGAGAGCCAAGGCAGGGGCCCCAGGGGCCCCACAAGCCCUCACCCCGCGGCCAGGGCGGAGGCCGCGGCCCACAGGCUUGCGGGCCCCUGGACGCCCUUUGCCCUAGGGGUUGCGCCUAUGUAUUCCCUAAAAAUCCCAAAAAAUCAGGAGAUCAUCGAAAGUUCUUUAUGCCGCCGCAAGCUUGUGUCUCCGCAAGAUCCCAUCUGGGGCACGUUCUCGUGCCCUGCCGGAGGGGGAUUCAGACACGGAGGGCUUCUUCAUCAACACCAUGACCUCUCCGAUGAUGCGUGAGUAGUUCACCAUAGACCUACGGGUCCAUAGCUAGUAACUAGAUGGCUUAUUCUCUCUCUUGGAUCUUCAAUACAAAGUUCUCCAUGAUCUUCAUGGAGAUCUAUCCGAUGUAAUCUUCUUUUGCGGUGUGUUUGUCGAGAUCCGAUGAAUUUUGGAUUUAUGAUCAGAUUAUCUAUGAAUCUUAUUUGAGUUUCUUCUGAUCUCUCUUAUGCAUGAUUUCAUAUCCGUGUAAUUCUCUUCGAGUUGUGGGUUUUGUUUGGCCAUCUAGAUCUAUGAUUCUUGCAAUGGGAUAAGUGCUUGGUUUUGGGUUCAUACCGUGCGGUGACCUCACCCAGUUACAGAAGGGGUAGCGAGGCACGCAUCGUUUUGUUGCCAUCAAGGGUAAAAGAUGGGGUUUUCAUCAUUGGUUUGAGAUUAUCCCUCUACAUCAUGUCAUCUUGCUUAAGGCGUUACUCUGUUCGUCAUGAACUCNNNNNNNNNNNNNNNNNNNNNNNNNNNNNNNNNNNNNNNNNNNNNNNNNNNNNNNNNNNNNNNNNNNNNNNNNNNNNNNNNNNNNNNNNNNNNNNNNNNNACAACUUCCCAAUAAAAGCAUCUUUGCACUUAUGCCAAGAAUCUAUGCCAUUCCUAGGCAAGCAUUGAAGCCACACUUUAGCUCCUCCUCUCAAGGAGAAAGGAAAAAGCUUAAGUUUAACAAUAUCACCAUCUACUUCUUUAUACUUUUGCAUAUCACAGAGCUCAACAAAAUUGUUCAAGUGCAAAGCAACAUCAUCUCCAGCACCGGAAAAUUGAUCUUUCAUAACAAGGUUUAGUAAAGUAGGUUUAAUCUCAUAGGACGUGGCUCCAGUGGCGGGAGCAACAAUAGGAGUGUAGAUAAAGUCAUUGUUGUUGUGACUAGUGAAGUCACACAACUUGGUGUUCUCAAUGGAACCCAUAGCAGCGGCAACUAGCAAGAACGAAGCAACUAAUAUUUUGUGGGUUUUGGUAUAAGACUCUAAAGCAAAAACUAGAAAGCAAACUAACAAGACUAAAAGCAAAGGUAAAGGAUAACGUGCAACUCCCCUAUCUUGAAGAAUGGAGCCACCGGCAACGGGCCAGAAACUUUGCUUGAUGACGAGAUGAUGUAUAUACUUCUCGCACCUCGUUGGUUACCCCAAGUGGAAYAGNNNNNNNNNNNNNNNNNNNNNNNNNNNNNNNNNNNNNNNNNNNNNNNNNNNNNNNNNNNNNNNNNNNNNNNNNNNNNNNNNNNNNNNNNNNNNNNNNNNNCGGUCAAUAUCCAAUAGCGGGACCUGGAUGCCCAUAUUGGAUCCCACAUAUUCUACGAAGAUCUUAUCGUUUGAACCUCAGUGCCAAGGAUUCAUAUAAUCCCGUAUGUCAUUCCCUUUGUCCUUCGGUAUGUUACUUGCCCGAGAUUCGAUCGUCAGUAUCUGCAUACCUAUUUCAAUCUCGUUUACCGGCAAGUCUCUUUACUCAUUCCGUAAUACAAGAUUCCGCAACUUACACUAAGUCACAUUGCUUGCAAGGCUUGUGUGUGAUGUUGUAUUAUCGAGUGGGCCUCGAGAUACCUCUCCGUCACACGGAGUGACAAAUCCCAGUCUCGAUCCAUACUAACUCAACGAACACCUUCGGAGAUACCUGUAGAGCAUCUUUAUAGUCACCCAGUUACGUUGCGACGUUUGAUACACACAAAGCAUUCCUCGGGUGUCAGUGAGUUAUAUGAUCUCAUGGUCAUAGGAACAAAUACUUGACACGCAGAAAACAGUAGCAACAAAAUGACACGAUCAACAUGCUACGUCUAUUAGUUUGGGUCUAGUCCAUCACGUGAUUCUUCUAAUGACGUGAUCCAGUUAUCAAGCAACAACACCUUGUAUAUAAUCAGAAGACCCUGACUAUCUUUGAUCAACUGGCUAGCCAACUAGAGGCUUGCUAGGGACAGUGUUUUGUCUAUAUAUCCACACAUGUAUAUAAGUCUUCAUUCAAUACAAUUAUAGCAUGGACAAUAAACGAUUAUCUUGAUACAGGAAUUAUAAUAAUAACUAUAUUUAUUAUUGCCUCUAGGGCAUAAUUCCAACAAUAGGGUUUGGAGAUGAGAUGGUGCUGAUGAAGAUGUUGAUGGAGAUGAGUCCCCUCUAAUGAGAUGAGUGUUGGUGAUGACGAUGGCGAUGAUUUCUCCCAUCGAGAGGGAAAUUUGCCCGGCACGACGGCCGUGCCGGAGCUCUAGAUUGGUUCUGCUCAAGUUCCGCUUUGUGGCGGCGGCGGCUCCUCCCGAAAGCAUCCUCUUGUUUUUCUGAAACGAAACCCUCCAUAUAGCAAAAGAUGAGCGCCGGAGGGGCAACAGGGGGCCCACAAGACACCCACGCCCGGCCAGGGGGUAGACUGGGCCUAGCAGGCUUGUGGCCUCCUGGUGGCUCCCCUCCGGUACUUCUUUCGCCCAGUAUGUUUCAUAAAAUCCAAAAUAAUUCCCCGUAGAUUUUCAUGCCUUUUUGAGUUGCGCAGAAUAGGUAUCCCAAACUUGCUCCCUUUUCAGACCAGAAUUCCAGCUGCCAGCAUUCUCCCUCUUCAUGUAAACCUUAUAAUAUAAGAGAGAAAAGACAUAAGUAUUAUACCGUAAAGUGUAAUAACAGCCCAUAAAGUGAUAAAUAUCAACAUAAAAGCAUGAUGCAAAAUGUACGUAUCACUCCCCACCUCGCCCUCACGCGUCGCCCCCUCCUCCCAAUCCCACGCCGCGCCAAGUCCCCUCCCUCUAGCGACCCCUCCACUCGCCGCCCCUACCUCUCCAUAUCUCGGCGGCCUCCCUGCACCCUCCCUCAACCCCCUGUGCCUCCUCUCACCGCGGCCACCACCACCAACCGCCGCUGACAGGCCCCUUCACCAGCUCUCGACCGGCCCUCCGGCCAUGGCGCCGCCCCACACUGGCCGUGGCCCUCGACGGAUCCGCCGGCUCCUCCUUCAACCCGCCCCGCCAGAUCCACUCCACCCCAUCACCAACCGCGCCAACUCCCCGUACACUCCGGCUAUACCGGGCCUCCCCUUCAUCACCGGUGAGACCAUUCGGGCUCCUCCCACGUUCUCCUUCCUUCCUACUCCGGCGAGCCGCCGGAUGUGCACUCCGGUUUCUCCCUAUUGACAGAGGGGACUAGCCUCUAUGUAUUGUAUAAAUGCAUGUAUGUAUGUAUUAUGUACGUACGUAUGUAUGUAUGUAGAAAAGUAUACAUAGUGUAUUUGUGUGUGUAUGUGUUACAACAUUGAAAGUGCGUUAUAUCGACUAGAGGGGGGGGGUGGAAUAGGAGAUUUUUAGAAUUUCAUCACUGAGGAAAUUCCUUUUGUGGAAAUUCCUCACUGAUGACUAACUUACAACGGAAACAGUAAAGGAUCAGAAGUGCAAAGUUUCACAACAACAGUUUUUCAGAGUGAGGAAUGUGAAAACAGAUUGCACUGUGAGUAGGCACGCAGAAAACAGAUGAGGAUUAACUAGCGUGAAGAAUUUGGGGUUGAGGAAUUUCAGAGAAAGUCUUCAGCAAAUUCUUCAAACAGUAGCAGUGAAAGUCAUCAACACAUAAUCUAAGGAAAGUAAGGAGUUGAGGAAUUAGAACCCGUUUCACAGCGAAGACAAUAGUUGAUGACCUAGUUUCAACUGCUGUCACAGUUGUACAUCUGGUUUGGAGCGGCUUGGUAUUGAAACCAAAGGACACACAGUCCCGGGACACACAGUCCCUACCGUGUUCUCCUUGGGCUAAGAACACACAGUCCUCGCNNNNNNNNNNNNNNNNNNNNNNNNNNNNNNNNNNNNNNNNNNNNNNNNNNNNNNNNNNNNNNNNNNNNNNNNNNNNNNNNNNNNNNNNNNNNNNNNNNNNGCAUGCAAGCUUGGGGAUGCCCCGAGAAGGCAUCCCCUCUUUCGUCUUCAAUCCAUCGGUAACAUUACUUGGAGCUAUAUUUUUAUUCACCACAUGAUAUGUGUUUACUUGGAGCGUCUUGUAUCUUAGGAGUGUUUUAUUUUGUUGUGUCACAAUCAUCCUUGCUGCACACAUUUUUGAGAGAGAGAGACAUGCACUCAUCGUGAUUUUUGCUAGAAUGCUCAUAGUGCUUCACUUAUAUCUUUUGAGCUAGAUACUUUUGCUCUUUGUGCUUCACUUAUAUCUUUUAGAGCACGGCAGUGCAUGAUUUGGUAGUUGGCUUAUGCUAUGAAAGUAGUCCCAAAUGUGAUAGGUACCCAAAUAGGAUGCAAAAAACCUCCAUCUUCAUGUGCAUUGAGUAGAAAGAGAAGUUUUAAUUCCUCUCAAUUAGUUUUGAGACGUGGAUUUGGUAAUAUUAAGAGCUAUUUUAGUAGGGUGUUGUGAAUCUAGAAAUACUUGUGUUGAAGUUAGUGAUUCCCGUAGCAUGCACGUAUGUUGAACUGCUAUGUUAGGAAGUCAGAGCAUAAUUGAUCUAUUGAUUGUCAUCCUUUGUGUUGAGGUCGGGAUCGCGCGAUGGUUAACACCUACCAACCCUUCCCCUAGGAGUAUGCGCUUAGGACUUUGUUUCGAUUACUAAUAAAACUUUUGCAACAAGUAUGUGAGUUCUUCAUGACUAAUGUGAGUCGAUGGUAUAGAUGCACUUUCACCUUUCGCCAUUGCUAGCCUCUCUAGUGCCGCGCAAUUCUCGCCGGUACACAAACCCACCAUAUGCCUUCCUCAAAACAACCACCAUACCUACCUACUAUGGCAUUUUCCUAGCCAUUCCGAGAUAUAUUGCCAUGCAACUCCCAUCGUUCCGUGUCAUGACUUGUGUUCUCACUCUCAUAUUGCCAUUGCAUGGUCGUAAGAUAGCUAGCGAGUCAUACGCCAUGCUAGAUCGUUGCACAUCCCAGUACACUGCCGGAGGCAUUUCCUAUAGAGUCAUAAUCAUUUUGAGCUGUGAGUAAAUAAAAGUGUGAUGAUCAUCAUUAUUAGAGCAUUGUCCCAUGUUAGGAAAUAAAAAAGAGGCCAAAGAGCCCAAAAAAGAAAGGAAAAAAGAGAGGCCUAAAUUGAAAAAAAGAGAAGGGACAAUGCUACUAUCUUUUUCCACACUCGUGCUUCAUAAUAGCACCAUGUUCUUCAUGAUUGAGAGCUUCUUGCUUUAUCACUACCAUAUGCUAGUGGGAAUCUUCAUUAUAUAACUUGGCUUGUAUAUUCCAAUGAUGGGCUUCCUCAAAAUUGCCCUAGGUCUUCGUGAGCAAGCAAGUUGGAUGCACACCCACUAGUUUUCCUUUUGAGCUUUCACAUACUUAUAGCUCUAGUGAACCUCUUGUAUGGAAAUCCCUACUCAUUCACAUUGAUAUCUAUUAAUGGGCAUCUCCAUAGCCUUUUGAUACGCCGAGUCAAUGUGACCAUCUCCUCCUUUUUGCUUCACAACCACCACCACACUCUAUUCCANNNNNNNNNNNNNNNNNNNNNNNNNNNNNNNNNNNNNNNNNNNNNNNNNNNNNNNNNNNNNNNNNNNNNNNNNNNNNNNNNNNNNNNNNNNNNNNNNNNNUUACUUUUCGAAUUUUGCCGGUUUCAGGGUUUAGAAUGAACGCACGCUUUUCCACGGUCAGAAGUGCAACGCGACGUCAACUGGACUUGUGGCUUUGGCAAACCACGACGCCGCGUCAAAACCCGCAUGUCUGGUUUCUGACUGUGGUAUACUCGACCAGUUUUCCUUGUCGUGGCAACGACUUUGAUCCUUGUUCGCGUGAUGCCAAAUGCCAAUUCUUUUCACGUGUCCAUGCAUACCACUUUUUAUUUAUUUUACUCACUGUAUAGUUAUAGUAUAGUAUGGUCUAAUAUAGUAUAGUAUCAUUUUGACCUUGGACACAUUAGGAGCACGCGCGUGUCCAUGCAGGCCACUUCUUUUUCUCAUUACUCACCGUGCAGUAUAGUUUUAUUUCGACCUUGGACAAAUUAGGAGCAAGCACCAUUGAACUUUUAUGUGUUCAUGCAUGGUUUUUAUUUUAUUUUACUCAUGCAUGUCACUUCUUUUCUCAUUACUCAUCGUGCAGUAUAGUAUUAUUUCSASCUGUGGACAAAUNNNNNNNNNNNNNNNNNNNNNNNNNNNNNNNNNNNNNNNNNNNNNNNNNNNNNNNNNNNNNNNNNNNNNNNNNNNNNNNNNNNNNNNNNNNNNNNNNNNNUCAUCAACACAUAAUCUAAGGAAAGUAAGGAGUUGAGGAAUUAGAACCCGUUUCACAGCGAAGACAAUAGUUGAUGACCUMRCAGGUCUUAGAUUUUCUUGUGGAGUAGCAGUCCUUUAGGACAGCAUAUCUAACGGUUAAAAACGACCCUAAUGUGUGAUUUAACGGUCAGAAAACGCGAGGGUGUGAGAGGUCUCCGUUUAGGCUCGGUUAUACUGUCCUAAAUAUCUCCAUAUGUGGUUUUGGUAAUUGAUGACAAUUUCUAUGGACUAAUGGUUGCCUUAAGUUAUAUUUAUAGGAUUUGUCCAUAGGCACUUCUUGAAGUUCCAUUUGUUGGGUUCAAGGAGUUUAUAUGAUGACCAAGAUGGUAUUCAAGGUAUUAUCCAAAGAAUGSWSMUAGWGACACAAGGUUGAUCAAGAUCUCAAACAAAGAGUAAAGCAAGAUGUCAACACACAAAGCGUACAAGAUGUACCGAGAGGGAUCAAGUGAUCCCAUGGUAUGGUAAGCAUUGUCCAUUACGUGUUUGUGUACUAACCCAUGGUCUUCGUGAGNNNNNNNNNNNNNNNNNNNNNNNNNNNNNNNNNNNNNNNNNNNNNNNNNNNNNNNNNNNNNNNNNNNNNNNNNNNNNNNNNNNNNNNNNNNNNNNNNNNNCUACAUGUAUCUCCGAAGGUGUUCGUUGAGUUAGUAUGGAUCGAGACUGGGAUUUGUCACUCCGUGUGACGGAGAGGUAUCUCGGGGCCCACUCGGUAAUACAACAUCACACACAAGCCUUGCAAGCAAUGUGACUUAGUGUAAGUUGCGGGAUCUUGUAUUACGGAACGAGUAAAGAGACUUGCCGGUAAACGAGAUUGAAAUAGGUAUGCGGAUACUGACGAUCGAAUCUCGGGCAAGUAACAUACCGAAGGACAAAGGGAAUGACAUACGGGAUUAUAUGAAUCCUUGGCACUGAGGUUCAAACGAUAAGAUCUUCGCAGAAUAUGUGGGAUCCAAUAUGGGCAUCCAGGUCCCACUAUUGGAUAUUGACCGAGGAGUCACUCGGGUCAUGUCUACAUAGUUCUCGAACCCGCAGGGUCUGCACACUUAAGGUUCGACGUUGYUUUAUGCGUAUUUGAGUUAUAUGGUUGGUUACCGAAUGUUGUUCGGAGUCCCGGAUGAGAUCACGGACGACACGAGGUUCCGGAAUGGUCCGGAACGAAGAUUGAUAUAUAGGAUGACCUCAUUUGGUUACCGGAAGGUUUUCGUGCAUUACCGGAAAAGUUUCGGGCUUAUCGGUAGUGUACCGGGAGUGCCGGGAGGGUGCCGGGGACCAUCGGGAGGGUGUCACGCCCCAAGGGGUCUCAUGGGCUAUGAGAAUAGAUAAACCAGCCCCUAGUGCAGCUGUGNNNNNNNNNNNNNNNNNNNNNNNNNNNNNNNNNNNNNNNNNNNNNNNNNNNNNNNNNNNNNNNNNNNNNNNNNNNNNNNNNNNNNNNNNNNNNNNNNNNNUGGCAAGUCAUCCAAGGAAAGCCCAUGAGGAAAAAGGUGGAAAUUCAAAAGAGGUGGGCAAUUUAGGAAGGAGUCCUAAUCCAAGUAGUAUUGGACGAGGACUCCUCCCUCCUCCACUUCGGCCGAGCCAAGAGGCUCUCCUUGAGGCUCAAGGCUAGCCCCUCCCUCCUCCUAUAUAUACUAGAGGGUUUAGGGGUUUUGAGACACAACUUUGCCACGUGCAACCCUAAACCUCUACUUCGUAGUUCUUCCUCUAGAUCGGAUUUCUGCGGUGCUUAGGCGAAGCCCUGCAGGAAUAGAUCACCACCACCACCGGAGCGCCGUCACGCUGCCGGGGAACUUAUCUACAUGCCCGUCUCUCUUGCUGGAUCAAGAAGGUGGAGAUCAUCAUCGAGCUGUACGUGUGCGGAACGCGGAGGUGUCGUCCGUUCGGCACUUGAUCGGGACGGAUCGUGAGACGGUUCGUGGGACGGAUCGUGAAGACGUACCACUACAUCAACCGCGUUUGUUAACGCUUCCGCUUAGCUAUCUACAAGGGUAUGUGGAUCCGAUCUCCCUCUCGUAGAUGAUCAUCACCAUGAUAGGUCUUCGUGUGCGUAGGAAAUUUUGUUCCCAUGCUACGUCCCAACAAUUUAUAGGACUGGAAGUAGGGUCUACGGAGCCAUGNNNNNNNNNNNNNNNNNNNNNNNNNNNNNNNNNNNNNNNNNNNNNNNNNNNNNNNNNNNNNNNNNNNNNNNNNNNNNNNNNNNNNNNNNNNNNNNNNNNNGGUCUUUGAGCAAAAUCAUCAAGUGAGGGAAAUACCCAAACACCAAACCAAACCUAGUGAUUGAGCGUCACUGAAGAAGUUGUUCCUGUGUGGGACUGAAGCCUUUUACCUUUGAGGACUGUGCAUCCUCCAGACGGUUUAGGCGUCAUGGUCUAGAGCUUUCGAGCAGUCAAUUGUGGAUCGCUGGGUGACCAAGUUUGUGAGGGUUUGGAAGUUUGCCCUGAAAACUUACCACGAGUGUUGGGCGAGGACUGUGUGUUCUUAGCCCAAGGAGAACACGGUUAGGGACUGUGUGUCCCGGGACUGUGUGUCCUUUGGUUUCAAUACCAAGCCGCUCCAAACCAGAUGUACAACUGUGACAGCAGUUGAAACUAGGUCAUCAACUAUUGUCUUCGCUGUGAAACGGUUCUAAUUCCUCAACUCCUUACUUUCCUUAGAUUAUGUGUUGAUGACUUUCACUGCUACUGUUUGAAGAAUUUGCUGAAGACUUUCUCUGAAAUUCCUCAACCCCAAAUUCUUCACGCUAGUUAAUCCUCAUCUGUUUCUGCGUGCCUACUCACAGUGCAAUCUGUUUUCACAUUCCUCACUCUGAAAAACUGUUGUUGUGAAACUUUGCACUUCUGAUCCUUUACUGUUUCAGCUGUGNNNNNNNNNNNNNNNNNNNNNNNNNNNNNNNNNNNNNNNNNNNNNNNNNNNNNNNNNNNNNNNNNNNNNNNNNNNNNNNNNNNNNNNNNNNNNNNNNNNNCCCCCCCCCCGUAACUCGUCUCCCUCGCCCCGCUGCGUAGUCUCCCGCUCCCCCACUUCGCCUUCUCGCCCUCUCCCAUUGCAUUGUUUCCCUCACCUCCAUCUCCUACCUCUUUCGAUGGAGGACGCUUGUCGCGCUGUCGCUGAUCCGACCGGGGAUGUGGUGGAGAAGCCUAGCGUGGCGACCGCGGCAAAAGCAGUGCAAGACGUUGGCGGCGUCAAGGGCGGUGCGGGAUAGACCGCAACUGAUGUCGCUGCUGCAGAUCUUGAGAAGGAGGUGCCGGAGCAGGAGGUCACGGCGUCAAGCGGCACUGCGCAGGCUGGUGACGAGGAGGUAGUUCUAUUUCCUCAGACGCUAUUUCCUUGUUAGUUCUAAUAUUUAGAAUGUAGGGUUAGAUUACUUUGUUUUUUAGAUGGUGUUUUGUAGAUUGGGUCUUCUCUAGAUGGGGUUUUUUGUAUUAGAUUUUGUCCCUUAAAUUUGUUGUAAUUAAUUCGUGCGAAAAUGUUACAGAUAUUUCAAUGAGAUAGGGAUCAGUGUACUUGAAUGCUUCACAGAUAAAUGCUUAUUAAAUUAGUGGUUGAAUGAUACACAGAUAUACAUAGAUAUAGUAUAUUUCUCAUUGAAUGUUGCACCCCUUCGGCUUGUUGGUAAAUCUUAAUGAGAGUUAGGGUUUUUUGUAGUUGAUUCAUGCUUAAUUUGUUAACAAUCNNNNNNNNNNNNNNNNNNNNNNNNNNNNNNNNNNNNNNNNNNNNNNNNNNNNNNNNNNNNNNNNNNNNNNNNNNNNNNNNNNNNNNNNNNNNNNNNNNNNNNNNNNNNNNNNNNNNNNNNNNNNNNNNNNNNNNNNNNNNNNNNNNNNNNNNNNNNNNNNNNNNNNNNNNNNNNNNNNNNNNNNNNNNNNNNNNNNNNNNNNNNNNNNNNNCUUAAUUUGUUAACAAUCUUAAUUUGUUAACAAUCUGUUCAAGGAGUCGCUACUCCAUCAUCACACAAGACACAUAUGGUAAUGUAAAAAAUCAUCCAUACUUGUGAUCUAUUUUAGUCAUGCUGAACUUGAGAGUCAAUUCUUGGAACAAGUGAAUUAUUAGAAAAGUAAAUUACGAGUCUGUUACAUAUGGGAAGAGGCCUUUUAGAACAAGUGAAUUAUUUGAAAACUAAAAUAUUAAAAAAUGUUAAAAGUGAAGUUACUCUCCAACUACAAUUUUAUGCAAGCACUCAUCUUUAAAUUGAAGGUGAUUAUUCUUUUUAAGAAGGGAGAAUGAUUAUCUUGAGAUAGCCUUGUUUGGAGGUAGGAUAGUCUUAUUAUGAGAAUCAAGUAUGAUUUGAUGAUAUUCUAUGAGGACUAUGUUUGCGCACAUAAAUUUGUGAAUCAUUUAUGCCUUCUUGAGUGACACUAUUUUUCUAGAAAAAUACUACCGUGAGUUCAAAAUUUUAGCAAAGCAUGAAAGUCUUCAUCUUGAGAUUAGGCGUUAACUAGCAUUUGAGUGCAUGCAAUAAACAAAGAGACCACUGGGUAUGUAUUUUGCUUUUAUAUAACAUAAUACAAUAUCACCUGCUAUGCAUGUGGAAUCUAUCUAAAUAUAUAGUUUACCCAUGAUCGGUGUUGAUCGGUUGAAAUACUUAUAUUGCAGGAAGAGGAAGCUGCUCGCAUGAAGAGGAAGCUGGCUAUGACUGGGUUCAAGGACCCGUAUGAGUCUGACUCUAACGUCGAUGAAGUGUAUGAGGUAACCCCAACUAGAUUUUUUUGUCUCUUCAUUAAUUUCUAUGAGAUGUUGUUUGUUGAUAAAGCCCUGUAAGUAUGCCUUUAAAUUGGAUUUUUGUGUUGUUUAUUCAUUAAUAUCAUAAAGUUGUGUUGUUUGUUCAUUAAUCAGCUCUAAAUGUGAUAUUUGUGGUCUUUCUUCAUGAAACCAUAUAUGAAUGCAUAUAAAUGGAAAUAUUAUGUUGUUUGUCCAUUAAAUUCUUCUAAAAUGGAAAAAUUGCAUAUAUUUUCUAUUUAUUCCUCUAAUUUGGAAUUUUCUGUUUUUAAGUUCACUAUAAGCACUAUAUGAAUGCAUCUACGUGUUUUUUUAGUUUGUUAAUGAAAUUGAUGUAAAUGGUAAUUCACUGUUCUUUGUUCAAUUAAAUUACUGUACAUGGCUAUUUUCUUUCUUUGCUCAUUAAAUUCCUGUAAAUGGCAAUUAUCAAAUGUUUGUUCAUUAUAUUCCUCUAAAUGGCAAGUAUGUGUUGUUUGUUCAAUAAGGCCUAUAUGAAUGCAUAAUGUAUUUAUGCAAUUCAUUUGUGUGUGCAGUAUAAUUCUGGAGAUGAUGUGGACGACGGGAACAAACAGUCCUUUAUUGAGAAGGAAGCCGAGAAGAUCAGGGAGAAGGGGAAGGCAGCAUACUUCAAGAGGGGCAAGUUCAGGUGCCCAUACUACACCACAAAGCCAAAGCCCAAGGAUGGGCUUUAUGAGCACCUUAUGUCGCAUGCACGCGGUUUAUCGACGAGUGCACACGAAAUCAAGAUCAGGGCAGAGCAUGCAACCCUCCUGAAGGCUAUGGGUCCCAUUUAGUCACCCUCCAUGAUCUAGAUGUUGUGAAGAUGGAUGUGGUACUCAUGUAAUGACCAAGAUGCGACACUUUCCUUAUUUGCGGGCGAGGCCUUAAAAGGGGAAAGGGUUGCAUCUAAGCAUUUCGCAAGUAGGAUAAAAAUGCCAUUACAUAAAUAGAGAGAUGAGUAUAAGAUUCGGCUCACACUUACCACAUGCUAAAUUACAAUCCUCACAAGCAUUCACUAUUCAUACAUAAAACAGGGUCCGACUACGGACAAGAUAAACGGCAAACCAUGUUAUCCUAUCUUGCUACUCCCACGAUCACGACCAUGCGCCUCUAGUCCUCGGGAUAAGUCACAUAGAGUCUGCCACUGUCUUCGUCGAACUCCCACCUCAGUAGGUUAUCAUCGGAAACUCAUGCAUCUGGGGUACAUGUACCUGUGGGUGUUUGUAGUAAAUUGUGAGCCACGAGGACUCAGCAAUCUCAUGACCUUCGUAUCGAGUCUAACUAAGUUAAAUGGGUGCGUUAGGUUAAGUGUUUGAGUUUGCAGCAUCCUAAGCAUAUAUGGUGGCUAUCUUACAAUGAACAGAAAUAACAUAUGGUGGUCUACGUAAGACGGUCGAAGACUAGAAUGAUCACUAAGUGACCCUAGACACCUACUUACGUCAUUCAUAACCCCACCGUGUUCUUGAUCAGAGAAGGAGCUCUCAAAGAAACAAUCACGGUUACGCACUCAUUUGGUAAGUUUUAUUUGAAUUACUUUAAGUUAUCUAGAACCGGAUGUUAACUAAAUAUCCAUGUUUGCCACAUAACCGUGUGCACGGCUUUCCAAAAGAUUAAACCAUGCAGGGGUGCUCCAACUAGUCCAUCACAAAUUAUCACAAACCGCAUAGUAGUCCUCUACCACGAAACUCGUGAUCUCGGCGGAUUCCUUAGAGGAAAACCUCAACUCUGAGAAGACCCAAAGUCUCAGCGGAAUCCCAAUGCGAAGAUAUACCGCUAGGGUAAGACUGAUGACCCACAAGUGUAGGGGAUCUAUCGUAGUACUUUCGAUAAGUAAGAGUGUCGAACCCGACGAGGAGCGGAAGGAUCUGACAAGUAGUUUUCAGCAAGGUAUUCUUUGCAAGCACUGAAAUUAUCGGUAACAGAUAGUUGUGUGGUAAGAUGAUUCGAAGCAAGUAGCAACUAACAAUAGUAACAACGUUGCAGCAAAGUGGCCCAAUACCUUUUGUAGAAAGGGACAAGCCUGGACAAACUCUUAUAGGAGGUAAAGCGCUCCCGAGGACACUUGGGAAAUUCUGUCAAGCUAGUUUUCAUCAUGUUCAUAUGAUUCGCGUUCGCUACUUUGAUAGUUUGAUAUGUGGGUGGACCGGUGCUUGGGUGUUGCCCUUACUUGGACAAACCUCCCACUUAUUAUUAACCCCUCUCGCAAGCAUCCGCAACUACGAAAGAAGAAUUAAGACAAAGUCUAACCAUAACAUUAAACUAGUGGAUCCAAAUCAGCCCCUUACGAAGCAACGCAUAAACUAGGGUUUAAGCUUCAGUCACUCUAGCAACCCAUCAUCUACUUACUACUUAACAAUGCCUUCCUCUAGGCCCAAAUAAUGGUAAAGUGUUAUGUAGUCGAUGUUCACAUAACACCACUAGAGGAAAAACAACAUACAACACAUCAAAAUAUCGAACGAAUACCAAAUUCACAUGACUACUUAUAGCAUGACUUAUCCCAUGUCCUCAGGAACAAAAGUAACUACUCACAAAGCAUAAUAAUAUUCAUGACCGGAGAGGUAUUGAAUAGCAUCAAGGGUCUGAACAUAUAAUCUUCCACCGAGUAAUCCAACUAGCAUCAACUACAAAGAGUAAUUAACACUACUAGCAACCUUACACGUACCAAUUGGAGUCACGAGACGGAGAUUGGUUACAAAAGAUGAACUAGGGUUUGGAGAUGAGAUGGUGUUGAUGAAGAUGUUGAUGGUAAUGAGUCCCCUCCGAUGAGAGGAGUGUUGGUAAUGACGAUGGCGACGAUUUCCCCCUCCGGGAGGGAAGUUUCCCCGACAGGACGACCCUGCCGGAGCUCUAGAUUGAUUCUGCUCAAGUUCCGCCUCGUGGUGGCGGCGAAUCCUCCCAAAAGCCUGCUCCUUAUUUUUUCUGGAACGAAACCCUCCUUAUAGCAAAAGAGGGGGGCCAGAGGGCCAACAGGGAGCCCACAAGCCCCCUAGGCACGACCAGGGGGGUAGGCCGCGCCUAGCACGCUUGUGGCCUCCUGCUGGCUCCCCUCUGGUACUUCUUCGGCCUAGUAUUUUUUAUAAAUUCCAAAAUAAAUCCUCAUUGAUUUUCAUGACUUUUGGAGUUGCGCAGAAUAGGUAUCUCAAACUUGCUCCUUUUUCAGGCCAGAAUUCCAGGUGCCGACAUUCUCCCUCUUCAUGUAAACCUUGCAAAAUAAGAGAGAAAAGGCAUAAGUAUUGUACCGUGAAGUGUAAUAACAGCCCAUAAAGCGAUAAAUAUCAACAUAAAAGCAUGAUGCCAAAUGAACGUAUGAACUCCCCCAAGCUUAGACCUCGCUUGUCCUCAAGCGAAAGCCAAGAUCAAUAAAUAUGGCCACAUGUCUAGAGAGAGAGGUGUCGACAAAACAAAAUACGGACAUGGAGGCAUCAUGAUCAUAAUCAGAACAACAAUAUCAUCAUAUCAUCUCUUAUGCUAAAGUGAUAAUUCCUUCACAAAGUAAAGUAUGGAUCAAGAACUUUAUUGAGAAUUAACAACCAAUAACAUUUAGUCAUUGAAGCAAUUGCAAUUUAUCAUAACAUCGGAAAUAGUCAAAUAAGAGCUUGUAAAGCAAAUCCACAUACUCAAUCAUCCUUUUGUCUUCUACAAUUGCUACAACUCACGUGAUACUCAUGAGAUCAAAGUUUCAGUCGGUCAUGGAGAAAGAUAGGGGCUUAUAGUUUCGCCUCCCAACCAUUUACCUCAAGGGUAAUGUCAACAAUAAUAGUUCAUGAAUACUUACCUCCAAGUUGACAUACGAAUAUAGAUCUUUCCCUAGCAUAUGACGUUAGCCAAGAUAAAGGCGAAACAAGGAAUUGGUGAAGAUCACCAUGACUCUUUCGAGGGCAAAAAGUAAAGGUAUAAGAUAGGCCCUUCGCAGAGGGAAGCAGAGGUUGUCAUGCACUUUUGAGGUUUGGAUGCGUGUCCUCUUAGUGCGGAGGAACGUCACUUUAUAUUGCCUCCUGUGAUAAAGAACUUUAUAAUGCAGUGUGUCGAAUUUAUGUCUUAGUCAUCACAAGUUCGUACAAAGCUUAUUUUCCACACACUAAUAGAUCAUACAUAUUAGGUAGCAAUUUUUAUUGCUUGCACUGAUGACAACUUACUUGAGGGAUCUUAUUCAAUCCAUAGGUAGGUAUGGUGGACUCUCAUGGCAAAACUGGGUUGAAGGUUUAUGGAUGCACAAGUAGUAUCUCUACUUGGUGCGGGAGUUUUGGCUAAUAUGAGGUGGAAGCAAUCGUCACGUGCUAAGGGAUCUCUAAUCAUAUAACAUUGUUCGAAACCAAGCAAACACAAUUCAUUAUGUUGUCUUCCUUGUCCAACAUCUACUUCUAAGCAUGCAAUAGUUUAGUGAGUGUUCACAAUCAUAGAUGGUGUCAAAGAUGAUAUAUUUAUAUGUGAACCUCUCCUUCUUUAUUACUUCCUAUUAGUUGCAACAAUGACCAAGGUCUACGUUUGUCUACCCUCAACAAGUUUCAAUCAACAUUCUUUUUAUAUGUGAAGCCAUCACUUCCCAUAAGAUCAUUACAUGAUCUUUCAUGCUUUUGUUCUUUUCUCACUCUUUUGAUCAUGGCAAGAGGCAAAGCCCUCAAAUAAGACACUCUUUAUUAUAUGGCUCACGAGCUCGAAUACAUCGGGGGAGACACAAAGCAAAAAACUCAAGACUAAAACACUAAGACUUUUAAUCUACUAGAGAAAAAGAAAACUGAAAAGGAACAAACUAAAACAAAGGUAAAGGCAAAAGAUGUGAUGGUGAUACGAUACCGGGGCAACUCCCCCAAGUUUGGCACAAGCCAAGGGGAUUGCCCAUACCCAUGCUCAGUUGUUUUCCUUUGGAGGUGAUGGUGGUGAACUUGUUGCAGAGGUCUUGAGCUUGUUUAAUUUCCACCUGAGCAUAAAAUUUUGCUCCCUCAGGUCAUCAUUUUCCUCUUCAAGCUUCAACACCCUUUGGCAUAAUUCCUGCUUACUCUCCUGCAAGAAACGAGAAGGGAUAAACAGUCUUAGGUUUCUUCCUUGAGUCAGGGAGACUCAACUUCUUGAACUCCACAUGGGUGUUUCCAAGUGGAGGUAGAGGAGCCUCCUCCUCAUCGGAACUUGUUCCUUCCUUCCCCUUGGGUUCAUAAUCUUCUUCCUCAUCAGUGGUUCAACCAUAACGAUCCAAGUCCCCAUAAACAUGGGGUUAGCGAGGUAAUCAUACACAUAGCUCUCCCCCUCUGAAUCCUGAGAAGACAUCUUGACCUAAAUCUACGGCAGAAAACAGGCUCGAAACGAGAACAGAGGAAAUCUGCGUGGUACGAGGGUCAGACCUUACGGGAGAAUAUAUAAUGGUUUUUUCUAGACCAGAAGGAGUACUCCGCACGAAAACGGAGUCCGGGAGGCACACGAGGUGGCAACAAGACCCCCAGGCGCGGCCAGGGGGUGGGCCCGCGCCUGGCAGGCUUGUCGCCUCCACGCGCGCUUUCCGGACUACUUCCAUUUUUUCUAUUUUUUCAAAAAUUCCAAAACGGAGAAAAAAUCCUACUGGAAAUGUUUUGGAGUCUGUUUUCUUGCCGAAUCACAUACCUCUUCGUUUUCGGAUUCUGAAACAGGCUGAUAAAUAGGCACCUUCCAUUUAGAGAGAAGCUUGCGUGCAAAAAAUCUUAAACGAGAAUUAUAUAGCGAGACAUAAUCACCUACAUUGAACUCACUCUUUUGUAUCCUCUUAUCAUGCCACCUCUUAACCUUUUCUUUGAACAACUUGGCAUUUUCAUAUGCCUGAGCUCUCCAUUCAUCAAGCAAGCUAACGUCAAAUAACCUCUUCUCACCAGCAAGAUUGAAAUCAAAGUUGAGCUCUUUGAUUGCCCAAUAAGCUUUAUGCUCUAGCUCAAGAGGUAAAUGACAUGCUUUACCGUACACCAUUUUGUACGGAGACAUGCCCAUGGGAGUCUUAUAGGCAGUUCUAUAAGCCCACAGUGCAUCAUCGAGCUUCUUAGACCAAUUCUUUCUAGACCCGUUGACAGUCUUUUGCAGAAUUAGUUUAAUUUCCCUAUUGCUUAGCUCUACUUGACCACUGGACUGAGGAUGAUAGGGGGACGCAAUUCUAUGGUUGACAUCGUACUUAGCAAGCGUUUUAUGGAAAGCACCAUGAAUGAAAUGUGAACCACUGUCAGUCAUUAGAUAUCUAGGGACUCCAAAUCUAGGGAAGAUAACUUCUUUAUGCAUCCUAAUAGAUGUGUUGUGAUCAGCACUACUAGUGGCGAUAGCUUCUACCCACUUAGUGACGUAAUCAACAACAACUAAGUUGUGAGUAUACCCGUUGGAUUUUGGAAAAGGUCCCAUAUAAUCAAAGCCCCAAACAUGAAAUGGUUCAAUGACAAGUGAAUAGUUCAUAGGAAUUUCCUGACAUUUACCGAUAUUACCUAUUCUUUGACAUUCGUCACAAGACAAGACAAACUUACGGGCAUCCUUGAAAAGAGUGGGCCAAUAGAAUCCUGAUUGCAAUACCUUGUGUGCAGUUCUAUCUCCCGCAUGGUGUCCUCCAUAGGCCUCAGAGUGACACUUCUGUAGGAUCUAUCCCUGUUCAUGUUCAGGUACACAAUGUCUAAUAACACCAUCUACUCCUUCCUUAUAAAGGUGAGGAUCAUCCCAGAAGUAAUGUCUCAAGUCAAAGAAGAAUUUCUUCUUUUGCUGGUAUGUGAAACUAGGUGGUAUAUAUUUGGCGACAAUAUAGUUUGCAUAAUCAGCAUACCAUGGUGCACUACGUGAAGUAUUGAUGACAUUCAUUUGCUCAUCGGGAAAGCUAUCAUCAAUAGGUUGUGGGUCAUCAAGAACGUUCUCUAAGCAAGACAAGUUAUCUGCUACGGGGUUAUCAGCACCAUUCGUGUCGACAAGGUGCAAAUCAAAUUCUUGUAGCAAGAGAACCCAUCUGAUAAGUCUAGGUUUAGCGUCUUUCUUCUCCAUGAGGUACUUAAUAGCAGCGUGAUCAGUGUGAAUACUGACUUUGGGAUCAACUAUGUAGGACCUGAACUUUUCACAUGGAAACACGACUGCUAAAAAUUCCUUCUCCGUAGUAGCAUAGUUUCUUUGGGCACUGUCUAGAGUUUUACUAGCAUAGUGAAUAGCAUUCAACUUCUUAUCAACUCUUUGCCCUAGGACAGCACCAACAGCAUAAUCACUAGCAUCACACAUGCUUUCAAAAGGUAAGUUCCAAUCAGGUGGUUGAACAAUAGGUGCAGUUAUCAAAGCCUUCUUAAGUAUUUCGAAGGCUUCCUCACACUCAUUGUCAAAAACAAAAGGAAUAUCCUUUUGCAAGAGAUUGGUAAGAGGCCUAGAAAUCUUAGAGAAGUCUUUAAUGAACCUUCUAUAGAAACCAGCAUGACCAAGGAAACUUCUUAUACCUUUGAUAUCUGUGGGGUAUGGCAUUUUCUUGAUUGCAUCAACUUUAGCCUUAUCGACUUCAAUACCUCUUUCAGAAAUUUUAUGUCCUAAGACGAUGCCUUCAUUAACCAUGAAGUGGCACUUCUCCCAAUUCAAGACAAGAUUGGUGUCUUUACAUCUCUGCAAGACUCGAUCAAGGUGGCUGAGGCAAUCGUCAAAAGAAGACCCGUAAACAGAGAAGUCAUCCAUGAAAACCUCAACAAUCUUUUCACAAAAGUCAGAGAAUAUAGCCAUCUUACAUCUUUGAAAGGUGGCAGGUGCAUUACAUAAGCCAAAAGGCAUACGUCUAUAAGCAAAGGUACCGAAAGGGCAGGUGAAAGUGGUUUUCUCCUGAUCAGAUUGUGCAACUGGUAUUUGGGAGAAACCAGAAUAACCGUCUAGAAAGCAGAAGUGUGUGUGUUUGGACAAUCUUUCUAGCAUUUGGUCGAUAAAAGGCAAAGGGUAAUGAUCUUCAGAGUUGUGUUUAAUUCUUUCCAAUAAAUUCCAUUUGAAGUCAAUAUCUCUCUUCGUAAAAGAACCGGUACAAGAAGUAUCAAGCAUGGUGCGAUCAUCAUGAGAAAGCCGAGCAUAGAAGUUGUGAAUGAUAAUUUCUCUCGAGAGCUCAUGAUUGGGGCAUGAAUAUAACAUUGACUUAAGCCUCCCCCAAGCUUGAGCGAUGCUUUCUCUGUCACGAGGCCAAAAAUUAUAAAUAUAAUUCCGAUCACGAUGUACUAAAUGCAUAGGAUAAAAAAUUUGAUGAAAUUCCAAUUUCAAGCGAUUGUAGUUCCAUGAUCCACUAUCAUCACAUAGCCUAUACCAUGUCAACGCCUUAUCUCUCAAAGAUAAGGGAAAGACCUUCUUCUUGACCUCAUCCUUGGGCAAACCUGCAAGCUUAAAUAAACCACAAACUUCAUCUAUAUAGAUUAGAUGCAAGUGUGGAUGUGAUGUUCCAUCUCCUCUAAAAGGAUUAGCCAGCAAUUUCUCAAGCAUACCCGAAGGAUAUUCAAAGAAAAUAUUUUCAGUAGGUGCAGCAGGUUGAGGAGCAACUCUUUGUGCUUCCGUUCGAGGUGAAGAUACCCCGAACAAGCCCCUCAAAGGAUUAGUUUCCAUAGUGACAAGUGACAAUAAAUUUCAGCACACUAUAUGAAUGUUUCCUUCCCAAGUUCCACUUACCAAAGGCACUUCACUCCCCGACAACGGCGCCAGAAAACAGUCUUGAUGACCCACAAGUAUAGGGGAUAUAUCGUAGUCCUUUCGAUAAGUAAGAGUGUCGAACCCAACGAGGAGCAGAAGGAUCUGACAAGUGGUUUUCCGCAAGGUAAUAUCUGCACGCACUGAAAUUAUCGGUAACAAGUGAUUGUGUGGUGAGAUCAUUCGUAGCAAGCAACAAGUAACAAAAGUAACAACGGUGCAGCAUAGUGUCCCAAUCCUUUUGUAGCAAGGGACAAGCCUGGACAAAGUCUUAUAGGAGGAAAAACGCUCCCGAGGACACACGGGAAUUUCUGCCACGCUAGUUUUCGUCAUGUUCAUAUGAUUCGCGUUCGUUACUUUGAUAGUUUGAUAUGUGGGUGGACCAGCGCUUGGGUAUUUCCCUUACUUGGACAAGCAUCCCACUUAUGAUUAACCCCUCUCGCAAGUAUCCGCAACUACGAAAGAAGAAUUAAGACAAAGUCUAACCAUAGGAUUAAACUAGUGGAUCCAAAUCAGCCCCUUACGAAGCAACGAAUAAACUAGGGUUUAAGCUUCUGUCACUCUAGCAACCCAUCAUCUACUUACUACUUCCCAAUGCCUUCCUCUAGGCCCAAAUAAUGGUGAAGUGUUAUGUAGUCAACGUUCACAUAACACCACUAGAGGACAAACAACAUACAACACAUCAAGUUACCGAACGAAUACCAAAUUCACAUGACUACUAUUAGCAUGACUUAUCCCAUGUCCUCAGGAACAAAAGUAACUACUCACAAAGCAUUAUCAUAUUCAUGACCAGAGAGGUAAUGAGUAGCAUCAAGGAUCUGAACAUAAACUCUUCCACCAAAUAAUCCAACUAGCAUCAACUACAAAGAGUAAUUAACAAUACUAGCAACCUUACAAGUACCAAUCGGAGUCGGGAGACAGAGAUUGGUUACAUGUGAUGAACUAGGGUUUGGAGAUGAGAUGGUGAUGAUGAAGAUGUUGAUGGUGAUGAGUCCCAUCCGAUGAGAGGAGUGUUGGUGAUGAUAAUGGCGACAAUUUCCCCCUCGGGAGGGAAGUUUCCCCGGGAGGAUCGUCCUACCGGAGCUCUAGAUUGGUUCUGUUCAAGUUCCGCCUCGUGGCGGCGGCGAAUCCUCGAAAAAGCCUCCUCCUGAUUUUUUUUCGGAAUGAAACCCUUCAUAUAGCAGAAGAGGGGGGCCAGUGGGCCAGCAGGGAGCCCACAAGCCCCCUAGGCGCGGCCAGGGGGGUGGCCGCGCCUACCAGGCUUGUGGCCCCCUGGUUGCGCUCCUCUGGCACUUCUUCGGCCCAGUAUUUUUUAUAUAUUCCCAAAAAAAUCCACGUUGAUUUUCACGGCUUUUGGAGUUGCGCAGAAUAGGCAUCUCAAACUUGCUCCUUUUUCAGGCCAGAAUUCCAGCUGCCGACAUUCUCCCUCUUCAUGUAAACCUUGCAAAAUAAGAGAGAAAAGGCAUAAGUAUUGUCCCGUGAAGUGAAAUAACAGCCCAAAAAGCAAUAAAUAUCAACAUGAAAGCAUGAUGCAAAAUGGACGUAUCACAACGCCAACAGCAUAAUCACUAGCAUCACACAUGCUUUCAAAAGGUAAGUUCCAAUCAGGUGGUUGAACAAUAGGUGGAGUUAUCAAGGCCUUCUUAAGUAUUUCGAAGGCUUCCUCACAAUCAUCGUCAAAAACAAAAGGAAUAUCCUUUUGCAAGAGAUUGGUAAGAGGCCUAGAAAUCUUAGAGAAGUCUUUAAUGAACCUUCAAUAGAAACUAGCAUGACCAAGGAAACUUCUUAUACCUUUGAUAUCUGCGGGGCGUGGCAUUUUCUCGAUUGCAUCAACCUUAGCCUUAUCAACUUCAAUGCCUCUUUCAAAAAUUUGAUGUCCUAAGACGAUGCCUUCAUUAACCAUAAAGUGGCACUUCUCCCAAUUCAAGACAAGAUUGGUAUCUUUACAUCUCUGCAAGACUCGAUCAAGGUUGCUGAGGCAAUCAUCAAAAGAAGACCCGUAAACGGAAAAGUCAUCCAUGAAAACCUCAACAAUCUUUUCACAAAAGUCAGAGAAUAUAGUCAUCAUACAUCUUUGAAAGGUGGCAGGUGCAUUACAUAAGCCAAAAGGCAUACGUCAAUAAGCAUAGGUACCGAAAGGGCAGGUGAAAGUGGUUUUCUCCUGAUCAUAUUGUGCAACUGGUAUUUGGGAGAAACCAGAAUAACCAUCUAGAAUGGAGAAGUGUGUGUGUUUAGACAGUCUUUCUAGCAUUUGGUCGAUAAAAGGCAAAGGGUAAUGAUCUUUUCUAGUGGCCUUAUUCAAUUUCCUAAAAUCGACCACCAUCCUAUAGCCAGUAAUAAUCCUCGGAGGGAUCAAUUCAUCCUUAUCAUUAGGGACAACGGUAAUACCUCCCUUCUUAGGGACGCAGUGCACCGGACUUACCCAAUCACUAUGAGCAACAUGAUAGAUAAUACCUGCUUCCAGGAGCUUUAGUAUUUCUUUUCCUACUAUCUCUUUCAUCUUAGGAUUUAAUCUCAGUUGAUGAUUGGCAACUGGUUUGGAAUCAGGAUCGGUUUUAAUCUUGUGCUGGCAUCGAGUGAGACUAAUGCCUUUAAGAUCAUCAAGAGUAUAUCCAAUAGCAGCACGGUGCUUCCUGAGAGUUUUUAGUAACUUCUUUUUUUCAUGCUCUGAGAGGCUAGCACUAAUUAUAACAGGAUAUAUCUAUUUUUCAUCGAGAUAAGCAUACUUAAGAGUAUCAGGCAACUGUUUAAGUUCGAACACAGGAUCACCCUUUGGUGGGGGUGGUUCUCCAAACAGUUCAACAUGCAAAUUAUUCUUAAGGAUAGGAUAUUGUUCAAAGAUAACUCUAUCCAUCUCAUCCAUUUCAUCCAUAUGCAUAUCAUUUUCAUGCUCAAGCAAGUAUUGCUCUAAGGGAUCAGUAGGAGGCACGGCAGUAGAAGCUCGGGCAAUAAUUUCAUCCUUACUAGGCAACUCUUUUUCAUGAGGUUGUCUACCAAACUUGGAGAAAUUGAACUCAUGUGACACACCUUCAAAGCCAACAGUGACAGUUUGCUUCUCACAGUCAAUAUGAGCAUUGACAGUAUUGAGGACAGGUCUGCCAAAUAUGAUGGGACAAAAGCUAUCUUGUGUGGUAGCAAGAACGGGAAAAUCAGCAGGAUACUUCGUUUUACUACACAAGACUUCAACAUCUCUAACAAUUCCGAAAGGGCAUAUAGUAUCUCUAUUGACAAGCUGAAUAGUGACAUCAAUAGGUUCCAUCUCAACAGGUGCAAUCUCCUCUCUAAUUUCAUCAUAUAAGGGUUGAGGUAUUGCACUAACACUAGCACCCACGUCCCAUAAACCAUGAUAAAAUGAUCUCUUGUCUUAACAGAAACAACAUGCGUGCCAACAACAGGCCUAUGUUUGUCUCUAGCAUGGGGUUUAGCAAUUCUAGUAGCAUCUUCACAGAAGUGAAUAUCAUGGCCAUCAACAUUGUCGGAGAGGAGAUCUUUGAUAAUAGCAAUGCUAGGUUCAACUCUAUUUUUUUUUGACCGAUUAUUGUAGGGAAACACCCCACAGCUGUUAGUUUUAUUAAACAAUAUUUACAAUAAUCACAGCAUAGGGGAAUAGAAUGUACAGGGGCGGGGUAGAUAUUACAAACCUCAAGGAGGUAAAAAGGAAAUCCACUUCAAGAGAGCCUCUCUAAGCCUAGGUUUAAUUCUGUAAGCUAGAAGGGGCAUAUCAUGAAUAAAACCAGACCUCCAUCUCCUGAAUCUAGGUUGAUAAUUCCUGAAAACCUUGGCAUUCCUGACAGUCGAAAUGUUCGAGCACGCAGUGAAGACUGUCUCUGAGAAAAAAGGGUGGGCAAAGUCCUUCCUUGCAGCAAGAGUGGUAGUGUACAUGUCAGAUCCCUGCCAUGAAAUCUGAAGAUAGUUCCAUAUCCUAAUGCUAAAUGAGCAGCUGAAGAAAAGAUGGUCUCUGUCCUCCUUGACCUGAGCAUGACAGAGAACACGGAGGUUGGAUUCAGAAAUGUUCCAUUGUGUGCGUUCAAGCAUGUCCCGUGUAUUGAGUCUGUCCAUAAUAAGCAUCGAGGCAAACAUUUUUAUUUUGAUGGUACAACAGCUCUUCCAAAUCCAACAGAGCAAAGGAUUAGGAACAAUAGACUUGUGUAGAUGGUUGUAGUAUUUCUUAGCAGAGUAAGAUUUACUAUCAGGACCCCAAAGCCAAAUAAUCCUUGUUGUUUGAGUCUCUAUUUAGGUUUUGGACUAGAUAGCUGACUGUUUGAAACUCCUGAUGAUCUCUUUCUGACAGUGGUAGAUGAAAGAGAUUGAUCAUGCUAUAAGUGUGUGCAGCUUGGAAGACUUCCUCAGCAGUACAAAAAGAGUCCACAUCAAAAGAGAAUAAUCUUUGAAACCUUUGGGCCAGAGGCAUGAUAGAACCAUCUACAACCCAAGAAUCAGACCAGAACAUGAAUGUGUCACCUAUGUUGGGCACAACAUAGGUGACAGCCUUGAAGUUGUCCAUUUUUUUGCAGAUGUCCUUCCACCAGAAAGAGCCACAGAGAGAAGUCCCCUGAGGGAUAGUAUUGUGGUAGUAAGUAUCCUAAAUUAACUUCACCCAAGGAACAUCAGCUUUGUUGAGAAAUUUAUCUACAUGCUUGAGUAGGAGAGCUUCAUUCUGAAAAGCCAAAUUCAUAAUGCCCAUACCCCCCCCUUCAUUUUAGGCCUGCACACCAGGUCCCAUGCAGUAAGAUAGGGGGCAUGAUCCUGACCAUUUUUCCUCCACAGACAAUGCCUCUGAAUUCUUUCCAACUGCUUAACUAUUCCAGGGGGAUACCUAGACUGCACACAAAGAACAGUGGAACAGAGGACAGAGCAGAGUUGAGGUAUUGAAGCCUUCCCGCUUGAGUUAGAAAAGAGGAGCUGACAGAGAGCUUCCUCUCCAUACUGUCCACCAAGGGCAUGAGGUCAAUGAUUCUGGGUUUAGUUGUACCAAUAGGUAGGCCAAGAUAAGUGAAGGGAAGAGAUACAGUCUUACAACCUAUUGCAUCAGCCAGGAGUUGAAGAUGAUAUUGAUCAAUGUUUACUGGUAACAGAGCAGAUUUGUGGUAAUUCACCUGAAGACCUGUGGAUUGUGAGAAGACAAAGGCAUUGCUUUGAGCUCCAAAAGUUGUGAUUUAUCAGCAGGCAUGAUGAUAAGAGUAUCAUCAGCAUAUUGGACAAUUGGAAAAUCCUUGUCAUGACAGGGGAUUGGGAGCUACAGCAAACCAUCUUCUAACAACUUGUUAACCAAGGUCUCGAGAAAAUCUGCAGCUAUUGCAAAGAGUAGAGGGGACAAAGGAUCCCCCUGCCUAACCCCUCUUCUACACAUGAAUUUUUUACCAGGAACUCCAUUAACAAGGAUGGAGGAGGAUCCAGUGUUGAGCAACUGUUGAACCCAAAGAAGCCACUUGACAGGAAAACCUUUAUGCUGCAGGAUCUGAAGAAUAAACUCGUGUUCUAUAGAGUCAAAAGCCUUUUCAAAAUCUAGCUUUAGUAUGACAAUAGGUUUUUUAGACUGAUGACAUUGAUGCAAGUACUCAAGUGUCCAACCAACACAGUCCUGAAUGGUCCUAGACUUAAUGAAGCCAUACUGGUUCUUAUGAAUGCAGUUCAUAAUCUGUAGCUGAAGUCUAUUAGCAAUCAUUUUGGACGGAAAUUUAAGCCCCAUACCAGUGAGAGAGAUAGGCCUGAAGUCACUCUACCAGCAAUCAUUUUUGGCACAAGGGUGAUAUAGGAGGAGUUCAUGUUUUCCAGCUGGGCUGAUCCAGCAUGAAAUGCAGAAGCAAGUUGGUAAAACUCAGGGGAGAAGAUGUGCCAACAUUUUUUGAAAAAGAGUCCAUUAAAACCAUCAGGACCAGGUGCUUUGUCAAUAGGCAUUUCUUUGAUAGUGUUGUCCAUUUCCUCUUUGGAAAAAGGUUCAGUCAGAAUUGAUAGCCCUUCCACUUUUUGGAUGAGAGCUUGGAGAUCAAAAACUAAAUUAAUGCCAUGUGAGGUGCCCAUCCUAUCUUUGAAGGAAGACCAGAAGCAAGCAACAAUCUGUUCAUGUUCAAUGAUGACUGAACCAUCAGGCAAGGAGAGAGAUGAGAUGGAGUUUUCCGGUAUCUCUCAGUGGCCAUGGCAUGGAAAAAAUUUGUGUUCUCCUCCCCCACUUUAAUAUAUCUAAUUGUGGCUCUCUUUUUCCAGUACAGAAAUUGCAAAUGUAACAAGUGCUCCAAGUGAAAUUUGACAAUUAUCCUGAAGUUUGCUUCUAGUCUGUAUAGUGGCCUGAGCUCCUCAAGAUCAUCAAGACAGAGUAUUACAUUAUUGCAUUUGUCAAUAGUAGCUUUGAGUUUGGACAGGCUGGUUUGCCAUUUCCUUAGAGCAUGUCUAAGAUGCUUGAACUUGUCCAUGAUGAUAGCAGAUAUAUGCCCCUUUCUGGAAGGAACAUUCCAUGAGUUUGCAACACAUUCCAGGAAACCCUCCAUUUCUACCCAAUAGUUUUCAAACCUAAAAAGGUUACUUUUGGGAAUGGUUGUAUUAAGUGAGACUACACAUGGAACAUGGUCAGAAGCAGACUUAGCCAGAGGAGUCACUUGGGUCAAUGGAUAUGAAGAUAUCCAAUUAGCAGAAGUGAAGAACCAAUCAAGCUGUUCAAGAAGUGGAGAAUCUUGCAUGUUGGACCAGGUAAAAGAUCUUCCUUUGAGAGGCAGUUCCAAGAGUCCAAGGUGCCCAAUAAUCUCAUUGAAGAUGAACAUAUCAUUGACAUCAGCCCCUGGGAGGUUUCUGUUGGUAGGAGAACGCAGGAAAUUAAAGUCCCCAACCAGCAACCAGUUAUCCAUUACUGGUAUCUGGAGGUGAUAUAACCAGCUAACAAAUUGGUCCCUUGGCUCACCCUGACAAGGGCCAUAAACAUUGACAAGAGUCCAGGAUUCAGAAGUGUGAUUAGAGGUGAAGGACACAAUCAACCCAAAUGGCCGCACUGUUACCACAGUACCAGACAGCACUGAGGAAUUCCAUAGAGUAAUCAAGCCACCCGAAGCACCCCUCGAGGGGGUAUAAGCAAACUGAUCAAAUCUUUUGGGACAAAAUUUUCUGAUAGACCGGAAGUCGAUAUUUUGCAUUUUAGUUUCUUGCAGAGAGACAACUGUGUCAACGAUCCCGAUAGGAGCCGCAUAUCUCGUUCUCAGGACACGACGGAUGAGCUAUGGUUACCACGCCAAAACACUUAUUAACUGAGUGCCAAGUGCCAGUUCCUGUUUUUGACCCCUUUUAGAGGAGAUUUUGAAACGGAGUCCAAACAGAAUAAAAUUCCCGAAAAUAAUUUUUCCGUGACGGAAGAAGAUCAGGAGACUUGAGAGCCAAGGCAGGGGCCCCCAGGGGCCCCACAAGCCCUCACCCCGCGGCCAGGGCGGAGGCCGCGGCCCACAGGCUUGUGGGCCCCCUGGACGCCCUUUGCCCUAGGGGUUGCGCCUAUGUAUUCCCUAAAAAUCCCAAAAAAAUCAGGAGAUCAUCGAAAGUUCUUUUAUGCCGCUGCAAGCUUCUGUCUCCGCAAGAUCCCAUCUAGGGCACGUUCUGGUGCCCUGCCGGAGGGGGGAUUCGGACACAGAGUACUUCUUCAUCAACACCAUGACCUCUCCGAUGAUGCGUGAGUAGUUCACCAUAGACCUACGGGUCCAUAGCUAGUAACUAGAUGGCUUCUUCUCUCUCUUGGAUCUUCAAUACAAAGUUCUCCAUGAUCUUCAUGGAGAUCUAUCCGAUGUAAUCCUCUUUUGCGGUGUGUUUGUCGAGAUCCGAUGAAUUUUGGAUUUAUGAUCAGAUUAUCUAUGAAUCUUAUUUGAGUUUCUUCUGAUCUCUCUUAUGCAUGAUUUCAUAUCCGUGUAAUUCUCUUCGAGUUGUGGGUUUUGUUUGGCCAACUAGAUCUAUGAUUCUUGCAAUGCAGAAGUGCUUGGUUUUGGGUUCAUACCGUGCGGUGACCUCACCCAGUUACAGAAGGGGUAGCGAGGCACGCAUCGUUUUGUUGCCAUCAAGGGUAAAAAGAUGGGGUUUUCAUCAUUGGUUUGAGAUUAUCCCUCUACAUCAUGUCAUCUUGCUUAAGGCGUUACUCUGUUCGUCAUGAACUCAAUACACUAGAUGCAAGCUGGAUCGCGGUCGAUGUGUGGAGUAAUAGUAGUAGAUGCAGAAAGUAUUAGUCUACUUGUCUCGGACAUAAUGCCCAUAUGUAUGAUCAUUGCCUUAGAUAUCGUCAUGACUUUGUGUGGUUCUAUCAAUUGCUCGACAGUAAUUUGUUCACCCACUGUGAUAUUUGCUAUUUUGAGAGAAGCCUCUAGUGAACAUUAAGGCCCCCCAGGUCUACUCCACACCAUAUUUUCAGCCUUACACUUUUUACUUCGUUGCACUUUCCGCCUUCAGAUCUCACUUUGCAAACAAUCUUGAAGGGAUUGACAACCCCUUUGAAGCGUUGGGUGCAAGCUUGUUUGUGUUUGUGCAGGUACUCUGGACUUGACGAGACCCUCGUUCUGGAUCGAUACCUUGGUUCUCAAACUGAGAGAAAUAAUUACUGCUCGUGUGCUGCAUCACCCUUUCCUCUUCAAGGGAAAAACCAACGCAAGCCCAGUCUCCGUUAACGUGUCAAUUUCUGGCGCUGUUGUCUGUUGCCGUAGCAGAAGAAUUUCUGGCGCCGUUGCCGGGGAGGAAGAUCAAGUCAAGAACUCAUCCAAGUAGGUGUCGCAAACUCAUCUCUUGCAUUUACUUUGUUUGCCAAUUGCCUCUCGUUUUACUCUCCCCCACUUCACAAUUUGCCUUUUUCGUUUGCCUUUUUCGUUCGCCCUUUUUCCUCGCUUGCUCUUUGUUUGCUUGUGUGCUUGCUUGCUUGCCGAAGUCACCAUGAAUGAAAACACCAAACUUUGUGACUUCUCGAAUACUAAUAAUAAUGAUUUUAUUAGUACUUCGGAUGCUCCCGCCACUAGUGCGGAGUCAUACGAAUUCAAUGCCGCUUUGUUGAAUCUUGUUAUGAAAGAGCAAUUCUCCGGCCUUCCUAGUGAAGAUGUCGCAUUCCAUCUCAAUACCUUCAUUGAGCUUUGCGAUAUGCAAAAGAAGAAAGAUGUGGAUAAUGACGUGAUUAAAUUGAAGCUUUUUUCCUUUCUCGUUGCCAGAUCGCGCAAAAACUUGGUUUUCUUCUUUGCCCAAAAAUAGUAUCGAUUCUUGGGAUAAGUGCAAAGAUGCUUAUAUAUCCAAGUAUUUUCCGCCGGCUAAGAUUAUCUCUCUCCGUAAUGAUAUCAUGAAUUUCAAGUAACUUGAUAAUGAACAUGUUGCACAAUCUUGGGAGAGAAUGAAAUUAAUGAUUAGAAAUUGUCCCGCUCAUGGCUUGAGUCUUUGGAUGAUUAUUCAAAUCUUUUACGCUGGCUUGAAUAUCGCUUCUAGAAAUAUCUUGGACUCCGCCUCAGGUGGAACGUUCAUGGAAAUCACGUUAGGGGAGGCCACAAAGCUCCUAGACAAUACCAUGACGAACUACUCUAAGUGGCACACUGAAAGGUCACCUACUAGUAAGAAGGUACACGCUAUAGAGGAAAUUAACUCGUUGAGUGCUAAGAUGGAUGAGUUAAUGAAUUUGGUUGCUAGUAGAAGUGAUCCUUAAGAUCUUAAUGAUAUGCCCUUGUCUUCUUUGAUUGAGAGUAGCAACGCUAGCUUGGACGUUAAUUUUGUUGGUAGGAAUAACUUUGGCAACAACAAUGCUUUUAGAGGAAACUAUGUUCCUAGGCCUUUUCCUAGUAACUCCUCUAAUACUUUUGGCAACUCCUACAACAAUACUCAUGGAAAUUACAAUAGAUUACCUUCUGAUCUAGAGAGUAAUAUCAAAGAGUUUAUCAACUCACAAACAAAUCUCAAUGCGUCCAUAGAGGAAAAACUACUCAAAAUUGACGAUUUGGCUAAGAGCGUUGAUAGAAUGUCUAGUGAUGUUGAUGCUUUGAAACUUAGAUGUGCUCCUCCCAAGAUCAAUAUGGAUGAAACUUUGAAAGCUAUGCGUGUUUCCAUGAUUGAGAGCAAAGAAAGAACCACCCAAAUUCGUGCUAGACAUGAAUGGCUUAAAAAUGCGUGUUCUCGUGAUAAGAAUCACGAAGAUCUUAAAGUGCUUGGUGUGACUCCCAUUGAAUCUUUGUUUUCUUGUGUCAAACCUCAUGAUCAUGGGGCUGGAUAUGAAUCCACUUUGGUUGAAAAUUGCCCAAAUGAUUUGGAGUCCAUCUAUCUUGAUGCUAAAAGCAUUAAAAGUGGAGUAGAAGAUAUUAAAACUUUGAGUAGUAAUGAAAUUACUACCUUGGAUUUCAAGGAAUUCAAUUACGAUAGUUGCUCCUUGAUUGAAUGCAUUUCCUUGAUGCAAUCCAUGUUAAACUCUCCACACGCUUAUAGCCAAAACAAGACCUUUACCGAUCAUAUCGUCGAAGCUAUGAUAAAAUAUCUUGAAGGGAAACUUGAAUUGGAAGUCUCUAUCCCUAGAAAGGUUCAUGAUGAGUGGGAAACUACCAUCAAAAUCAAAAUCAAAAACUAUGAGUGCAAUGCUUUGUGUGAUUUGGGUGCUAGUGUUUCUGCGAUUCCAAAGUCUUUAUGUGAUGUUCUGGGUUUUAAUGAGAUUGAAGAGUGUUCUCUUAAUUUGCAUCUUGCUGAUUCUACUGUCAAGAAACCCAUGGGAAGGAUCAAUGAUGUUCUUAUUAUUGCAAAUAGGAACUAUGUACCCGUGGAUUUCAUUGUGCUUGACAUUGAUUGCAAUCCUACAUGCCCUAUUAUUCUUGGUAGACCUUUCCUAAGGACUGUCGGUGCUAUCAUCGAUAUGAAGGAAGGGAAUAUUAGAUUUCAAUUUCCUUUGAGGAAGGGCAUGGAACACUUUCCUAGAAAGAAAAUAAGAUUGCCUUAUGAUUUAUGAAUCCAUGAUGAGGGCCACUUAUGGUUUGAGCACCAAAGACGACGAUACGUGAUUCUAUCGCUUUUAUGCCUAGCUAGGGGCGUUAAACAAUAGCGCUUGUUGGGAGGCAACCCAAUGAAUUUAUCUUUUUCUUUCUCUUUUGUUGCAACCACACUUUCAUAAUUCUGUUGUGAUUGUUUUUUUUGUGUUUCUUUUUGUGUUUGAGCCAAGUAAAACCUUUAUGAUUAGUCUUGGUAAUGGUUGUUUGAUGCUGCUGGAAAAAGACAGAAACUUUUCGCUCACGAGAUGAUUUUUCAUUUUUAUUCAGAAAGAGCUUUUGAGUUGAUUAUUUUUGCUUCUGGUUGAUAUGCCUUUUUCCUAGGCCUUCGUAAUUGUUCACAUCUUUUGAGGUACCAGAAGUAUACGAAGUAUACAGAUUGCUACAGACUGGUCUGUUUUUGACAGAUUCUGUUUUUGUUGAGUUGGUUGCUUGUUUUGAUGAAACUAUGGUUAGUAUCGGGGGGGGGGUACUAGCCAUGAAAAAGUGAGAAUACAGUAGCCCAACACCAAUAUAGAUAGAAUUCAAGGUUGCUACAGUACCAAAAGAAGUGGUAGUUUGUUUUCUUGUGAUAAUGUUAUCACGAGUUUCUGUUUAAGUUUAGUGUUGUGAAGUUUUCAAGUUUUGGGUGAUGUUCUCAUGGACAAGGAGAUAAGGAGUGGAAAGAGCUCAAGCUUGUGGAUGCCCAAGGCAUCCCAAGACAAAUUCAAGGACACCAAAAAGCCUAAGCUUGGGGAUGCCCCGAGAAGGCAUCCCCUCUUUCGUCUUCAAUCCAUCGGUAACAUUACUUGGAGCUAUAUUUUUAUUCACCACAUGAUAUGUGUUUUACUUGGAGCGUCUUGUAUCUUAGGAGUGUUUUAUUUUUGUUGUGUCACAAUCAUCCUUGCUGCACACAUUUUUGAGAGAGAGAGACAUGCACUCAUCGUGAUUUUUGCUAGAAUGCUCAUAGUGCUUCACUUAUAUCUUUUGAGCUAGAUACUUUUGCUCUUUGUGCUUCACUUAUAUCUUUUAGAGCACGGCAGUGCAUGAUUUGGUAGUUGGCUUAUGCUAUGAAAGUAGUCCCAAAUGUGAUAGGUACCCAAAUAGGAUGCAAAAAACCUCCAUCUUCAUGUGCAUUGAGUAGAAAGAGAAGUUUUAAUUCCUCUCAAUUAGUUUUGAGACGUGGAUUUGGUAAUAUUAAGAGCUAUUUUAGUAGGGUGUUGUGAAUCUAGAAAUACUUGUGUUGAAGUUAGUGAUUCCCGUAGCAUGCACGUAUGUUGAACUGCUAUGUUAGGAAGUCAGAGCAUAAUUGAUCUAUUGAUUGUCAUCCUUUGUGUUGAGGUCGGGAUCGCGCGAUGGUUAACACCUACCAACCCUUCCCCUAGGAGUAUGCGCUUAGGACUUUGUUUCGAUUACUAAUAAAAACUUUUGCAACAAGUAUGUGAGUUCUUCAUGACUAAUGUGAGUCGAUGGUAUAGAUGCACUUUCACCUUUCGCCAUUGCUAGCCUCUCUAGUGCCGCGCAAUUCUCGCCGGUACACAAACCCACCAUAUGCCUUCCUCAAAACAACCACCAUACCUACCUACUAUGGCAUUUUCCUAGCCAUUCCGAGAUAUAUUGCCAUGCAACUCCCAUCGUUCCGUGUCAUGACUUGUGUUCUCACUCUCAUAUUGCCAUUGCAUGGUCGUAAGAUAGCUAGCGAGUCAUACGCCAUGCUAGAUCGUUGCACAUCCCAGUACACUGCCGGAGGCAUUUCCUAUAGAGUCAUAAUCAUUUUGAGCUGUGAGUAAAUAAAAGUGUGAUGAUCAUCAUUAUUAGAGCAUUGUCCCAUGUUAGGAAAUAAAAAAAGAGGCCAAAGAGCCCAAAAAAAGAAAGGAAAAAAAGAGAGGCCUAAAUUGAAAAAAAAGAGAAGGGACAAUGCUACUAUCUUUUUCCACACUCGUGCUUCAUAAUAGCACCAUGUUCUUCAUGAUUGAGAGCUUCUUGCUUUAUCACUACCAUAUGCUAGUGGGAAUCUUCAUUAUAUAACUUGGCUUGUAUAUUCCAAUGAUGGGCUUCCUCAAAAUUGCCCUAGGUCUUCGUGAGCAAGCAAGUUGGAUGCACACCCACUAGUUUUCCUUUUGAGCUUUCACAUACUUAUAGCUCUAGUGAACCUCUUGUAUGGAAAUCCCUACUCAUUCACAUUGAUAUCUAUUAAUGGGCAUCUCCAUAGCCUUUUGAUACGCCGAGUCAAUGUGACCAUCUCCUCCUUUUUGUCUCACAACCACCACCACACUCUAUUCCACUUAUAGUGUUAUAUCCAUGGCUCACGCUCAUGUAUUGCGUGAUAGUUAUAAAAAGUUUGAGAAAGUAAGAGUGCGAAAACAAUUACUUGGCCAAUACCAGGGUUGUACAUGAUUUACAUUAGUUGUGUGAGGAUGAUGGAGCAUAGCUAGACUAUAUGAGUUUGUAGGGAUAACUUUCCUUGGCCUUGUUAUUUUGAAAGCUCAUGAUUACUUUGCUAGUUUGCUUGAAGUAUUAUUGUUUUCAUGUCAAUAGCUAACUAUUGUUUUGAAUCUUAUGGAUCUGAACAUUCAUGUCACGUGAAAAAAGUUGCAAAGGACAACUAUGCUAGGUAGCAUUCCACAUCAAAAAUUCAUUCUUUAUCACUUCCCUACUCGAGGACGAGCAUGAGUUAAGAUUGGGGAUGCUUGAUACGUCUCCAACGUAUCUAUAAUUUUUUAUGGUUUCAUGCUAUUAUCUUGUCAAACUUUGGAUGUUUUUCAUGCCUUUUAUAUAUUUUUUGGGACUAACUUAUUAACUCAGUGCCAAGUGCUAGUUCCUGUUUUUUCCAUGUUUUUGACACCUUUCAGAGGAGAUUUUGAAACGGAGUCCAAACGGAAUAAAAUCUCCGAAAAUAAUUUUUCCGUAACGGAAGAAGAUCAGGAGACUUGAGAGCCAAGGCAGGGGCCCCCAGGGGCCCCACAAGCCCUCACCCCGCGGCCAGGGCGGAGGCCGCGGCCCACAGGCUUGUGGGCCCCCUGGACGCCCUUUGCCCUAGGGGUUGCGCCUAUGUAUUCCCUAAAAAUCCCAAAAAAAUCAGGAGAUCAUCGAAAGUUCUUUUAUGCCGCCGCAAGCUUGUGUCUCCGCAAGAUCCCAUCUGGGGCACGUUCUCGUGCCCUGCCGGAGGGGGGAUUCAGACACGGAGGGCUUCUUCAUCAACACCAUGACCUCUCCGAUGAUGCGUGAGUAGUUCACCAUAGACCUACGGGUCCAUAGCUAGUAACUAGAUGGCUUAUUCUCUCUCUUGGAUCUUCAAUACAAAGUUCUCCAUGAUCUUCAUGGAGAUCUAUCCGAUGUAAUCUUCUUUUGCGGUGUGUUUGNNNNNNNNNNNNNNNNNNNNNNNNNNNNNNNNNNNNNNNNNNNNNNNNNNNNNNNNNNNNNNNNNNNNNNNNNNNNNNNNNNNNNNNNNNNNNNNNNNNNNNNNNNNNNNNNNNNNNNNNNNNNNNNNNNNNNNNNNNNNNNNNNNNNNNNNNNNNNNNNNNNNNNNNNNNNNNNNNNNNNNNNNNNNNNNNNNNNNNNNNNNNNNNNNNNNNNNNNNNNNNNNNNNNNNNNNNNNNNNNNNNNNNNNNNNNNNNNNNNNNNNNNNNNNNNNNNNNNNNNNNNNNNNNNNNNNNNNNNNNNNNNNNNNNNNNNNNNNNNNNNNNNNNNNNNNNNNNNNNNNNNNNNNNNNNNNNNNNNNNNNNNNNNNNNNNNNNNNNNNNNNNNNNNNNNNNNNNNNNNNNNNNNNNNNNNNNNNNNNNNNNNNNNNNNNNNNNNNNNNNNNNNNNNNNNNNNNNNNNNNNNNNNNNNNNNNNNNNNNNNNNNNNNNAAUACACUAGAUGCAUGCUCGAUAGCGGUCGAUGUGUGGAGUAAUAGUAGUAGAUGCAGAAAUUAUCAGUCUACUUGUCUCGGACGUGAUGCCUAUAUUUAUCAUCAUUGCCUUAGAUAUCGUCAUGACUUUGCGUGGUUCUAUCAAUUGCUCGACAGUAAUUUGUUCACCCACCGUGAUAUUUGCUAUUUUGAAAGAAGCCUCUAGUGAAUACUAUGGCCCCCGGGCCUACUCCACACCAUAUUUUCAGCCUUACACUUUUUACUUCGUUGCACUUUUCGCCUUCAGAUCUCACUUUUGCAAACAAUCUUGAAGGGAUUGACAACCCCCUUGAAGCGUUGGGUGCAAGCUUGUUUGUGUUUGCGCAGGUACUCUGGACUUGACGAGACCCUCCUUCUGGAUCGAUACCUUGGUUCUCAAACUCAGGGAAAUACUUAUUGCUCCUGUGCUGCAUCACCCUUUCCUCUUCAAGGGAAAAACCAACGCAAGCCCAGUCUCUGUCAACGUGUCAAUUUCUGGCGUUGUUGUCAGUUGCGGUAGCAACCAGCUGGCACGUGCAACUAGCAAAGCUAACAAAAUAGUGGUUGAGCAAGCCUAAGUUAGCCAAUCAACAUUUACUAGAAGGGGAGGUGUUUGAGGUUUCAUGGCAAUGUUUGAUAGCCUACAUAUCAUGUGGUAGGCAGCAGAGAUGUAACGAAGGAAACGUAACACUAAGCAAAACAAAGCUAGAAACGGUGUCAAGGUCACGAUCAUCUUGCAUGUGAUUUCUUCAGAGUGGAAGUGAUCAUGAUCUUCCCGCACGAACUCACCGGACUCUUCCAACUCGUUUCCAGUCCUAGUAGCUACCCAAAAGAAAACAAGCAGGAAAUAAAUACCAGCAAGAAGAUGACGCCAAAGACAUAAUGAUGCAUGCAUGCACUACCUAUAACCAUGCACAUAAACCACCCUACACCGAUAAAACUAUUGCCACCUCACCACAAGGGGACUCCUACAGAAAGGCUCAAAACCAGAAACGAGUACCACCAUAUGAUUCCUUGGGAUUUUCUACCCCAAAUGCAUAUAUCAUACUGCCCAUGUUGCAUUCAGAAAAACACCACAAACAAUGAAAGAAAAACUAGCACACAUCAAACUACAACAAUAUUCAGAAUAGGGAUGUUCUUGGGUCUGCCCAAUUUGGCAAGUUCAUAUCUGGACAAUUCCAGAAAUGGAAAUAUUCCUAUUUAACACAAAUAAAUACACAAACAAUAAAAAAUAACAGGAAAUAUAUGAUAAGUAGGGGAACCCACGUGGCAGUGGCGAGGGCCCCCUCACUCUAUGACAUGUGGGCCCCUCUUGCCCACUGUCAGCCACACACUCACACACAACCUCCACAUAGCACACACACACUGGAAAAUGACCUCAACAAAAAUAGGUGCAGAGGGGAUUCGAACCCUGCACCUCUGCCCACAUACACACAUGCCACACCACUUCACUAGACGAGUAUAGCUGCACUAGAAGGGGUCGAAGGCCUCCUGUACUGAUGCCAUGCCACUACUAAACUAUAGACUUACAACGAAAAUUAAAAAGGGGGCCGACGGGGACUCGAAUCCGCGACGCACUGGAUCUACCACACACCCCUAACCACUACGCUACUGAACGGAAGCUUGGCAGAGAGGGGGUAUGUCUCCUUUUGAGCAGCCCAUGUGCACGUGCACACCAUCACGUGGCGGCCGGAACAGGGGAAGACGGCGGUGAGGCUACCACCUCUAGUCGGCAUGGCUGGCUACCGGUGGGGGAUGCGGGACCCUACGGGGUUCUAUUCCCGUGGCUAACGCAAUGGGAGAGAGGCUGCACCGGCGACGCGAUGGAGCUGCUGCCCCUCGUCACGACAAAGCACAACAGCGGCGAAGACCAUGCACAGCGAGGGAAUAGGCACGCGGGAGAGGGGGAGAAGAAGACGCGUCUCACCCAGGGGCACGGAGACGAGGACGAUCUGCUCACGGGAGAGGAAGAAGAGGCGAGGCGGAUUCGCGUUGGAGCUGCACCCGCUCUGGCGACGGCGACCCACACACAACGCCGGGGAGGGGGAUCCGCCCUCCUAGCGACGGGAACGGGUCGAGGGAAGUUCUGGCAUCCUCGUGGCCACCUUGAUCUCCACGGGAGAAGUUUGCCGGCGACGAGGGGACGUGGGGACGGCAGCGAAGCUCUCUGCUUUCUCUCUGGACCUCUCUGCUCUACUUCACUAUUGCAUCUUACCUUGGAGAAGGGGAAAGAAGGAGGGAGAAAAGGAUGGUGACGGAGGAUGAGGAAUGCAUGCAUCCCUAGGUCACGUCGGAGCUUAAAUAGGGCGACGCUGACGAACCUCGACGUCCGUGCAGUGCCAUGCGGCAGCCUCUCUCUCUCACGCACUAUUGCUAACUCACAGAAAAGGGAGGAGAGAAGGAGACGGCGUCACAGAAAGGAGAGGCAGGUGGGCUGGCUCGCGAGAAGAGAAUGGAAUGGGCCAGGAAGCCCACUAGACUCUCACUCUCUCUCAAAACUAUCUGGUAUUUUUAAAGAAAAAAUAAAACACAACCAGCUUUGGGGAUUUGAGCUAGGGGAAAAGAAAAGAGUUUUUGUCAAAGUAAAAAUUCUUUUGGAAAUAUAAAAUGAACCUCCUAUUUAUAAAAAUAGGUGGGACAUUUUAGAGUGAAGAAAAAUAACAUGUUUUAUUUGAAUGUGGCUCUGUUUUAAAAUAAAACAAAAGGAAAAAUAAAUGCAAAUAAGUGUGUGUUGCCACCCACAAAUCUUUGAAAGGGGUAUUAAAUAAUUUGAACAAUUUUAAUAGGUCAAAACAAAAACUUCAAAUCUACCCUAAGCUAUUUGAAAGGAGAGAGGGUUUUUGGACAUGGCGCAACUAAGGUUUUGAAGGGCUCUUGUUGCACCCACACCACACUCCACAAGAACAAUCACAAGACACAUGCAAUCACAUACACCACCAAGGUGACCACCACACCAAGAUCAAACAUGGAAGACAAAAUAAAUAAAUGUUAUGCAUGAUGCAUGAUGCACAUGAAAUGAAAACAUCACCAAGUCUCUCAUCCAUCACAUUGCAUCACAAGGUUGCCAAACAUGGAAAGAGUUCAAAAGAAGGGAGGAAAAGCAUUGGGUCUGUCACAACUCUCCCACACUACAAGAGGGUGUUGACCUGAGAUCUAUGAUUGGAAGAACGUUGGGUACUCGGAACGGAGGUGGUCCUCGCGGUCCGAGGUGGCUUCUUUGUCUAAAUGAUGUGACCAUUGCACUUUGAGGAACUUGAUUGACUUAUUGCGGGUCUUGCGCUUAGUCUCUUCAAGUAUUGCUAUCGGAUGCCCAUGGUAGGAUAGGUCGGGCUGGAGGUCGAUAUCCUGGAGAUCACCUGUAAGCUCGGGAGUCUUGAAGCAUCUCCGGAGCUGAGAGACAUGAAACACAUCAUGCACAUUUGAGAAGUUGGAAGGAAGCUCUAACUGAUAAGCAAGAUCGCCUCUCUUACCAACAAUUCUGAAAGGACCAACAAAGCAAGGAGCGAGCUUUCCUUUGAUGCCAAAGCGUUGAGUGCCCUUCAUGGGAGACACUUUCAGAUACACAAAAUCAUCGAGGUGAAAAGUCAUGUCAUGAUGCUUGCUAUCGUAGUAGCUCUUCUAACGGGACUGAGCUGCUUUGAGAUUAUCCCAAAUGACACGACACAUUUCUUCUGCUUCAGUAAUCAUGUCAUUCCCAAGAAUCUGACGCUCAAUAGUUUGUGACCAAUUGAGCGGGGUACGACACUUCCUGCCACAUAAAAUCUAGAAUGGGGCCUUGCGUGAGCUUGCUUGAAAGUUCUUGUUGUAUGAGAACUCGGCAAAUGGUAGGCAAUCUUCCCACUUCAUGCCAAAAGAAAUCACACAAGCUCUGAGCAUAUCUUCAAGGAUGUGAUUGACUCUCUCAAAUUGCCCACUUGUCUGAGGAUGGAAAGGUGUACUGAAACGGAUAUUAGUACCCAUCGCAGUCUGAAAGGAAUCCCAGAACUUGGAAGUAAAGAUGCUUCCACGAUCUAAAGAAAUGAGCAUAGGAACACAGUGCAACGAGACUAUCCUUAACGUAUACAACUCUGCCAGCUAAGGUGCUGAGAUAGACUCUUUGACCGAUAGCAAAUGAGCAACUUUGGUCAACUUGUCGAUGACGAUGAAGAUGGCAUCGUUCCUUUCUUGGACUUCGGAAACCCACUGACAAAAUCCAUCUGCACAUGAUCGAAUUUCCACUCGGGUAUAGGCAAGGGAUGAAGAAGACCUGUUGGACGUUGAUGCUCCGCCUUCACUCUGCGACACACAUCACAGUCGUUUACAAACUAAGCAAUCUCACGUUUCAUGGAGUCCACCCGAAGGUCUGCUUCAGAUCCUGAUACAUUUUGGAGCUUCUUCGAUGUAUCGAGAGAAGGGAAUUAUGGGCUUCAUCCAUGAUAAUUUUCCUGAGCUCUCCUUUCGAAACAACAAGGCGGUCCUCGAAGAACAAGGUAUCUUUGUCAUCAACACGGAAGCACUUUUAUUUCAGAGUGCUCUUUGCCAUGCCAAUCUUAACUUUUUUCACCACCACAUCAAGAAGUUGAGCUUGUCGGACUUAGUCUUCCAAGCUAGGAGAAAUCUGGAGAUUAGCAAGAAAUCCAUGAGGUACUAACUGAAGGUUGAGCUUCCUGAAAUAUUCACAAAGAUCGGGCUGGAGAGGCUUCAGAAUGAGACUGUUGCAGUAAGCCUUUCUGCUCAAAGCAUCUGUAAUGACAUUUGCUUUGCGUGGAGUGUAGUCAACGCUCGGAUUAUAAUCUUGGAUCAUUUCCACCCAACGAUUUUGCCAAAGAUUGAGACUAGGUUGGGUGAAGAUGUAUUUGAGACUCUUGUGAUCGGUGUAGACCGCAACCUUUCUGCCCAACAAGAGAUGUCUCCAAGUCAUCAGAGCAUGGACCACUGCCGCCAACUCAAGAUCAUGAGUGGGGUAAUUCUUCUCAGUUGGCUUCAACUGCCUCGAGGUAUAAGCUAACACUUUCUCCUCUUGCAUCAGAACUGCACCAAGACCUUGAAGAGAGGCAUCACAAAACACUUGAUAAGGCUUGUAAUCAUUAGGAGGAGUCAAUACUGGAGUAGAAGUGAGCUUCUCUUUGAGUGUGUCGAAGGCCAACUGACACACUGGAGACCAGACAGACGUCACACUAUUCUGAAGAAGGCUUGACAGAGGCUUAGCAAUCUUGGAGAAGUUCUCAAUGAACCUUCUGCAAUAGCUUGUAAGCCCGAGAAAGCUUCGAAGAUGCUUCACAGCAUGAGGAGGUUCCCACUCAACAAUGGCCUGCACCUUUGAUGGAUCAACUUUGAUGCCCUCGGAAGAGAUGAUGUGCCCAAGGUACACAACUUCCUUCAACCAGAACUCGCAUUUGGAAAACUUAGCAUAGAACUUAUGCUCUCUUAGCUUAUCAAGCACAAGCCGGAGAUGUUCUUCACGCUCUUCCUCAGUUUCAGAAAAGACCAGAAUGUCAUCAAGAUACAUCAAGACAAAUUCAUUCUUGAAUGGGGAGACGACAUAAUUCAUCAUCUGAUAGAAGGUCGGCGGAGCAUUGGCAAGACCAAAAGACAUCAUUGUGUACUCAUAAGUGCCAGAGCUUGUCCUGAAUGCAGUAUUGUGAAUGUCUUCUUCACGAAUGCGGAUUCGAUGAUAGCCCAUCCUGAGAUCAAGCUUAGAGAAAAUAUUGGCCCCCUUCAAUUUCUCGAACAGUUCAUUGAUGUUGGGAAGUGGAUACUUGUUUCUGAUCGUCUUCUUAUUCAAUGGACGAUAAUCGACACAGAGUCGGUCCGUUCCAUCCUUCUUCUUGACAAAAAGAAAUCAACAACCCCAAGGAGAUGAGCUUGUUGUGAUCAGACCCAGACGCUCUUGCUCAUCAAGCUUCUUCUUCAACUCUUUCAAAUCUUCUGGACCCAGUUUAUACGGCCACUUGCAUACUGGUUCAGUUCCCGGUUCAAGCUCAAUUACGAACUCAACUGCCCGGUGCGGAGGCAUUCCAAGCAGUUCUUCCGGAAAGGCAUCUUCAUACUCACAGACCACUGGGUCGUGUCAAGGAAAACAGACGGAUCGUGUCAUCGCGCGCAGCAAAGAUAAUCACGUCCUCCGAAGGAUGAGUCGGCUUGACUUCUUUUGCUUGACAAUCAAGAAAUGCCUUGUUCAUAGCUAGCCAAUCCAUACCAAGGAUCAGAUCAAUAUCAGACUUGCCAAGGACACUUGGAGAAGCCGAAAAUGAAUAGUCGCCCAUCUUGACAAAGAGAUCGCGAACGACCUUGUUGGUGCUGAUGAGAGAGCCGGGUGAAACCACACGCAAGGCCUUGCUCAAAUACUCAGAAUCAAAAUCAUGCUCGGAGAAGAACAUUCUAGACAUGAAUGAAUGAGAAGCACGAGAAUCAAACAAAACCUUUGCAGGAAUAUCAUUAACCAAGAGAUUACCCAUGAUCACAUCAGAGGAGUUUUCUGCUUAUGUUGCAUUCACCAUAUUGACUCUCUCAGAUUUGGGGUUGAACUUCACCAUUGCAUUGCUUGGAGGCUUGACUGGAGGAGGAGGCGGAAGACGAUGAUGAGCGGUGCACUUGUUAGAGUAGUGACCCUUCUGCCCACACUUGUGACAAGUCACCUCUGACGGUGGAUGGAAUUGCACUUGAGGAUUCCCUUGCUUCUAUUGAUGAAACCUUUGAUGGAAGGCUCGGUUGGGUGGGUGGGGAGAACCAGGACCACCUGACUGCUUGAACUGGUGAAUCCGCCGAGGAGGAGGAGACACCUAGUAUUUCUGCUGCUUCAGAACCACGUGAGUUGAGGACGAGGAACUGGAAUCUCUGAAACGCUUCCUUGAGGUCUCCACUUUGAGCAAAGCCGCUUCAGCCCUGAGAGCCAAGUUGUAGAACUUAUCGAACUCAUCGGGAUUGUGCAAGGCAAGGGUCAACUGCAAGUCUUCCUUCAAACCACCUCUGAACUGAUAAAUCUUGCUCUUUUGAUCUGCGAUGUCCUACUUAGCAUACCGAGCAAGCUCAUGGAACUCAAUAUUGUACUUGUACACAGAUGAUCCUCCUUGCUUCAAGCGUCUGAAUUUCUCACGCAUCUCUUCCACGAAGCUAGCUGGAAUAUACUGAGCCCUGAAAUCCGUGCAGCAAUCAUCCCAGCUAAUCAUUAUGUCGCCUCUGGAGUCCUUCAACUGUUGCCACCAUUCUGCUGCUUGACCCUUGAGCUGAAAAGUUGCAAAGUUGACGAAGUCCUCUGGUCGCACAUUACUGCACUCAAAGUGCUUGUCACAAAUCCAGUCAUCUGCAUUGAAAGGCUGGUUACAAGAAGUGAAGGACUUCGGCUGGUUCGCCAAGAAUUGAUUCAGAGUUGCAAACUGAUGUCCACCAUAGUUGAAAUUGCCUAGCUCCUUAUUGUUCCUCUCUUGAAACAAAUGAAGUAAAAUCUGAGUGUUUUCACUGGUUGCAUCCAUCACCGUUUGCCAUGCCUUUGGAGGAGGAGGCAACAACGGAGGAGGUGGCGGAGGAGGAGGUGGUGGAGGAUCAGCACUCGCACGACCCAGAUUCUGGCGGGUUGGUGGAGCCAUCCUGCAGACGGACAACAUGUUAGACCAGAUAUUAACAUUCAAAGAUUAAGCUGAAUCAACGAGCAGAAAUAUGUGAACAAGAGUACUUAGCAAUUGCAUUCGGACAUUAAUUAGUAAGAAUGGUUCCUCAAAGUAAGUGCGGACAACAUCUGAUUCAAAGCCACUCGUAAACCAAGUAUGAUCUAGGAUUGCUCGGAACAAAUGUACGAUAGAGAUUUACAUCCGAUAUUUUUGUGGAUAUGAUCGCACGGGAUUGAUCCUACAGUAGCUAUCAUGUACAGGCCAGUGCACACGACAUACGAAGCGUCCCCGAGUCGUAGCAAGCUACAAGGACUCUUUUCGACACCACGAGAACCGCUAUAAGAUGACCGUGAACAAACGAAUCCACUGAAUGUCGAAUCCCAACCUCACAUCAUGCAUCUGUUGGAAGAUUGUUUUAUAAGUAACUACCUGAGUUCCCACCUAAGAACUCCCAAAAUUUCUGGUCAUGCCAUCUGGUCCACGCAUACAAGGAGUAAUAUAUCAUUCAACUCCGAGCAUCUAACCCGUCCAAUGUAUCACAUCCGUCAACACAUAACCAGAGAUCUCGGAAACUCAUCUAUCUCAGAUCCUCGUAAUCACAAUGAUACUAAGUAUGGCGAUACAUCCGGAACUAUCUGCACCAGUACUGGGGAAGCCUGACUCCUCUCGCCAUUACUAGUAUUGAAGCAAUUUCAAACAUCCUUCAUCCUGAGAUACUAAGAAAUCUGAAUGAUAACGAUGUGCUCAAGAAUUCCCUAGAGCUCAACUCCCCGGAAUAAAAUCAACACAACAGGACGCACCAAGACAGAACUCCAUCACAUCGGUAUCAUAUUGAUUCCAAAAUACCCGCAUGAUCCUAAAAAAAUGAGCGAGAAGACGAGUAGAAUUAAAAUUUACUAAGUCGUGAACCUCACCAGAGCAUAGAAGCGGAGAAAACAUAAACCUACUCUCCGAUAUAACUAAGACUCAAAAUAGUUUUUGCUACACUCGAUUCGGCCAAGUUCGAUCACACGAAGACUCCUAUGGUCGUAAGGCUCUGAUUACCAACUUGUAACGACCAAGAUGCAGCACUUUCCUUAUUUGUGGGCAAGGCCUCAAAAUGGAAAGGGUCACAUCUAAGCGUUUCGCAAUUAGGAUAAAAAUGCCAUUACAUAAAUAGAGAGAUGAGUAUAAGAUUCGGCUUACACUCCCCACAUGCUAAAUUACAAUCCACGCAAGCAUUCAUUAUUCAUACAUAAAAUAGGGUCCGACUACGGACAAGAUAAACGACAAAACAUGCUAUCCCAUCUUUCUAGUCCCACGAUCACAACCAUGCGCGUCUAGUCCUCGGGAUAAGUCACAUACAGCCUGCCACCGUCUUCGUCGAACCCCCACCUAAGCUGGUUAUCAACGGGAACUCCUGCAUCUAGGGUACCUAUACGAGUGGGUGUUUGUAGUAAACUGUGAGCCACGAGGACUCAGCAAUCUCAUGACCUUGGUAUCGAGUCUAACUAAGCUAAAUGGGUGACGUAGGUUAAGUGUUUGAGUUUGCAGCAUCCUAAGCAUAUAUGGUGGCUAAAUUACGAAGAACAAAAAUAACAUAUCGUGGUCUACAUAAGACGAUCGAAGACUAGAAUGAUCACUAAGUGAUCCUGAACACCUACUUACGUCAUUCAUAACCCCACCGUGUUCUCGAUCAGAGAAGGAGCUCUGAAAGAAACAGACACGAUUACGCACUCAGUUGGCAAGUUUUAUUUGAAUUACUUUAAGUCUUCUAGAACCGGAUGUUUACUAAAUAUCCAUGUUUGCCACAUAACCACGGGCACGGCUUUCCGAAAGAUUAAACCCUACAUGGGUGCUCCAACUAGUCCAUCACAAAUUACCACAUGCCGCAUAGUAGUCCUCUACCACGAAACUCGUGAUCUCGUCGGAUUCUGUAGAGGAAAACCUCAACUCUGAGAAGACCCAAAGUCUCAGCGGAAUCCCAAUGUGCAAGAUAUAUCGCUAAGGUAAGACAAGUCCGGUAUGACCUCCCGACGUGUCGACGAUCCCGAUAGGAGCCGCGUAUCUCGUUCUCACGACACGACGGAUGAGCUAUGGUUACCACGCCAAAACACUGAGUUGUCCCGGGGAGCGUUAAUAAGUUUCUCUGGGUUGGACCAACACUCACGAGGAGCACUGGCCCGGGUUGUUGAUUAAAUCCUUGGGGUUGCUGUUCCCUAUGCUUUUUAUUAUGAAGUUAUUAGCAAAUUAACAGCAAAGUUGGGUCCUGUCAAACAAGUCUUAACACUGAACGAUUUAUCGAGGGGGUCCCCAUAACAACCCUGAACGUGUUAGGAGCGCUCAAUUAUGGAAUAAAACACCGGUAGCCGAAACAAAAGCGACAUCAACGGAACAAAUCACCCGACAAAAGGCUAGGCCUUCCGUUAUUUAGCAAGUAUAUAGGUGCAUUAACUAAAUAGCAAUUAAUUAUGAUGAUAUCAAAUGCCCAUGUUAUCACAUGGACCAGCUGGCACCUACAACUAGCAACGCUAACAAAUUAGUGAGUGAGCAAGCCUGACUUAGCCAAACAACAUUUGCUAGGAGGGGAGGUGUUUGAGGUUUCAUGGCAAUGUUUGAUGGACUACAUAUCAUGUGGUAGGCAGCGGAUAUGUAACGAAGGAAGCGUAACACUAAGAAAAAUAAAGGUAGAAAUGGUGUCAAGGUCAUGAUCAUCUUGCGUGUGAUUUCUUCAGAGUGGAACUGAUCCUGAUCUUCCUGCACGAACUCACUGGACUCUUCAAACUCGUUUCCUGUCCUAGUAGCUACCCAAAAGAAGACAAGCAAGAAAUGAAUACCAGCAAGAAGAUGAUGCCACAGACAUAAUGAUGCAUGCAUGCACUACGUCUAACCAUGCACAUAAACCACCCUACACCGAUAUAACUAUUGCCCCCUCACCACAAGGGCACUUCUACAGAAUUUCUCAAAACCAGAAACCAGUACCACCAUUGGAUUCCUUGGGAUUUUCUACCCCAAAUCCAUAUAUCAUACUACCCAUGUUGCAUUCAUAAAACAGCACAAACAAUGAAAGAAAAACUAGCACAGAUCAAACUACAACAAUAUUCAAAACAGGGUUGUUCUUGGGUCUGCCCAAUUUGGCAAGUCCAUAUCUGGACAUUUCCAGAAAUGGAAAUAUUCCUAUUUAACACAAAUAAAUACACAAACGAUAAAAAAAUAACAGGAAAUAUAUGAUAAGGAGGGGGCCCACGUGGCAGUGGCGAGGGCCUCCUCACUUGAUGACAUGUGGGCCCCUGUUGCCCACUGUCACCCACACACUCACACACAACCUCAACACAAGACACACACACUAGAAAAUUACCUCAACAAAAAUAGGUGCGGGGGGGAUUCGAACCAUGCACCUUUGCCCACAUACACACAUGCCACACCCACUGCACUACACGAGUAUAGCUGCACUAGAAGGGGUCGAAGGCCUCCUAUACUAAUGCCAUGCCACUGCUACACUACACACUUAAAACGAAAAUUAAAAAGGGGGACGACGGGGACUCGAACCUGCGACACACUGGAUCUACCACACGCCCCUAAAUACUAAACUAUUGAACGGAAGCUUGGCAAAGAGGGGCAUGUCUCCUUUUGAGCAGCCCCUCUGCACAUGCACACCACCACGCGACGGCCUGAACAGGGGAAGAUGUCGGCGAGGCUACCGGCUCUAAUUGGCUUGGCUGGAUACCGGCGGGGAAUGCGGGACCCUACAGGGUUCCAUUCCCAUGGCUAACGCGGUGGGAGAGCGGCUGCAGCGGCGGCGCAAUGGAGCUACUGCCCCUGGCCAUGGUAGAGCACAACGACGGCGAAGACCAUGCACAACAAGGGAAUGGGCACGCGGGAGAGGGGGAGAAGAAGACGCUGCUCACCCAGGGGCACGAAGAUGAGGACGAUCUUCUCGCGGGAGAGGAAGAAGAGGCGAGGCGGAUCCGCGUCGGAGCUGCACUCGCUCUGGCGACGAUGAGCGGAGACGACGCCGUGGAGGGGGAUCCGCCCUCCUAACGAUGGGAACGGGUUGAUGGAAGGUUCGGCAUCCUCGUGGCCACCUUGAUCUCCACGGGGGAAGGCUGCCGGAACAAGGGGACGCGGGGACGGCGGCGAAGCUCUCUGCUCUCUCUGUGAACCUCUCUCCUCUACUCCACUACUGCAUCUUACCUUGGAGAGGGGGAAAGAAGGAGGGAGAAGAGGAUGGCGGCGGCAGAGGAGGAACGCACGCAUCCCUAGGUCACACCGGGGCUUAAAAAGGGCGACGUUGACAGACCUCGACGUCCGUGCAGUGCCACGCGGCAGCCUCUCUCUUUCUCACGCACUCGGUGACUGAGGAGAGAAGGAGACAACAUCAGAGAAAGGAGAGGGUGGUGGGCUGGCUCGCGAGAAGAGAAGGGAAUGGGCCAGGAAGCCCACUAGCCUCUCACUCUCUCUCAAAACUAUGUGGUAUUUUUAUAUAAAAAAAUAAAACACAACUAGCUUUGGUAUUUUGAGCUAGGGGAAAGAAAAGUUUUUUGUCAAAGUAAAAAUUCUUUUGGAAAUAUAAAAUGAACCUCCUAUUAAUAAAAAUAGGUGGGACAUGUUUUAUUUGAAUGUGGCUCUGUUUUAAAAUAAAACAAACAGAAAAAUAAAUUCAAAUAAGUGUGUGUUUCCACCCACAAAUCUUUGAAAGGGGUUUUAAAUAACUUGAAUAUUUUUAAUAGGCCAAAACGUAAACUUCAAAUCUGCCCUAAGCUAUUUGAAAGGAGAGAGGGUUUUUGGACAUGACACAACUAAGGUUUUGAAGGGCUCUUGUUGCACCCACACCACACUCCACAAGAACAAUCACAAGACACAUGCAAUCACAUACACCACCACACCAAGAUCAACAAGGAAGACAAAAGAAAUAAAUGUUAUGCAUGAUGCAUGAUGCACAUGAAAUGACAACAUCACCAAGUCUCUCAUCCAUCACAUUGCAUCACAAGGUUGCCAAAGAUGGAAAGGAGUUACAAAGAAGGAAGGAAAAUCAUUGGGGUUGUCAAAACUCAUCAUCAGUAUGUUUGAUGAUGUUUUACUUUUGCGCAAGUGCAUGUGGUUGUGAACUGUUGGAAGGUUGUUGUAGCUUAAGUAUGAAAUACUCUAAUUAAUGUAGUGUGCCUCUGAACUAGAUCUACUAUCUACAUGCACUGUAAUAUGUUUAGCUAUGCUUUGUUUCAAUGUAUAUAUUAUGAGUUUAGGUGCUGCAAUGAUCAUGGUAGUUGCUUCAAUGUUGCUUCACUUAUUAGACAUGCUGCAUAAAGUUCCCAUGUUGUGGCCAUGUGCAACAUGAUGUGCCCCAUUUGCAAAGCGUGCAAAAUCAUAGGUUGUGGCCAUGUUGCAGAACAUUGAAUAUUCCAUUUGGUUACAAAAUUUUGAAAAUCUGAAAUAUCGCAGUGAAAUUUUGGACCAUCUUCAAGUGACCCAGAAAUUGUUCCAAAAUAGGUGUCUAAUUAAUUUUGAUACAUGGGGUUAAGUUAAUGGAGCUUAGUAAAGUUAAUGAUAAUUGUUCAUCCUCACACAUUCUAGCUUAAAAUCUAACUUAACUUUGAAGAAAAUGCCCAACCCUAGGGUCCAACGGGGCUAAUUGCAAGUUAACACACGCGCGACAGCAGUUGCCCCCAAACGGGGGUAAGGGCUAAUUCUGAUGAGAGAGGAGUUCGAUACCUCUACCAUGCGCGGUUGAUGACGAGUUGAUGGAUAUACUUCUCACCCCUCGUUGGUUACCCCAAGUGGAAGGUGGUGAUGUAGUCAGCAACAGAUUUCCCUUACACGGGGAUGAUAAGGUUUAUCGAACCAGGAGGAAACGAGGAUCAACAAGUAGGUGUCCGCUGCUCUGGCGCUAAUAGAAGACGUGGACCUGCACACACAACAAAUAACUUUGCUCCCAACGAGUACAGAGAGGUUGUCAAUCUCUCCGGCCUUGUAGUUUGCAAAUGAUCAAAACACAAGCAGGAAUAGUGAUAGUGAUUGUAAUGGAAAAGUAACUGAAAGCAGUAAAUGAUGGAGGUGUAAGCAAUGGUAGUGAUAUGGACCUGAGUCACAUGAUCUUCACUAGUGAUGUCUCUCUACCAAAAGACGAUAAACAACUAUGCAUAGGUAAGCAAAUUACAGCUGGCAAAUGACAGAAUUAUAAACGCACCACAAUGCUAAUUAUGCUACUUGAAAGUUAGAGGGUCAAUAGUGAAAGUGCGUUAUAUCGACUAGAGGGGGGUGAAUAGGAGAUUUUUAGAAUUUCAUCACUGAGGAAAUUCCUUUUGAGGAAAUUCCUCACUGAUGACUAACUUACAGCGGAAACAGUUAAGGAUCAGACGUGCAAACGUUCACAACAGCAGUAUUACAGAGUGACGGUUGUGAAAACAGAUUGCACAGUAAGCAGGCAUGCAGAAUACAGAUGAUGAUUAACUCAAGUGAAGAAUUUGGGGUUGAGGAAAUUUAGAGAAAGUCUUCAGCAAAUUCUUCAAUCAGUCACAGUGAAUGUCAUAAACACAUAAUACAGAGAAUGUAAAGAGUUGAGGAAUUAGAACCCGAUUCUUGGUGAAGACUGUUGUUGAUGACCCCGUUCCAACUGCUGUGACAGUUGUACAUCUGGUUUGGAGCGGCUUGGUAUUGAAACCAAAGGACACCCAGUCCCGGGACACACAGUCCCUACCGUAUUCUCCUUGAGCUAAGGACACACAGUCCUCGCCCAACACUCGUGGUAAGUCUUCAGGGCAGACUUCCAAACCCUCACAAACUCGGUCAACCGGCGAUCCACAAUUGACUGCUGGAUUGCUCUAGACCAUGACGCCUAACCGUCUGGAGGAUGCACAGUCCUCAAAGGUAAAAGGCUUCAGGCCCACACAGGAACAACUUCUUCAGUGAUGCUCAAUCACUAGGUUUGGUUUGUGGUUUCGGUGGGUAGUGUAUUUCCUCACUGAUGAUUUACUCUCGAAGGCUCUGAGGAAUUUGGGUUGCUCUUAUGACAAGUGUCAGUUUCUAACGGAGCAGCCAGCCAGCUAGUGGUUGUGGGGGGCGGCUAUUUAUAGCCUGGGAGCAUCCCACAUGAUUUGACAUUAAUGCCCUUAGAUAAUAUGACCGUUGGAGUGGAUAAGACCAGUGACUUGGCGUGGUUAUCGAAACGGUCGGGACCCUCAACUGUGAGAGUCCUCAUGUCACUCAUAUUCCUCACUUGAGGCUUUUGGUAGGAUUUGGCUUGGGUUGAGCAUCUUGAGGAAAUCCAUUCCAUAGUGUUACUUUGACCCCCUUUCACAGUACGGUGUUCCUAUUCCUCAAAUGCGAAGAAAGUAAAACAGAAAACGUAAAUCUUCACGCUUCAAUUUCUUCAGAACGAUUUUCUUCAGGAACCACCGAUCUUCUUAAUAUCAAAAUCUUCAUGAGGAAUAUCAAUUUCAUCGCAGAUUCCUCGCGAUUCAAUUCUUCAGCUUCAGACCAAAUUCUUCAACUGAAGACGUAUAUUUUUAGGGGUCGAUAUUCUUCAAAUAUCUCAAACUCCUCAAUGACUUAUAGAUUGUGUGUACACUUAUAAACACAUUAGAUACUUAACCUAUAAGUCUUCAAACCACCAAAAUCACUAAGGGGCACUAGAUGCACUUACAAAUAGUAAUGGGCAGUACGCCAAGACAAGUAGACCGUUUAUUCACAACAUAUACUUACUAAUCAUCCACCUUGAGAUAUCUAUCCAGAACAUCUCGCCGAUAUUAAGUUGCGAGCCCCACCCAAAGUGUAAACUCAAAGCAACGGACAACUGCAUUAACGAACUUUGCGUAACGUAAGCAAUCCUUGUAACCACGGUCACAAGCACCGUUGUUUUCUCCCUGGUGGCAACAACACAUCCCCUAGUCGCAUGUUUCUGUCACUCAAGCUAGACAUCAGGGGCAUGAACACAGAAUCAUGCAUAACGCUCCCUCUUGGAGUUACAAUCUACUACUCGGCCAAAGCAAUAAGGAGAACAUGCAUGAAUCACUAAAGAACAUAAUAUAAAAGGAUAAUCAAAUAUAUAACUCAUCACAAUCUAAACAUGAUCUCAUAAUCCAUCGGAUCCCAACAAACCAAGCAUAGCAAUAGCAGGAAAAUUACAAAGGUGCCUUGAUUAUGUAGGGAGCUCACAAGGGCUAAUCAUUGAAGCACAAAAUUGGAGAGAAGACAUCACAUAGCUACUGGUCAUGGACUCAUGGUCCAAGGAGGACUACUCACGUCACGUCCGGGAAGCGUCCAUGGCGGUAGAGAAGCUCCCGGAGGUCAAUCCUCCCUCCGGCAGGGUGUCGGGAAGAGCUCUCCAAACGCUUCCGAUCUCGGAAGCGCUGCUGCGGCGGAACGAUGGAGAAAUUCGCAAUUGUGGAUAUGAUAGAAGGGUUUCCAAUUUGAGGGGUAAAUAUAGGCCAAACGAGGGCGUCACAGGAGGUGGGCCCCACCCAGGCGACCUGUGGGCGCGGCCAGGGGCCAGGCCGCGCAGGGAGGCCGCCUGGGUGGGCCCUGUCUCCCCUCUGGCCCACCUUUAGUGCUCCGGAAGCUUCCGUCACGUUGAUUUUUAUAUAUUUUUCUCGGGAUUUUUGGGGCUCUAGAAUUUGGGUAAAAGCACCUGCAAAAAAGAAAUCAACAUGCAGAAACUCGCACUGGGUGCAAUGAGUUAGUAGGUUAGUCCAAAUAUGUGUAAAAAGAUAUAAAAGUGUAGCAAAUCAUAUAAUAAUAUCACCAAAAAGAUCAUGGAAAAAGCAGAAAUUAUAGAUGCGUUUUGGACGUAUCAGCGGUAUAUAAGCUAGUCUGGGCGCCCCUCCGCUUCCGAGGUAGGACUAAACCCCCUUUGCGGUCGCCCCGUCGUGCAUGGGGGCAUUGCCACGUUCGUGGGCCCGCCAAUAAUGUUAGACCACCGCGGUCGGUCCCCUUCCCCCCUCGUGUGACCUCUCCCCCGCCAACCGGGAUGACCCAUUUCCCACCGGCGAGGUCGCCCCGGCCCGUGGUGCGCGGUGAUACGUCUCCAACGUAUCUAUAAUUUUUGAUGGUUUCAUGCUAUUAUCUUGUCAAACUUUGGAUGUUUUGUAUGCCUUUUAUAUCUUUUUUGGGAAUAACUUAUUAACUCAGUGCCAAAUGCCAGUUCCUGUUUUUCCGUGUUUUUGACCCUUUUCAGAGGAGGAUUUUAAACGGAGUUCAAACGGAACGAAACUUCCAAAAAGAUUUUUUUUCCGAAACACAAGACGAUCGGGGAACUUGAGAACCAAGGCAGGUGGCCACCAGGGACCCCACAAGCCCCCUAGCCAUGGCCAGGGGGCGUGCCUCCUAGGCUUGUGGGCUCCCUGGGCCUCCUCUGCCCUAGGUAUUUCGCCUAUAUAUUCCCAAAAAUUCCAGAAAAAACAGGAGAUCAUCGAAAGUACUUUUACGCCGCCGCAAGCUUCUGUCUUCGCAAGAUCCCAUCUGGGGCACGUUCUGGUGCUCUACCGGAGGGGGGAUUCGGAUAUGGAGGGCUUCUUCAUCAACACCAUAACCUCUCUGAUGAUGCGUGAGUAGUUCACCAUGGACCUAUGGGUCCAUAGCUAGUAGCUAGAUGGCUUCUUCUCUCUCUUGGAUCUUCAGUACAAAGUUCUCCAUGAUCUUCAUGGAGAUCUACCCGAUGUGUUCUUCUUUUGUGGUGUGUUUGUCGAGAUCCGAUGAAUCGUGGAUUUAUGAUCAGAUUAUCUAUGAAUCUUAUUUGAGUUUCUUCUCAUCUCUUAUAUGGAUGAUUUCAUAUCCUUGUAAUUCUCUUUGAGUUGUGGUUUUGUUUGGCCAACUUGAUCUAUGAUUCUUGCAAUGGGAGAAGUGCUUGGUUUUGGGUUCAUACCGUGCGGUGACCUCACCCAGUGACAGAAGGGGUAGCGAGGCACGCAUCGUGUUGUUGCCAUCAAGGGUAAAAAGAGGGGGUUUUCAUCAUUGGUUUGAGUUUAUCCCUCUACAUCAUGUCAUCUUGCUUAAGGCAUUACUCUGUUCGUCAUGAACUCAAUACACUAGAUGCAUGCUGGAUAGCGGUCGAUGUGUGGAGUAAUAGUAGUAGAUGCAGAAAGUACCGGUCUACUUGUCUCGGACGUGAUGCCUAUAUGUAUGAUCAUUGCCUUAGAUAUCGUCAUGACUUUGCACGGUUCUAUCAAUUGCUCGACAGUAAUUUGUUCACCCACCGUAAUAUUUGCUAUUUUGAGAGAAGCCUCUAGUGAACACUAUGGCCCCCGAGUCUACUUCACACCAUAUUUUCAGCCUUACUCUUUCACUUCGUUGCACUUUCCGCCUUCAGAUCUCACUUUGCAAUCAAUCUUGAAGGGAUUGACAGCCCCUUUAUAGCGUUGGGUGCAAGCUCUUUUGCGUUUCCGCACGUACUCUGGACUUGACGAGAUUCCCCUACUGGAUUGAUACCUUGGUUCUCAAACUGAGAGAAAUACUCACUACUCCUGUGCUCCAUCACCCUUUCCUCUUCAAGGGAAAAACCAACGCAAGCAAGUCUCCGUCAACGUGUCAAUUUCUGGCGUUGUUGUUUGAGAAGUAGCACGCGGCACAACUGAUUGUUUAGUCCCACCUUGGAAGCGGAGGAGUGCCGAGACUUGGUUAAAUAGCUGGCAUGACAGGAGUGUUGAAAUCCUCUAUCACACAACCAACCAGCUGAUGAUGAGAUGAUGUAUACACUUCUCGCACCACGUUAGUUACCCCAAGUGGAAGGUUGAGAUGUAGUCAUCAGCAAGUUUUCCCUCACACAGAGAUUGUAAGGUUUAUCGAACCAGGACGACUCCUAGGCUAAACAAGUAGGUGUCUCCGACCCUGGAGCUAGCAGAAGAUGUGGACCUGCACACACAACAAAUAACUUUGCUCCCAACGAGUACACAGAGGUUGUCAAUCUCUCUGGCCUUGUAGUUUGCAAAGGAUCAAAACACAAGCGGGGAUAGUAAUAGUGAUUGCAACGGAAAAGUAAAUGAAAAUGGUAAAUGAUGGAGGUGUAAGCAAGAUAUGGACCGGAGUCACAUGAUGUUCACUAGUGAUGUCUCUCUCCAAAAAUAUGAUAAACAACUAUGCUUGGGAAACAAAUUACAGCUGGGCAAUUAACAAAAAUAUGAACGCACCCAAUGCUAAUUAUGCUACUUGAAAGUUAGAGGCUCAAUAGUAAUGGGCAGUACGCCAAGACAAGUAUACCGUUUCUUCAUCAGCAUCUACUCACUAAUCAUCCACCUUGAGAUAUCUAUCCAUAACAUCUCGCCAGUAUUAAGUUGCGAGCUCCACCCAAAGUGUAAACUCAAAGCAACGGACAAUUGCAUUAACGAACUAUGCGUAAGGUAAACAAUCAUUGCAACCGUGGUCACAAGCACCAUUGUUUUCUCCCUGGUGGCAACAGCACAUCCCCUAGUCUCAUCUUUCUGUCACUCAAGCUAGACAUCGAGGGGCAUGAACCCACAAUCAUGCAUAACGCUCCCUCUUGGAGUUACAAUCUACUACUCGGCCAAAGCAAUAAAUAGCAACGGACAACUUGCAUGAAUCACUAAGGAACAUAAUAUAAAAGGAUAAUCAAAUAUAUAACUCGUAACAAUCUGAACAUAAUCUCAUAACCCAUCGGAUCCCAACAAACCGAGCAUAGCAAUAGCAAUAGAAUUACAUUGAUGCCUUGAUCAUGUAGGGCAGAUCACAACGACUAACCAUUGAAGCACAAGAUUGGAGAGAAAACAUCACAUAGCUACUCGUCAUGGACUCAUGGUCCAAGGAGGACUACUCACGACACGCCCGGGAAGCGUCCAUGGCGGUGGAGAAGCUCCCGGAGGUCAAUCCUCCCUCCGGCAGGGUGCCGGGAAGAGGUCUCCUAACGCUCUCGAUCUUGGAAGCGCUGUGGUGGCGGAACGAUGGAGAAAUCCGCGAUUCUAGAUAUGAUGGAAGGGUUUUCUCUCGGAGGAGUAAAUAUAGGAAAAAGGAGGGCACCAAAGGAGGUGGGGUCCACCCAGGCGGCCUCUUGCCGUGGCCUAGGGCUUGGCCGCGCCCACAGGUCGCCUGGGAGGCCCCUGGCCCCCCUCUGACCCAUCUUCAGUGAUCUAGAAGCUUCAGUUAUGCUGGAUUUUUAUAUAUUUUUCUUGGAAAUGUUUUGGGCUUCGGAAAAUUGGGUAAAAGCCCCUGCAAAAUAGACAUCAGCACACAAAAACUGGCACUGGAUGCACUGAGUUAGUAGGUAGUCCAAAUAUGUGUAAAAUGAUAUAAAAGUGUAGCAAAACAUAUAACAAUGUCACCCAAAAGAUCAUGGAACAAGCACAAAUUAUAGAUACGUUUGGGACGUAUCAACAUCCCUAAGCUUAAUUUCUGCUCGUCCUCGAGUAGAUAAAUGAUAACACAAUAAUUUUUGUGCUGACAUGCUAACACACACAUAAGAACUUCAAAAUAAAACAAGUAAUAUAUGUAAUUCAAGUCAAUACAAUAACAAGCAAGAGUCUAUAUCUAGUAUUGAAAUUAGCAAAGUAAGAACAUAAAGGUGCAAGAGCUCUCCCUGUCCGUGACUCGAAUGUCUCCAAAUGGUGUUUGCGUGCAAGAAGUGGGAGAUGGGUUGAGAUCAUAAAAUAUAUUUUUUAAUUGAGAACUCAAUCUACUAAACCUCAUACUUAGUCUCCUUCGGAAUCUUAUUUUGACUCAUCUCCAAACCACUAGUCAAGCACAAGUCAAAAUGAUCCUCUCCCUUACGACUUUGAGCUCUCAUGAAAUGGAUGAGCGUAAGCAAGAUAUGUUGGUACUUACGAUGGCAAAGAGAAUAAUGAUGGGGAAGGAAGACAAAAAGGUGUGAAAAGCUCACAUCAAUGAGGACAACCAUACACGAGAGAAAGCCAAAUGAUAGAUAUGAUGUGAGGAGUAGGGAUUGCCAUGUAACAGAUGCAUAUAUGAGCUAGUGGGGGUGCAUCCAACUUGUUUGCUCAUGAAGACCUAGAUCUCAUUUGAGGAGGCUCAUCAUUGGAAUAUGCAAACCAAGUUCUAUAGUAUAAGGGUCCCCACAUAGUUAUGCAUGAAUGAUAAUCUCUAUGUAGUACAAAUAUAGCAAUGGAGUACGAGUGUGGAUCUUUCAAAAGGAAUAGUAGUGUUUCCCCCUUCUCUCUUUUUAUUUCUUUUUUUCUUUUUCUUUUUCUCUUUUUUUGUGGCCUCUUUGUCUCUUUAUUUUUAUAUCUCAUUUGUCCUCUUUGGGAUCUUUCCCUCACUUAAGGCCAACACUCUAUGUUUUACAAGAAUAAAAAAAAUCAUCACACUUUAUAAGAAGUACUCAACAUAAAGACAAGUGAAAACUAUCAUGAUGUAUGCAAAUGUAUGCCUCUGCGAGUGUAGCAGGAUAUGCAAUGAUACUAGCACGUCAUGUAGCAAUAAUAAGGGCAAGUCCCAACUAUCAUGCGGCUCCUCGAUCAAGCAAAAGCAUGUAUGGCAUGAAGAUCAAGUCAUGAGAUGGUGGAUUUUGCAUGGCAAUGUAUCUCGGAAAGGCUAUGGAAAUGCCUUAAUAGGUAGGUAUGGUGGCUGUUUUGAGGAAAGAUAUAAUGAGGCUUAUGUAUGACAGAGCGUAUCAUGUCAUGGGUUUGGAUGCACCGGCGAAGUUUGCACCAACUCUCAAUGUGAGAAAGGGUAAUGCACGAUACCGAAGAGGCUUGCAAAAUAUGGAUGGUGGAAGUGCCAACAAUCGAAUACUCACAUUAGUCCGCAGAACUCAUACACUUAUUAUUGGUAACUCUCUAUCUAGUUAGGAAAUUCACAAAGAGACAAGUACCCCGAGGAGGAGUGUUUGGGGGUUUGGUUAUCCUUGUGCAUCCUCGACUCAUGGUAACGUGAGGGCACUCUAUAUAUUCCAACCCCUCCAGAGGUUAGCGAUCAAUUUAGUAGCUAGAGUUCUCAACUAUUUUUUUGUUUUUGAAAAACACAUGGAUUUCCCAAAAUAUGACACCUAUAACUAAUAGGCUCAAGCUCUUGGCACCAAUAGUCCAAACGUUACUCAAAUCAAUACCUCAAAACUAUUGCAAGUUACUACUAUACUUAAAUAGCAACAUCAAUUACCUACUCAUGCAAGACACACAACUUAGUGCAAUGAGCCAACUCUCUAAACAAGAUAAGCAUGGUAACUCAGAAGAGUUCCAAAAUCAACCUAAAUAAUAGCUCUUAAAAAUAUAUGGCAUGAAAACUAAGAGCUAGGCAUGACAGUAGUUACGAAAAGAUAAAGAACACACAAAAAGAUAAGCAUGAAAACCUAUGUUGUGUUCUAGAGUGGAAUGUAGCGUGUUUCUCUCCAAAACAAGGUAGGCUAGAUUCCGACUUGUUAUGAUCAGAAAGCAAAACUAAAACAAACUAAAAAGUAAAGAUCGGGACGCUUCAAGCAUAGCACAUAACAUAUGAAGUGAUAAAAAUAUAGCAUGGAGAUGGACGAACUGAUGAUUGUUGAUAGAGAAGGGGAUGCACGGGGGCAUCCCCAAGCUUAGACGCUUGAGUCUCCUUGAAUAUUACUUGGGAUGCAUGGGGGCAUCCCCAAGCUUGAGCGCUUGACACUCAUGUAUCUUCUUUCAUCAUCUCCCAUCGCAUGCUUGAAAACUCCCUUCAUACGAAACUCAUCAUAAGCUGAUUAGAGUGGUUACUACCCUUAAUAAAAUAAUUCAUUACCUACUGGAAAUGAUUAUUUUCAUGAAAAGCUACUAUUUCUCAUGAUUGCCAAAAGGUUUUUGCAAAGGAAAAUCAAGCUUAAGAUUUGCAAAAUGAUGAAAACGCAAAACAUGGCAGAAUAUGUGAAAAACAGAACAUCAGGUAGUAAAUAAUUUAUUCGGGGCACUUAUGCAACUCAAAUAAAAAAAACUCAGAACAUAUGGGAGAAAGACAAAUAUAUAGAUCUUUUUGUAAAACAAAUUCAGAUAAAAAAGAUGAUCUGGUGAUUUUUGGCGAUUUUUUCCGUUGGGCAAACAAAAUCUGUUUCUGGACAGCCUGUCACAAUUUUUGAACUUUCUUGCGAUCGGAGGCUAUAACUUGACACAAAGCUUAAAAAUAAAGAUACAAUGAUGUUGCUACAGUAGUAACACGCAUCAAGACCACUAAAACUGAAAGUAAAAAACAAAUUGGGUUGCAUCCCAACAAGCGCUUUCUUUUAUGUCUUUGAGCUAGGCAAAAUGCAAGAAGAUCAAGUAUUAUCAAAAGAAUAACUUGCCCGAGUAACGAACUCAUAAGGUAACUUAAGUUCUUUCGAGGGAAGUGUUCCAUUCCCUUUUUAAGGGGAAAUUGGAAUCUAAUGGUCCCCUCUUUCAUGUCAAUGAUAGCACCAACGGUGCGGAGAAAAGGAUGUCCCAAAAUAAUUGGACAUGAAGGAUCACAUUCAAUGUCCAUAAUAAGAAAAUCAACGGGCACAUAAUUAUCAUUGACAAUAAUAAGCACAUCAUCAUUUCUCCCUAUAGGUUUCUUUAUGGAAGAAUCAACAAUACUAACACCAAAAGAACAUGGAUCAUAAGGUUUCCAAUCAAGCAUAUCAUACAUUCUUUUGGGCAUAACGGAUUCACUAGCUCCAACAUCACAUAAUGCAAAGCAAGAGAUAUUAUUCAAUUCAAUUUUGACCAUAGGAGCCCAACCAUCGUCUAGUUUCCUAGGGAUAGAAGUCUCUAGCUUGAUCUUCUCCUCCCUAGCUUUGAUAAGAGCAUUGGUAAUAUGCUCGGUGAAGGCAAUAUUGAGUGUACUAGUGUGGGGGUCUUUAGCCAUUCUUUGCAAAAAGGUGAUAACUUCGGAAAGACUACAAUUGUCAAAAUCAAGGUUACUACCAUUAAUUAAAGUGGUAGUAAUGUCAUCUAAGAUCAUUCUUUUAGUAGUCUCUAAAUUCAAAGGACCUUCUUGUCCUAUAGUUGAGGUAUUAGCAUCACCAUUAAUAGGUCCAUUAGGACUAGAAGUGUGAUGGGUGCUAAACGUUUUGAGAUCCUCAACAACUUGUAUAGUAGCAAUGGUUGUGUGUGUAGGAAGGCUCUUAAUCCUAUCUUCCUCUUCUUUUUCUCUAGCCCAUCUAUUUUUAAGUUUGGCUAGCAUUCUUAUGUUCUCAUUAAUUUGGACUUGGAUAUCAUUCAUGGGUUUUGGUGUUCCUUUCCUCAAGGGGUAAGUUCUAAUUUUAAGCAUCUCUACAUCAUGAGCUAUAUUGUCCACCUUCAAAGAGAGACUAUCUAAUUUUUCUAGCUUCUCUUCUACACUCUUGUUGAAGGCUUUUUGAGAAGUGAUAAAGUCUUUAAGCAUGCUCUAUAAUUCAGAAGUGGAGUUUUUGGUGCUAGGAUAAUUGUUGUUGUUCCCAUAGUUGUUGGAUGGGAAAUGUCUAGGAUUGCUACCAAAAUUAGUCCUAUAACCUUUAUUAUUCAAGUUGUUCCUAGAAAUAAAAUUAACAUCAACUUGCUCUCUUUAUUGAGCAACCAAAGAAUUUAAAGGAACAUCAUGAGGAUCAAUAGGAGAUUGCUUAGUAAGUAGAGUCAUGAUCAUGUCAACCUUAUCAUUAAGGGAGGAGAUCCCCUCAACAGAGUUUACCUUCCAACCUGUUGGAGCUCUCUCGGUGUGCCAUUAAGAAUAAUUUACCAUCAUCUCAUCCAAUAGCUUUGUGGCAGCACCAAGUGUAGUUUACAUAAAGGUUCCUCCCGCAGUCGAGUCUAACAGAUUCCGCGAAGUAAAGUUCAAUCCUGCAUAGGAAGUUUGGAUAACCAUCCAAGUAGUCAAGCCAUGUGUAGGGAAAUUCUUAACAAGAAAUUUCAUACGUUCUCAAGCUUGAGCAACAUGUUCAUUAUCCAGUUGCCUAAAAUUCAUAAUGUGACACCGUAGGAAUACUUUGUGUGUAUCAAACGUCGCAACGUAACUGGGUGACUAUAAAGGUGCUCUACAGGUAUCUCGAAAGGUUUUUGUUGGGUUGGCAUGGAUCAAGACUGGGAUUUGUCACUCCGUGUGACGGAGAGGUAUCUCGGGGCCCACUCGGUAAUACAACAUCACAAUAAGCCUUGCAAGCAAUGUGACUAAGAAGUUAGUCACGGGAUCUUGUAUUACGGAACGAGUAAAGAGACUUGCCGAUAAUGAGAUUGAACUAGGUAUCGAGAUACUGAUGAUCGAAUCUCAGGCAAGUAACAUACCGAAGGACAAAGGGAACAACAUACGAGAUUAACUGAAUCCUUGACAUAGAGGUUCAACCGAUAAAUAUCUUCAUAGAAUAUGUAGGAGCCAAUAUGGGCAUCCAGGUCCUGCUAUUGGUUAUUGACCGUAGAGCUGUCUCGGUGAUGUCUGCAUAGUUCUCGAACCCGCAUGGUCUGCACACUUAAGGUUCGAUGACGUUUCAGUAUAGUUGAGUUAUAGGUGUUGGUAACCGAAAGUUGUUCGAAGUACCGGAUGAUAUCCCGUAUGUCACGAGGAGCUCCGAAAUGGUUCAGAGGUAAACAUUGGUAUAUAGGAAGUCCUGUUUUGGUCACUCGAAAAGUUUCGGGCUCAUCGGUAGUGUACCGGGAGUGCCGGGAGGGUACCCGGGACUAUCCGGAGGGGUGUCAUGCCCCGAGGGGCCUUAUAGGCUAUGGGAGGAUACAAACUAGCCCCUAGUGGGCUUACAUAAUCUCCCACUGAGUCCCAUGAGGUUUGAGAGGCAAAAAAACCCAAAGGUGGAAAGGGUUUCCAAGUGGAAAGGAGGAAUCCUACUCCUAGUAGGAUUGGAGUAGGACUCCUCCACCUCCAAUUUCGUCCAAACCUUGUGCCUUUGAGGCUGCCUCCUCCCCUCCCUCCCUCCUAUAUAUACUAUAGGUAUUGAGGGUUUUUGAGAAAAAGAAAAACAGCCACGUGCUGCCCUCACUCUCUAGAUUUGUUUCUCCUCUAGUCUAGUUUCAGCGGUGCUUAGGCGAAGCCCUGCUGGAAUAGCUCCACCACCAUGCCGCCGUGCUGUAGAACUCAUCUACCUCUUCGCCCCUCUUGCUGGAUCAAGAAGGCGGGGAUCGUCAUCGACCUGUACGUGUGCUGAACGCGGAGGUGUCGUCUGUUUGGGACUAGAUCGGGAUGGAUCGUGAUGAGAUCGCGGGACGGGCUGCGAUUUGGAUCGCAAAGAUGUUCCACUACAUCAACCACGUUAUAUAUGCUUCCGCUUAGCGACCUACAAGGGUAUGUAUAUUCACUCUCCCCUCUCGUAGAUGAUCAUCACCAUGGAUAGGUAUUGCGUGUGCGUAGGAAUUUUUUUUUGUUUCCCAUGGAACGUUCCCCAAUAGUGGCAUCAUGAGCUAGGUUCAUGCGUAGAUGAUAUCUUGAGUAGAACACAAAAGAGUUUGUGGGCAUUGAUGUUCAAUUUGCUGCACUCCUUAGUCUUUUCUUGAUUCGGCGGUAUUGUUGGAUUGAAGCCGCCUGGACCAACAUUACUCGUACGCUUACGAGAGACCGAUUUCAUCGACUAACAUGCAACUUGUUGCAUAAAGAUGACUGGCGGGUGUCUGUUUCUUCAAAUUUAGUUGAAUCGGAUUUGACCGAGGCGGUCCUUGGAGAAGGUUAAAUAGCAAUUUGCAUAUCACCGUUGUGGUUUUGCGUAAGUAAGAUGCAAUCGUACUAGAUACUCAUAGGAGCCACGUAAAACAUGCAACAACAAAUUAGAGGACGUCUAACUUGGUUUUUCACGGUAUGCAUGUGAUGUGAUAUGGCCAAAGACAUGAUAUGAUAUAUUGGAUGUAUGAGAUGAUCAUGUUGUAAUAGUUAAAUAUGGACUUGCAUGUCGAUGCUACGGCAACCGGCAGGAGCCAUAGGGUUGUCUUUAAACUAACGUUUGUGCUUGCAGAUGCUUUUACUAUAUCGCUAGGUUGUAGCUUUAGUAGUAAUAGCAUAGAUAGCGCGACAACCUCGAUGGCGGCACGAUGAUGGAGAUCAUGAUGAUGGAGACCAUGGUGCGGCGCCGGUGACGAUGGAGAUCAUGUCGGUGCUUUGUUGAUGGAGAUCAAGAAGCACAAGUUCAUGUCCAUAUCAUCUCACUUAUGAUUUGGAUGUCAUGUUAAUCCUUUUAUGCACCUUAUUUUUCUUAGAACGACGGUAGCAUUAUAAGAUGAUCCCUCACUAAAAUUUCAAGAUAAAAUUGUGUUCUCCCUGACUAUGCACCGUUGCAACAUUUCGUCGUUUUGAGACACCACGUGAUGAUCGGGUGUGAUAGACUCGACGUUCACAUACAACGGGUGCAAAAAAGUUCCACACGCAGAACACUCGGGUUAAACUUGACGAGCCUAGCAUGUACAGACAUGGCCUCGGAACACAAGAGACCAAAAUGUCGAGCAUGAAUCAUAUAGUUGAUAUGAUCAACGUGGAGAUGUUCACCACUGAAACUAUACUCAACUCACGUGAUGAUCGGACUUGAGUUAGUGGAUUUGGAUCAUGCGCCACUCGAAUGACUAGAGUAAUAUGAUUAGCUAAACUCAAUUAUCAUGAACAUAGUCCAAAUGUCUUUGCAAAUUAUGUUGUAGCUUGCGUUGUAGCCCUACUGUUUUGAUUUGUUCCUAGAGAAAAUUUAGUUGAAAGAUGAUAGUAGCAAUUAUGCGGACUGGGUCCGUAAACUGAGGAUUGUCCUCAUUGUCGCACAGGAGGCUUAUGUCCUUAAUGCACUGCUUAGUGUGUUAAACCCAGAGCUUCGUCUGUAGAUGUUGCGAACAUCUGACAUACACGUUUUUUACGACUACAUGAUAGUUCAGUGCGUAAUGCUUAAACGGCUCGGAAUUGAGGUGCCAAAGACGGUUUGAAACAUCACGGAACAUAUGAGAUGUUCAAAGAGAUGAAAUUGGGAUUUCAUGCUCAUUCCCUUGUUGAGAGGUAUGAGACCUCCGACAAGAUUCUUUGUCUACCAAGUAAGGGAGAAAAGUUCAAUCAUUGAGCAUGUGCUCAGAUUGUCUGAGUGUUGCAACCGUUUGAAUCACGUGGGAGUUAAUCUUCCAGAUGAGAUAGUGAUGGUUCUCCAAAGUCACUGCCACCAAGCUACUAGAGCUUCAUGAUGAACUAUAACAUAUCAGGGAUAGACAUGAUGAUCCUUGAGCUAUUCGCGAUGUUUGACACCACGAGAGUAGAAAUCAAAAGGAGCAUCAAUUGUUGAUGGUUAGUAAAACCACUAGUUUCAAGAAGGGCAAGGGCAAGAAGGGAUAAUUCAUGAAACGGCAAACCAGUUGCUGCUCUAGUGAAGAGACCCAAGGUUGAACCCAAACCCGAGACUAAGUGCUUCUGUAAUGAGGGGAACAGUCACUGAAGAGGAACUACCCUAGAUACUUGGUAGAUGAGAAGGUUGGCAAAGUCGACAGAAGUAUAUUGGAUAUACAUGACAUUGAUGUGUACUUUACUAGUACUCCUAGUAGCACGAGGGUAUUAGAUACCGGUUCGGUUGCUAAGUGUUAGUAACUCGAAAUAAAAGCUACGGAAUAAACAGAGACUAGCUAAAUGCGAGGUGACGAUAUGUGUUGGAAGUGUUUCCAAGGUUGAUGUGAUCAAACAUCGCAUGCUCCCUCUACCAUCAGGAUUAGUGUUAAACCUAAGUAAUAAUUAUUUGGUGUUUGCGUUGAGCAUGAACAUGAUUAGAUCGUGUUCAUUGCAGUAUGAUUAUUCAUUUAAAGAGAAUAAUGGUUAUUCUAUUUGCUUGAAUAAAUACCUUCAAUGGUUUAUUGAAUCUCGAUCGUAGUGAUACACAUAUUCAUAAUAUUGAUACCAAAAGAUACAAAGUAGUAAUGAUAGUACCACUUACUUGUGGCACUGCCGCUUGAGUCAUAUUGGUCUAAAACGCAUGAAGGAGCUCCAUGCUGAUGGAUCUUUGUACUCACUCAUUUUUGAAAUGUUUGAGACAUGCAAACCAUGCCUAUUAUAUAGAUGGAUCGUUUGGACUCACUUGAUUUUGAAUCACUUGAGGCAUGCAAUCAUACCACAUGAGUAAGAUGACUGAAGGCCUCGUUUUUCCAGUGAGAUGGAACAGGAAAGUAACUUGUUGGAAGUAAUACAUUUUGAUGUAUGCAGUCCAAUGAGUGUUGAGGCACGCAAUGGAUAUCGUUAUGUUCUUACUUUACUGAUGAUUUGAGUAGAUACAGGAGUAUUUGCUUGAUGAAUCACAAGUGUGAAAUAUUGAAAAGUUCAAGCUAUUUCAGAGUGAAGAUCGUUGCGACAACAGGAUAAAAUGUCUAUGAUAUGAUCAUAGAGAUGAAUAUCUGAGUUGCGAGUUUGGUACACAGUUAAGACAAUAUGGAAUUGUUUCGCAACUCAUGCCACCUGGAGCACCAUAGUGUGAUGGUGUGUCCGAACGUCAUAAUCGCGCCCUAUUGGAUAUAGCACAUACUAUGAUGUCUCUUCUCAAAAUACCACUAUCGUUUUGGGUUAGGCAUUAGAGACAACCACAUUCACUUUAAAUAGGGCACCACGUAAUUCCAUUGAGAUGACAACAUAUGAACUAUGGUUUGGAGAAACCUAAGCUGUCGUUUCUUAAAAGUUUGGGGCUACGACGCUUAUGUGAAAAAGUUUCAGUCUGAUAAGCUCGAACCCAAAGCGGAUAAAUGCAUCUUCAUAGGAUACCCAAAAUAGUUGGGUACAUCUCCUAUCUCAGAUCCGAAAGCAAAGUGUUUGUUUCUAAAAACGGGUCCUUUCUCGAGGAAGAGUUUCUCUCGAAAGAAUUGAGUGGGAGGAUAGUGGAAACUUGAUGAGAUUAUUGAACCGUCACUUCAACCAGCAUGUAGCAAGGUGCACGAACUUGUUCCUGUGGCGCCUACACCAAUUGAAGUGGAAGCUGAUGAUAGUGAUCAUGUAACUUCGGAUCAAGUUACUACAAACCUCGUAGGUCGACAAGGUCACGUACUGCUCCAGAGUGGUACGGUAACCCUGUCUUGAAGGUCAUGUUGUUGAACAACAAUGAACCUACGAGAUAUGGAGAAGCGAUGGUGGGCCCGGAUUCCGACAACUGGCUGGAGGCCAUGAAAUCUGAGAGAGGAUACAUGUAUGAAGACAAAGUGUGGACUUUGGAAGGACUACUUGAUGGUCGUAAGACUGUUAAGUACUGAUGGAUCUUUGAAAGGAAGACAUAUGAUGAUGGUGAAAAGUCACCAUUAAGAAAGCUCGACUUGUCUCAAAGAUGUUUCCGACAAGUUCAAAGAGUUGACUAUGAUGAGACUUUCUCACUCGUAGCAAUGCUAAAAGUCUGUUUGAAUUAUGUUAGCAGUUGCUGCAUUAUUUAUGAAAUCUUGCAGAUAGGAUGUCAAAACAUUGUUUCCUUGACUGUUUCCUUGAGGAAAGGUUGUAUGUGAUACAACCAGAAGGUUUUGUCGAUCCUAAGGAUGCUAACAAGUAUGCAAUCUCCAGCGAUCCUUCUAUGGACUAGAGCAAGCAUCUCGGAGUUGGAAUAAGUACUUUGAUGAGUGAUCAAAGUUUUUGGUUUAUAAAAGUUUAUGAGAAACUUGUAUUUCCAAAUAAGUUAGUGGAAGCACUCUAGAAUUUCUGAUUAGUAUAUGUGGUUGACAUAUUGUUGAUCGGGAAUAAUGUAGAAUUUCUGCAAAGCAAAACGGGUUGUUUGAAAGGAGUUUUUCAAAGGAAAACCUGGAUUGAGCUACUUGAACAUUGAGCACCGAGAUCUAUGGAGAUAGAUCAAGACGCUUCAUAAAAUUUCAAUGAAUACAUACCUUGACAAGAUUUUUUGAAGGAGUUCAAAAUGGAUCAGUUAAAGAAGGAGUUUUUGACUGUAUUGUAAGGUGUGAUUUUGAGUAAGACUCAAAAAGCCUGACCACGACAGAAGAAAGAGAAAGGACGAAGGUCGUCCCCUAUGAAUUAGUCGUAGGCUCUAUAGUAUGCCAUGCUGUGUAACGCACCUGAUGUGUGCCUUGUCAUGAGUCUGUCAAGGGGUACAAAGAGUGAUCCAAGGUUGAAUCGUUGAACAUCGGUUAAAGUUAUCCUUAGUAACUAGUGGACUAAGGAAUGUUUCUCGAUUAUGGAGGUGAUUAAAGAGUUCGUCGUAAAGAGUUACGUCGUUGCAAGCUUUAACACUAAUCCGAAUAACUAUGAGUAGUAAACCACAUUCGUAUAGUGGAGCAGUCAUUUGGAAUAGUUCCAAAUGGCGCGUGAUAGCAGCAUCUAUAGGAUGACAUAGAGAUUUGUAAAGCACACACGGAUCUAAAAGGUUCACACCCGUUGACUAAAAACCUCCCUCACAAGCAAGACAUGAUCGAACCCCAUAACUGUAUGGGUGUUAGAUUCAUUGCAAUCGCAUAGUGAUGUGAACUAGAUUAUUGACUCUAGUGCAAGUGGGAGACUGUUGGAAAUAUGCCCUAGAGGCAAUAAUAAAUUGGUUAUUAUUAUAUUUCUUUAUUCAUGAUAAUCGUUUAUUAUCCGUGCUAGAAUUUUUUUUGAUUGGAAACUCUAAUACAUGUGUGGAUACAUAGACAACACACUGUCCCUAGUGAGCCUCUAGUUGACUAGCUCGUUGAUCAAAGAUGGUCAAGGUUUCCUCCCAUAGACAAUUGUUGUCACUUGAUAACGGGAUCGCAUCAUUAGAAGAAUGAUGUGAUGGACAAGACCCAAACUAUAAACGUAGCAUAUGAUCGUGUCAGUUUAUUGCUACUGUUUUCUGCAUGUCAAUGUAUCUAUUCCUAUGACCAUGAGAUCAUGCAACUCCCGGACACCGGAGGAAUACCUUGUGUGUAUCAAAUGUCGCAACGUAACUGGGUGACUAUAAAGGUGCUCUACAGGUAUCUCCAAAGGUGUAUGUUGGGUUGGCAUGGAUCAAGACUGGGGUUUGUCACUCCGUGUGACGCAGAGGUAUCUCGGGGCCCACUCGGUAAUACAACAUCAUAAUAAGCCUGGAAAGCAAUGUGACUAAGAAGUUAGUCACAUGAUCUUGUAUUACGGAACGAGUAAAGAGACUCGUCGAUAACGAGAUUGAACUAGGUAUAGAGAUACCGAUGCUCGAAUCUCGGGCAAGUAACAUAUCGAAGGACAAAGGGAACAUCAUACGGGAUUAACUGAAUCCUUGACAUAGAGGUUCAACCGAUAAAGAUCUUCGUAGAAUAUGUAGGAGCCAAUAUGGGCAUCCAGGUCCCGCUAUUGCUUAUUGACCAUAGAGGUGUCUCGGUCAUGUCUGCAUAGUUCUCGAACCCGCAGGGUCUGCACACUUAAGGUUCGGUGACGUUUCAGUAUAGUUGAGCUAUAGGUGUUGGUAAUCGAAAGUUGUUCGAAGUCUCGGAUGAUAUCCCGGAUGUCAUGAGGAGCUCUGGAAUGGUCCGGAGGUAAGUAUUGAUAUAUAUGAAGUCAUGUUUUGGUCACUAGAAAAGUUUCAGGCUCAUCGGUAGUGUACCGGGAGUGCAGGAAGGGUACCGUGGACCGUCGGGAGGGGUGUCACACCCCAAGGGGCCUUAUGGGCUGUGGGAGGAUACAAACCAGCCCCUAGUGGGCUGACAUAAUAUCCCACUAAGGCCCAUGAGGUUUGAGAGGCAAAAAACGCAAAGGUGGAAAAAGUGGAAAGGGUUUCCAAGUGGAAAGGAGGAAUCCUACUCCUAGUAGGAUUGGAGUAGGACUCUUCCACCUCCAAUUUUGGCCGAACCUUGAGGGUUCGAGGCUGCCUCCUCCCCUCCCUCCCUCCUAUAUAUACUAGAGGUAUUGAGGGUUUUUGAGACACAAAAAACAGCCACGUGCUGCCCUCUCUCUCUAGAUUUAUUUCUCCUCUAGUCUAGUUUUAGCGGUGCUUAUGCGAAGCCCUGCUGGAAUAGCUCCACCACCACCAUCCCGCCGUACUAGAGAAAUCAUCUACCUCUUCGCCCCUCUUGCUGGAUCAAGAAGGCGGGGAGCGUCAUCGAGCUGUACGUGUGCUGAACGCGGAGGUGUCGCCCGUUCUACACUAGAUCGGGAUGGAUCGUGAUGGGAUUGCGAGAUGGAUCGUGAUGAGAUCGCGGGACAGGCUACGAUUUGGAUCGCAAAGAUAUUCCACUACAUCAACCGUGUUAUAUACGCUUCUGCUUAGCGAUCUACAAGGGUAUGUAGAUUCACUCUCCCCUCUCAUAGAUCAUCAUCACCAUGGAUAGGUAUUGCUUGUGCGUAGGAUUUUUUUUUGUUUCACAUGCAACGUUCCCUAACAACUUCCCAAUAAAAGCAUCUUUGCACUUAUGCCAAGAAUCUAUGCCAUUCCUAGGCAAGCAUUGAAGCCACACUUUAGCUCCUCCUCUCAAGGAGAAAGGAAAAAAGCUUAAGUUUAACAAUAUCACCAUCUACUUCUUUAUACUUUUGCAUAUCACAGAGCUCAACAAAAUUGUUCAAGUGCAAAGCAACAUCAUCUCCAGCACCGGAAAAUUGAUCUUUCAUAACAAGGUUUAGUAAAGUAGGUUUAAUCUCAUAGGACGUGGCUCCAGUGGCGGGAGCAACAAUAGGAGUGUAGAUAAAGUCAUUGUUGUUGUGACUAGUGAAGUCACACAACUUGGUGUUCUCAAUGGAACCCAUAGCAGCGGCAACUAGCAAGAACGAAGCAACUAAUAUUUUUGUGGGUUUUGGUAUAAGACUCUAAAGCAAAAACUAGAAAGCAAACUAACAAGACUAAAAAGCAAAGGUAAAGGAUAACGUGCAACUCCCCUAUCUUGAAGAAUGGAGCCACCGGCAACGGGGCCAGAAAACUUUGCUUGAUGACGAGAUGAUGUAUAUACUUCUCGCACCUCGUUGGUUACCCCAAGUGGAAGGUUGAGAUGUAGUCAGCGGCAAGUUUUCCCUCACACAGAGACUGUAAGGUUUAUCGACUAUGAGGACUACUAGGCUCAACAAGUAGGUGUCUCCCACCGUGGCUCUAGAAGAAGACUUGGACCUGCACACACAACAAAUAACUUUGCUCCCAAUGAGUACAAAGAGGUUGUCAAUCUCUCCAGCCUUGUAGUUUGCAAAGGAUCAAAACACAAUCGGGAAUAGCAAUAGUGAUUGCAACGAAAAAGUAAAUGAAAACGAUAAAUGAUGGAGGUGUAAGCAAUGAUGGUGAUAUGGACCGGAGUCACAUGAUGUUCACUAGUGAUGUCUCUCUCCCAAAAGACGAUAAACAACUAUGCUUGGGUAAACAAAUUACAGAUAGGCAAUUGACAGAAUUAGAAACGCACCGCAAUGCUAAUUAUGCUACUUGAAAGUUAGAGGCUCAAUAGUAAUGGGCAGUACGCCAAGACAAGUAGACCAUUUAUUCAUCAUCAUCUACUUACUAAUCAUCCACCUUGAGAUAUCUAUCCAGAACAUCUCGCCGGUAUUAAGUUGCGAGCCCCACCGAAAGUGUAAACUCAAAGCAACGAACAACUACAUUAAUGAACUAUGUGUAAGGUAAACAAUCCUUGCAACUGUGGUCACAAGCACCGUUGUUUUCUCCCUGGUGGCAACAACACAUCCCCUAGUCUCAUGUUUCUGUCACUCAAGCUAGACAUCGAGGGGCAUGGACCCACAAUCAUGCAUAACGCUCCCUCUUGGAGUUACAAUCUACUACUCGGCUAAAGCAAUAAAUAGCAAUGGAGAACAUGCACGAAUCACUAAGGAACAUAAUAUAAAAGGAUAAUCAAAUAUAUAACUCAUAACAAUCUGAACAUAAUCUCAUAAUCCAUCGGAUCCCAACAAAUCGAGCAUAGCAAUAGCAAGAGAAUUACAUUGAUGCCUUGAUCAUGUAUGGCAGCUCACAAGGACUAACCAUUGAAGCACAAGAUUGUAGAGAAGACAUCACAUAGCUACUAGUCAUGGACUCAUGGUCCAAGGAGGACUACUCACGGCACGUCCGGGAAGUGUUCAUGGCGGUGGAGAAGCUCUCGGAGGUCAAUCCUCCCUCUGACAGGGUGCCGAGAAGAGGUCUCCUCACGCUCCCGAUCUCAGAAGCGUUGCGGCAGCGGAACGAUGGAGAAAUUCGCGAUUCUGGAUCUGAUGUAAGGGUUUUCUCUCGGAGGAGUAAAUAUAGGCGAAAGGAGGGCACCAAAGGAGGUGGGGCCACCCAGACAUCCUCUUGCCGCGGCCUAGGGCUUGGUCGCGCCCACAGGUCGCCUGGGAGGCCCCUGGCCCCCCUGUGGCCCAUCUUCAGUGAUCUGGAAGCUUCCGUUAGGCUGAUUUUUUAUAUAUUUUUCUUGGAAUUUUUCGGGCUUCGGAAAAUUGGGUAAAAGCCCCUACAAAAUAGAUAUUAGCAGAUAGAAACUGGCACCGGGUGCACUAAGUUAGUGGGUUAGUCCAAAUAUGUGUAAAAUGAUAUAAAAGUGUAGCAAAACAUAUAACAAUGUCACCUAAAAGAUCAUGCAACAAGCAGAAAUUGUAGAUACAUUUGGGACGUAUCACCAGCCCCAUUGGAUCCUGCUGUUGGGUUUGUAGUGGGCCUAUUUGACUCAUUUGGGUGAAAAAAUAUGCCUACUACAGGUCCAGCGGCUGCUGUAGGUCAGCCAAUUUUUUUUACAAAGUUCGAACAUAUAGAGAACAGUAAUAUUAAGCACUAACUAGCAAAAUAAACAACUAUAUAGCUAUUUUUUGAACACAACAAUAUAGCUAUGCUUGGUCUCACUUAAGCCAGUUUUUGUAGAGAAGGUGAUUUUUUGGACCAUCUCCAAAUGACCCCAAAUUUGUUAUACAUGACCAAAUACAUGUGCCAAACAUGGAUAUGAAAGAAGAUUUCAAAAUAAAUUUAGUUAUCAAUGCCCCAUUAAGCUAUAGUCUUAUUUUUUCCACGGUAGGUCUAUAGGGCAGUAUAAAUUGGAAAAAAUUCAAAAAAAUGUAUAAUCUUCAAAACCUAGCUAUGGUUGUGUAAUAGAACAUCCCUCUAGCCUAUUACCUUUCUCCAUCUCUUCUUUGCAUAACUCACAAAAAACGGUUAUGUGAUGUGCAUUCCAAUUUGCCUUUUCCUUUUCCAUCUAAUUCAUAACAAAGGUUUCAAGCAUAUAACCUAAUUUCCAAACACUUUUAGUGCACAUAUUUCUGCCAAACAAUACUACUAGCGUGAGAGCUUGACCACUAGUCCACCACCACCAGCAGGGCGUGACCAGCAGUAAAGAGGAGAAGGGAGGCGGAGCUUGACGGGGAUCACGGGGCUCACCUGUGUGGGAGAAGAAGAGCACGGGGGGGAGGGGCAAGAUCCACAACGCGAGGAGGUCGGAGGCCAACGGCCAACGACGCGAGGAGCGGUGCGAGAAGGGGUGCGAGAUCCACAGCGCGAGGAGGUUGAAGGCCAACAGUUGGCGGUGUGAGGAGGGCCGGUGGCUCGAAGAGCGGUGCGAGGAUGGGUAUCACGAUAGCGGAUGGGGGCGGGGCGGAGGUGCCGACGGCGCGCCGGUCGGGACGAGGAGCCACACCGACUGUCAGCACAUGGUGGUGGCAUGGAGAACCCUAAUCGCCAGAGAAGAGGUGAUGAGAGUGAGUCCUGUCGAGCAGGGUGAAUCGGGUCGGGUCGUGUGGAUCGAUUGGAUGGUAAACAUGGGUAAUUUCAGUCGAACUUCAGGGGUAUGUUAGAAGAGCCACGCAGCGGAAGCCACGAAAGCACCUCCGCGGCCGAUUUCUCUCAUACGUGUAUUUUCCGCCGCGCUAUGAUGGAAUCGAGCCGGUACUUUUGCCCUUUGGUUAUGAUUCGGCUUUCGAGGAGCGGAAUCCAACUAGAAAAGCUAAACCAAAUGGGGUGUUCGUCUAAUCUACUCCCUGGUUCUGAACUCCGUGUUGAAUCAAGGUUGUGCUUAGGGAAACUUCAACGGGCCGACCCAAACGAACGACGAUUUUUUCUGCUUUUUGUCUGUUUGGGUCGGCCGCCCGCCCAGCGUUCGCCCUGUUUUAGAUUUGGGUCGGCACUGUGCCCAAUGCGUCGAGCCAUAUGUGCCGGCGUGGCCGGCUGCCACCCUAUUUCAACAAAUAGCUCAUUUUUGCAUUGCUUUUGCAUUCAAACAUAUAGUAAAAUAAAAUAGCAUAGUUUCAACCGAAUAAAAUAACAUAGUUUUACAAGUCCAAUAAAGAAGAUACAUCUAUUGGUUGCCAACAUGAGCCCACAUAUGCUCAACCAAAUCAUUUUGCAGUUGCACGUGAGUUUUCUAAUCACGCAUGUCAUGAUGAAAUUGGAUGAAUUGUUCAAACGUUGCCGCUCCGCCAUGCUCAUGCACAACAUUCUCAUCCUGAAACUGAAACCCUUCAUCGUACAGACGUUCUGGACGCUCAUCUUCUACGAUCAUAUUGUGCAUGAUCACACAAGCAGUCAUCACCUCCCACAGUUUCUGCGUGCUCCACGUAUUAGCACGAUACCGAACGAUGCCCCAUCAAGAUUGCAAAACAUCAAAGGCACGCUCGACAUCCUUUCUAGCACUCGCUUGCUCUUGGGCAAAACUUUUCCUCUUCUCCCCGACAGGAUCAGCGAUUGUCUUGACAAUAGUGGUCCACUGAGGAUAGAUACCGUCACCCAGGUAGUAUCCUUUAUCACUGUGGCCGUUGAUAGUAAAGUUCACAGGCGGGUUGUUGCCUUCGGCAAGCCUAGCAAACACCGGCGAGCGCUAAAGCACGUUGAUAUCAUUGUGUGAUCCGGCCAUGCCAAAGAAAGAGUGUCAGAUCCAUAGAUCUUGAGACGCCACGGCCUCUAAUAUGACAGUGCAAGCCUUGACAUGGCCAUUAUAUUGCCCUUGCCAAGUAUAAGGGUAGUUAUUCCACUCCCAGUGUAUACAGUCUAUGCUGCCAAGCAUCCCUGGGAAGCCCCUGCUGGCAUUCAUCACCAACAAACGAGUUGUAUCUUCAGGAGUCGGCUCUCUCAAGUACUCAGGGCCAAACACAGCAAUAACAGCCUUGCAGAACUUAUAGAGGGACUCUAGGCAUGUAGACUCGCUCACACGGAUGUACUCGUCAUUGAGAUCACCAGGCACUCCGUAUGCAAGCAUUCAGAUGGCGACAAUGCAUUUCUGAUAAGAGGAGAAACCAAUCCUUCCAACGGCAUCCUCUUUCUACUUGAAAUAGCCAUCGUAGCCGACCACCCCCUCUCUAAUACGAUUGAAAAGAUGCCUACUCAUAAGGAAACGAUGGCGGAAUUUCUGAUGUUUGAACAACGGAUUUGUUGUAUCAAAGUAGUCCUUCCAAAGAAGGAGAUGCCCGCUCUCUCGGUUGCGACUCAACGUCGGACGGUGGCCCGGAAUGGAGCCACGGAACAACGGCCGCUGGCUAUUGAGGUGGCGAUGGACCAACACGGCAGUCAAUAUCUCCUCCUCGUCAUCGGACGACGAAUCGUCGGAGUCACAAAGGAAAUUGUGAAAAAAAAACUCGUCGACGGAGUCCAUUUUGUACCUUGGCAAACUGUCGAACAGCUUGCGGGCGUCGACGAAGGAGACGAACGGCGAAGGGAGUGGUCGGCGUCCGGCGAGCGUGCUGGUGAGGCUCUGGCCGGAGCAGCGAGGCGUCUUCUUGGUCGCGGUCGUGACCGGCGGCUGGCAGAGUCGCCGGAAAAAAUGGGCGGCGACGGCGACGACGAAGGGGGCGAUGGGUUCCUAUGCUCGAGGUAGGCGACCUCCUCCGGGCGCAGGGCGUGGGGAUAGACGACGGGGGGCUUGCCCUUGUUUUGGGCGGAGCCGGCCAUGUCCGCUGGCUAGGGUUUGGUCGCCGGCGAUGGAGCAGAGAGGUGGCGAGAUGGGGACGGGGUCUGCAUGCAGAUGAGGCCGACCCCCAUCGCACGCUUGGAUUAAUAAAGGCCGACCGCGGUCGCUGCCGCGUGGGCCCGUGAAGGAUGGUUGUCAUUAAUUAAGUUGACCGUGGGUAGUUGAACAAUCAGUGGGUGUGGAUGGGGCGGACACUAAGAAGAGACGCGCGCGUCCGCUUCGCGUUCGUGUCGACUUAUUUCAGUCCAAAAUUUAGAUCGAAAAUGGAUCGCGCGGAUGCGAAGCAGACACGUUUUGACAAUGAAUUCGUACUUUAGGCCGUUAUAUUUGACCGCACGAAUCCAAACGGACGACAACAAACGAAAUGAGUCGCUUGUUUGAAGUUGACUAGUAAUAAUGCACGUGCAACGCACGUAUCCGUCAUUAAAUAUAAAUAUGAGUAUGCUUAAAGUAUCCGAAAUUUAAAAUCCUUGUCCUAGUAUAAUUUAUAAUAUUUUUUCAUAAAUGGGAACCUAUCUAGAAGUGUUCUAGUAUGAUAUUUCGGAGAUAAAUUAUAAUUGAAUAUAAAAAUCUUAACAUUCCUUUUAAAAACCGAUAAAUGCAUUAAGGAAACCAAAUGCUAGGUGUAUGCAAAAUGCACUUCACAGAUUUUUACACAUGUCAAACCCUAUGUCGAAUACAGAUCUGUCUUUGCAAGGUGCUCAACAUAGAAUGUUUUUCUUUAGAGUAUUUGCCUAAAAAAACUACAACAUCACAAACUGCGGGCUCAUAGAGAAAGAUCGGUUUGAUAUACUAAAGAGGAAUUUAAUAUUAAUAUGAAAAUAAAUGAGGUUACAUCUGCUUUUAACAUGGUAUACAUAUACAAUCCCCCAAAUACAAAUAGGACUAUUCAAACAAGACUUCAAAUCAUAAUCUGAAAAUGAGGAGGGGCACCUAACUUUGGUGGCAAACAGAGCACAUGGUCAAUCUGACCUGAAUAAUCACAUGCACCUGUGCAAAUGCACGUACAAACGCUGCUUAUACUAUAAUCAAGUUGUUACUAUGUACAAAUAACCAUGUCAAAAAAUAUUGCAUGGCGAUCAAAUAUUGUAAAUCAACUACAUAGGUUCACAUUUUCACUCAAAAAACAGGACAAUGAAGCCAGGAAACACUGACACUGGUGUCUCCAAGCAGUUUAAAGCAAAAUCCUGCCACGCAAUGACCUCACUAUGCGUGUCGCUGAUGUCGGUUGCGUCUUUGUCUUCCAUGCAUGAUAGAAUAAAUUUAUGGGGCAUGAAGAUGACAAUAACUGCACGAGGAUCGCCCCAAGCUAAGCUACGCUCGCCUGAAUUGGAAUUUGGCAAAGAGCAUUGUUGUAUCAUCACUUAUGUCAUAAUUAGAAUAUAUGACAACCAUCUUGCAAACAGAAUAUUCACUUUAUCAGUUUUCGUAAGAAAAAUUGAAAAUCACAAUCCAUCAGUGUGUUAUUCCAUCUAUCAACACAAGGCCAUAAAUUUUAUUUAACUUUGAAUCCAGAUUUGCCUGUUUAUUAGCAAAAAGAGUCUAUAUUUGGAAAAGGAAUCAUUAUAUUCGAAAAUGCAUUUGGAGAACUUCACACGAAAAUAAUAAAGCACUGUAGUCAAAUAAACUGGAGAUCGUUGGAAAUAAUAGUAAAAUUGAUCACGAAAAAAUGAUUAACAGAGUGCUUGUAAGGUAUCACGACAUGUAAGGCAAAUGCUUCCCUAAAUAUAAUACGACAAAUGUUUUAUGCGCACCAAACAUAAGUACUAAAUGACUUGGGUCCAACAGUUCUAGAUGUGUAUUACCUUUUAUGAAGAUUGACAAAAAAAUGUAGCAAACACCAACAACAUUUACUUGCUCCAAGAAUGAUGAUAGAUGUGAAUCGUGUGGAAGAGCACACAUAACCAUGUAAAGCAUAAUGUCGAUACAUGAAACAUCUUGAAUUUUCUUGAAAAAGGACACAAGAACUCUUAUUAUGUCAGCAAACCUUCAGUCUACAACAUAUGUUUAUCGUAACACAGAUUAAUCUCAAGAGAAAACAUACUAAACAAUAAAUUUACCAGCAUAAGGCAAGGAAAAUAUUUUCAUUCUUGCGCAUAUAUCAGCAUUGAACAUAAUAUUAAGAAAAUGAUACUAAAGUUCAUAUGGAGAGAGAAACACAACGUUCCGGAGUGUAGACACCAAAAAGCAUCUCCGAGUGAAGAUGUACUUACUUUAGGCUCAUUUCUGCAAGACUCGAUACUGUCAAUAGGAGAAGACGGAUCUUGUGAAUUUCUUUUAUACGUGGUCUCUCUAUGGAUAUAGUAAAGGUUGAGAAGACGUACAAUGUCAAUGAUCUUAGGGAGUCCACACAUUAUUGGUAAUAGUUUCCCAUCAGUCUCAAAAUACUAUAUCAAAGACAAAUAAAGUUCUCUUUGUACUUCGUAACUUGAAUGUGCCCAAAUAUGUGGGUUCAGGUUAAUUUGUGGAAGAGAAUAUUUUAGUAAAGCUUAGGACAUACCUGAAAGAGCGGAUAGGUUAGUAAUAUACACAUGUCCAAGCAAGAGCCAUAUAGAGAUCACCAAGUUUGUCAAAAAAUUCAAGAUGUACAUUUGUAGAGAAAGGGUCUUAAAAUUUAGUACCUGCGGUGAAACAGAUUUUAGCAAGAAACCUAAUGUAUCAGAAAAGGAAGAAAUACAGAGGCACUGUCGACACAAGAAUUAUGUCCUCCAGCAAACGCUGCGAGCAUCACUUUGUACCGUCCAUGAUGGUUGACUCAAGCUUGCUCUUUUCAACAUUAUCAAUUCCAUAAGGCACGUUGAACACAGUCCUAUUAUUGUUGCUCCCUAGCUAGAACCAAAAUCAAACAAAGGAGAGACAUGGUGUAAUGAAUGUAAGUCUCCAGACAGUACAAAUCAGAAAACCAAAUCGCAAAAUCCCAGCAUCUACUUUACUGCGAGGAGCUCGCCGGUGUCCAAAUUUAUCCCGAGGUAGACAACGUACCGGAGCCGAUCAUCUCGCCCUUGCGCCAUCGGAUCGGCGGGAUCUCUCCUGCACGUCCGCUCCCAUUGACACGCACGGGCAUCUCCGGCAAGAGGCGGCGCGUCGGUGAGGGGCUCUUGGAGAUGAGCUCGAGCAGCCCCAUCCCCUAGUCCCCUAGAUUAUAAAUUAUUGUUUUAAUCACUUGAAAAGCACAUGAAGGCUUUAUUUCUUCCAAGUUUGGUAGAAAGAAACUGGUCAUGCAAAUCCUCUAGAUGAUAGUCGACCUUAACAGCAUAUUGAACAUCAAUCUUACCAACUUGGCAACUUGCUUAGAUGCCCCAAAAUCGGCAAGCUUAAUGCAGCCUUUGCUAUCAACAAGAAUGUUUGCACGCCGAAUUAAAAACAAUCCCAUGAUCAUGAAGAUGAUUAGCACAACCAAACAAUCAGUGAUACAAAGAUUCUAGUAUAUGUUGAGGCUUCAGAGUUUUUACCUUAAUGUCUAUGUAUCAUUGCAUUGUUAUGCAGAUAUUCCAACCUUUGCAAAAUAUGACUGAUAUACUUCCUAAUCACCUGAUCAAAACAUGCAACGAAUCAAUUUCUCUUCUGUGAGUCAAAUUACAGUAAACAACACGGAUUGAUGGUUACUUACUGCCUCUAGGAAUGAACUGAGUUCUCCAAGAAGCGAUUGGAUAGACCCACCAGGAACAAACUCCAGCAGGAUAUUCAGUGUGUCUUCCUCACGCACAGUCCCAAGGUACCUCUUCUCAAACCGAAGAGAGUAGAUCAAAGAACUACUUUACUGUGAGCAUCACUCCGGUGUCCAGGUUGACCUAUUGAUCUCCUCAUCUGUCGACCUCCUCAUCUGUCAAUCCUAACUCAGCACACCAAGCCUGCUGCUGCCAGGACCGGCAAUUUUUAUAGAUCCGCAGAAUAACUAAAUCAUGUCACGUGUCAGCAGCUUCCUGCAGUAUAUUUUUUAUGUCUACCCACACUUAAAUUACAAAUGCAAGAUUCUACACAUCAACCAUUUUAGCCUUAGACAUCAGGAAAUCAUUUGCACUCAGAAUUCUCUAUUUUGCAGAUUUUCGUUAACUGAAUUAUCAUGUAGCAAACACAUGAAGGAAAUGCGUUUUGUGCUUGCCCACCUCCACCUACUGUUCCACAAUUGCUAUCAAAUAUACUAAGUAUCACAAAUAACGCAUGGCAAAGUGACUACCUUCUUGUCCAGCCGGGAGUUUAUUGGUCAACUAACCGAUGGAUUGCUCGGAACCCUCCGCCGCGGUCCAUCAUCUGCCUUUGUCGCGGGCGCCCCCUCCGCCGCACGGAUCUGCCCGUCGGUGCUUGGUGCCGCCAUGGGGACAGCUGACCUGCUACCACGGUAGACAUGCCCGCCGACGCCCCCUCCGCAGCACCAUUUGGGGAAACCUGGUGGAGCCGAGGAAACCAAGGUAGACAUGCCCGAACGCGCCGGAGCCGACGCCACUGGAUUAGCGGGAUCACCCCCGCUCGCCCGCCCCCGUCGGUGGGCACGGGCGUUAGAGGCAGCAGGCGGUGUGGCGGCGAGGGGCUCUUGGGACGGCGGCGGGGCUGGGCAACCGGGGGGGAGGGUUGCGAGGGCUGGCGGGGCGAGGCAAGCGUCGAGCGACGGCGACGGCCACGCGAGGCAAGCGUUGGGCAAGCGGGCUGAGCGGGGGCGGCGGCGGCGGCUGCGCGAGGCAAGCGUCGAGCGACGGCGACGGCGACGCGAGGCAAGCCGUGGGCUAGCGGCCUGAGCGGGGGCGACGGGGGCACGAGGCGAGCAGGUUGAGCGAGGAGGUGGAGCACGGUCAGCCUUAGUUUAUUUGGUAAAUGCACACGGUGGUGUUGCGUGGUGGUGGAAGGCGGUUAGAUUAUAAUUUGUUGUCUAAUUGUGUGGUGGUGAUUGAUGUUUGUUUUUGUGGGGGUAAUAGUUACGUGAACCUAGAGAAGUUUUCGUUUGAUCUUCUAUUAGUAGUAUAGAUGUGAAGGGUUGAAUUUAUCAAGUCCGAUGCCUAAGUUACCGUCGCCCGGGGCGACAGCAAAACGUACAACACACUGGCAUUGGAGCAAGGUGACAGAACGUGGACGAUUCAUGACCUCUUCGUCUCAUCUACUCCCUGGUUCUGAGCUCCGUGCUGAAUCAAGGCUGUGGUUAGUAGUACUGUGCUACGUACUACAUGGACACGAGCUAUCACAAGGCAAUGUCAGUAGCAGGAGAAAAGUAGUCCGAGCUCUUCCCUGAAAUUGUACCCGACAACCCCCACGCGAGCUAUCAAGUUCGGCACGAGCACAAGCGGCGCAUACGGCGCCCCCUACCUAACGGCCGGACGCAUCCACGAUCCACCGCCCCCGCUGGCAUCAAUUCGCACGGCUGGCACCAGCAAUCUCGUACUAGCGCUGCCUGUGAUGCGAGCGAGGCUAUCCUCGCGUGCGUCAACAAACUAUAGUCAGUCACUUCGUACCUAUCGCCCUAUCUUCCCGUCGCUGCCGGUGUCACCGUAUCAUGUCGCGUUCCGUCGCCGUUCAGCUCCAGGCGAGUGCGGUUGCUGGGGAAUUCCUCAAGUAGUUCACUCUACUAAGGCUUUGUUUAGAACCACCCAUAUUAUAUAAUUCAGUUUUUAUAAUCUAUUAUGUCUUCAAACAGAACAGCUUAUAGUGUAGAUUAUAAAAACUAAAUGAAUAGAUUAUUAAAAACUUAUAAUCUACUCUAUACCAGCUAAAAUCAGAUUAUGGAUUGCUAAUGACCCAUUACCCUUGUAAAGUUGGAGAUAAUUACAUUCUACCACCGACACCCUCCUUUUUUUUGAAAAAACAGAGGGCAGAAAGGUCAUUAUGCAAUGUAAAAUCUGGAUUACAGUUUGUAUAAUCUGACCUCCAAACAUGUCCACCUAAAUUAUUUUUAUAACCAGAUUAUAUAAUCUAUCUUUAUAAUCUAGAUUAUCAUAAUCUAUUAUGGUUCCAAACAGGGCCGCAUGUUAGCUGGGUUGGCGGCAUUGCGGAUGGACCGGAUCUCACGGUCUGCCUAAUUCCUAAUUCCCUUGGGACAGACAUACGUCGCUCCCGGAUUCCGCGUCGGAUUGGUCAUACACAAAUACACUCACAUGAUCAUGCGUGGCAGCCACCUAAUUACGGAGGAGUGGCCGGAGCAAUGCAAUGCAACGCAACGCUGACCCGCACACAUGCGUUCUGCUAAUCAGAUGCACGUGAUGCACGCUACAUGAUUGAUUGAUUGAUCGCCAGCAUAAGCGGGUGUAUACAGAUCAGAGGCGUCAGGGGGCUGCUGGAGCGCGUAUCGGCGUAUCACCCAGAUCAAUGCUUCACACACACGAGAUUAAAAUAGAUCGCGUCCAAAAACACCAUCACUAAUAAAACACUGAGAGGCGGAGCCGAUGGCCGUUGAGCCGUCGCGACGCGCCCACUGAGAAAUCUGGAGGGUGGCGUGUGCCGUGCGGUGGAGGUGGAGCCGAGUCACCUGAUGAGACCGGGUCGUCGUCAGCGAUCCGGCACCGUCAACUCCUCCGGUCAAUUUCCAUCAACUCACCCACUCCUCACCCAGUGACGGCAGGGUCUAGGCCACUUGCUUUGAAUGUGCUGCAGUUGGUAAAAUUGACAAAUUUAAUCCAGGAGUCAAAACAUUUCACAAACUAAAUUAUGUUUGAAAAAAAUUCAUUCAUCCAACCCUUUUGUGUGGCGGCCGACAGUUAUGCGUCACACUACACUGUGUGACGUCUUUGUUUUAGACGUCAUACUACACUAUGUGGCGUCUACGCCUUAUGCGCCACAUUAGGUCUCAAGCGUCACACAGCGUAGCGUCGGGCAUCACACAGUAUAGCGUGACGCCUAAGACAAAGACGUCACAUAAAAGGAUCAGUUGGAUGAAUUUUUUUAAACAUAGCUCAGUUUAGGAAUUAGUCUGAUUUUUAAGUCAAAAUUGUUGAUUCUACCGCUACAGCUACCUUGCAGAACGGCGAGUAUUUUUCAUGUCCUACGUGUGGCGUGGUACAACAUCGACGAAGACACGGAACCGUGACCGGCGAUUCCUCAACCAAACCGGCAGGGGAACAUGGGUGUAAAUUGUACUCGGUCCUCCUCCUCCGUGUUGUGAGAUAUUGACCAACAACAACGGAGUUUAUGAGCACUAGCACACAUCUACAGUAAUUACUCUUGAAGUUAAUCACUAUUAGUAUAUGUCUCUGUCAAAAUUGGAGUUUCUGACUGAGUGUCGGGAAAAAGUAAUCUUUGCCGGAGAAACUGAGCACCUAAGAUUAUACUUUAAUCAUAGCUGCUUUCCAACACAUCCCAUGGUUCCGCUUUUCGCAGCAAUUAUCCAAGCAAGUAGUAAAGCCGAGAUUUACCAAUAUUGCUUUCACUUCCAAACACCUACCGCAAAAUAAAAACACCAGCACCACUCACCAUCAAUCAACAACACAUCAUCAUCAUCAUUCCAAAGGAAGUUUUAUGCUCGACACAAUGAUGUCAUCAUCCUAAGUUAAUCUCCCAAAAAACCUUGUACGCAAUACAGCAGCCGGCAGCCAUCCACCACGUCUCCCGUUUCACGUCGGCGCUGACUCGGAUCCACGCCCGACUAGCUGCGCCCUCAUCGGCUGCGGCGUGGCACGCUGAUAUUUUAGGACGACCGCGACAUUCGCACGCGGGCCCAGGCCGUGAACGUCGACCGUCGACGUCCCCCACAGCUUUGUGCUGGCACAGGCAAGCUCAUUGUGUGUGUGCUGGCAGGCAGGUUAACCUCUAGCUGGAGAAGUGUAGGUCUCCGGCUCUCGACGUCGGCUCAGGGGUACGACGAAGCGGUAUGAUGACAUGGACAUGUCAUAUGUACAGUAUACAUCCAUCUAUACUUAUGGUGUAAUCAAGUUUACUUAUCUAUCUUAAUCAUUCAGACGUGCGAUGUUUGUGUACGUGUGCACUCGAUAUUAUGUAUGACACCGACGUGGCACCUCAGUUCGCGUCGAUCUGUUGGUCCCACUGUAGCAUAGUAGUAGUAGGCAGGAAUCAGUUUUGUCCUUCAGGCAAAGCAAACUCGCAGUUUGUUGCGGCCCGUUUCUUUUCCGGAGCGGAAGGUUCGAACCAUACAUUGAUCGCUCGUAGCGUGGCGCGUUCAGGACCGUCCGCCGCGAGUAGCUCCCGCCACGCACCGCCUCGUCCGGUCAACACGUGUCAGAGCUCUAUAACACGUACCCAUCCCGUACACAGGUGAGGUCGAACGGAGCACAGCAUGGACGGGCCAUCAUGGAGUUCGGUCACUACGUGGCCGGUUCUUCUUCCUUCUCUUUCCUACUCGAACUCGAAGGGGCGUGGCAGAUGCUUGCACUGAUGCAGUCUAUGUUGGCGGGGGGUGUAGAGGGUUAGCGGUAGAUGGGACCUGUGCCUGCAAAUCUAUCCAGCUAGGCACGCUAAGCAGUAGAUAGUGGUGCCACGUUGUUAACUUUUGUAGAGUGUGUGGAGCAUUGAAAUGCCAACUGGAAGGUUUCGCGCACGAUUAAACUUUAGAAAUUAAGUAUUUUAUAAUUUUUUGGAAUCUUGGGCUGACGUGGAGAUUACUAAAAAUUGAUUUAGAUCAGACAAGACCUUAGCGAAACAGAUCCUGGCGUGAGCGUGACAGGGAGCGGAAGGGCCAAACGAUCCUUCUAGAUAAGUUAGGUCUACGUACUCGAUCGGUUUCAAACUAUAAGAUGUGUAUUUCUUUUCCAAAACAUAAACUAGUGCAUGGUUGAUAAAAGCUUUUAGAAAAAAAAAGGUGAGUAUCAAUAUCUACAAUUAUUAGAUUCGUCAUGAAAAGUAUCUUUAUAAUUUAUUUAUUUUAUUUUUAUCUAGAUAAUGAUAUUUGUUUUACAAUAUUUGUCCAAUGUAUUUAAACAAUGAUACUUUAUUCCAUUGCCGCCAUGUUGAGCGUUUAUACGUGCACUAGCGUUUGUAUUGUGCUUAGAGAAAAUAUGAAUUCAAAACAUAUAUCGAUACGAGUUUGCGCUUUUUUAUAGAAAAAGGCUUUCAUCAAAUUUCAUAUGUAAAGCAAUGAUUAUCAACAACUCGAUACAAACACAUGUCAUCGCAACACACACAAACCCAAGGCCGUAUGCAUAGGCGUUGAAUGUUGGAGCAUCAUCGUAGGUACUACAAGAGCAAUCACACUCUUGUAUCCUAAACACGCCACCGCGAAGAUAUGGAGACGCAUACGACGAAACGUGGGCUUAAAGGCGACGCCUUCAGAAAAGAAACGAUACCGGAGCGCCGUCACCGCCCGGCCCGAGGGUAAGAAGUUUUUCCUAGAGCAACACGACGUGCAAUGAGGACCGCAAUGACGCCUUCAAGAAGGAUCGACCUUCUCCGCCGUCGGUCCGUCCAAAGAUAGAGUAGAUUUCACCCUGGCCAACACUCACCAUUGUUGAACGCCACACCCUGGCUACCAUGCCGCCCAGACACCCAUGAUCGUCGGACAACACCAAGCCACAAGCUCUGCCCAUGAACACCGCGCUACCACCACCAGUGUCGCCGUCCUCGCAUUCAAUACCUUGACACCACCUCAUUCGAGACCCACAACUACUCCAACCAAAGAGAUGAGUGGAUUUGGCCCCUCUUUCACACCCCUGGGUGCCCCCCGAGCAUCGAGAUCUAAUAGGUCGACCAAAAGUGGCCUCCAUCGACCCAUCCCGCGGCACCGGGCACGAGACGAGCUCGGUCCUAUCGUUGGGUGCGAGAAAAGUUUGGUCCCGCAGCACCGGGCGCGGGAGGAGCGAUGGACCGUAGUUGGGAGAGGGUCAACUCUUUGACGAAGCUAGCGCCCGGACGAUGAAGAGAGUGAUCGAAGGUCGAUACCAGCCGCUCAUUGACGGGCUGAUGUCGUAGAUGUCUACCUGCCAUCAUGAGACGAACCAUACCACCGCCAUGGGCCACCACCACGUCGUGGCAGCCAAAAUCAACCGAACCGCCCUGUAGCAGCAGCGACGCAUCAUCAAGGUCAUUGUCGCUCCCAAUACCAGGUCGCAACAGGGUCACCGCCAAGCCCCGCGUCGCAUGUUUACCUUCUGAAAGGACGUGGAUGUCGCCUAGAGGGGGGGUGAAUAUGCGCUUUAAAAUAAUUAUGUGUAACGACCAAGAUGCGGUCCUUUCCGAUCUGGGGGUCGAGGCCCCCGAAUAGGAAAGAAGCGCAUCUAAGCGUUUCGCAAGAAAGUGAACAUAGCACAAAAUAAUAAAUACAGUAGACAAUCUGGGAUUCAACUGUCUUCUUAUUAAAAAUACAGAGUACAACGCAGAUACAAACAAGGUAGUUCCGGUACGGACUACAAAACAGGGAAAAUGCUAUGCUACCCGCUGCAGGCCCACGUUCACGACCACGCCUCAGUCCUCGGGAUAGUUCACGUAAAGCCGGUCUGUCUCCUCGUCGUACUGCCACGCCAGCUGGGUGCCGUCGGGAUCAUCUGUCUAUGGGGUACCUGUACCUGCUGGGAGUUUCGGAGGAAUCCGUGAGCCACGGCGACUCAGCAAUCUAAGACCUUGGUGCCAGAACUAGUGAUGUUAUUGGGUAAGGAAGGGAUGAAGUGUUUCAGGCUGCUGCAACCUAUGAUUGAAUAAUUGGCUAACUUACGCAAAAGUGAAGUGAAAGUGGUCUAUGCUAACGAUCGAGAAUACUUGAUCAGAAAGUGAUCCUGAACACCUACCUACGGCAUUCAUAACCCCACCGUGUUCUCGAUCGAGGAGAGAUCUUCGAAGGGACAGUCACGGUUACGCACACAGUUGGCAUUUUUAUUAGUUUACGUUUAAGUUCUCUUAUACCGGAUGUUAACAAAAUAUUCCAAGUUGCCACAUAACCGCGGGCACGGCUUUCCGAAAGAUUAAACCCUGCAGGGAUGCUCCAACUAGUCCAUCACAAACGAACACAGGCCGCAAAGGCAUCCUCUAUCACGAAUCUCGUGAUCUCGUCGGAUUCCUUAGAGGAAAACCUCAACUCUGGGUGAAAACCAAAGCUUCACUGGGAUUCCUAUAUGCAAGAUAUACCGCUAAGGUAAGACAAGACUAGCAGGACCUCCCGACGUGUCGACGACCCUGAUAAGAGCCGCGUAUCUCAGUCUCAGGACACGCCGGAUGAGUCACACUACAGGUAUACCAAACCUCAGGUUGCCCUGUGGUGGCCCCAUAGUCUGCCCAGUUUUGACCAACACUCAUGAGGAGCACUGGCCCGGGUUGUUGAUUAAGAAAUCUCGGGGUAGCUACUCCCUAUGCAGAUUAUUAUUAAGUUGUUAGCAAAUUAACACCAAUGUUGGGUCCUGCCGGACAAGCCUUAACACUACGCGAUUUAUCAAGGGGGUCCCCAUAACAACCCCGAACGUGUUAGGAGCGAUCAUUAUGGAAUCAAACACCGAUAACCAGUAACUAAGGCGGCAAUAACGGAACAAGUCACCCGGCAAAAGGCUAGGCCUCCCGUCAUUUAUAUAGAUACAUUAAUUAAAUAACAGGAUUAAUAGAAUGAUAUCAAGCUCAUGUCAUCACAUGAGUUUAAAACACCUGCAACUAACAAUGCUAACAUUAGUAGCUGAACAAGCCUACCUAGCCAUGCAAAUUUGCUAGGAAAGAGUAAGGUGUUUAGGAUCAUGGCAUAUGAAGAGGCAACAUAUUUUCAGUGGUAGGCAGCGAGCAAUUUGACAUGGAAUCGAAACUAACAUAACAAGUCUAGAGAUGGAAUCAAGGUCAUAUCAUCUUGCCUGUGAUAUCCUCAGCUUGGAAUGGUUCUGGAUCGUCCUGCACGUACUCUCCUGACUCCACGUAUUCGUUCUUCGCUCCCGGUGCUACCCAACAUAAGAAAUAACAGCCAAUGAAUAGCAACACCACAAAAUUCAACAAUCACAUGAUGCAUGAGAUGAAAGUUGAGCAUGCACCACUAUUUCUAUCACUAGCACAAGCAAAAUAAACUACAGCCAGUUCCUGGACAGAACUUUGCACCAACUAUUUGGACAUGCAUGGGGAUGACAUGAACAGAUGCAUAUCAUAAAAACGGUGCAAAACCAUAUAAAGUACAUUGCAAACGGAGCUACGGAUCAACGGGAAUCAACGAUUCAAGAUAUGAAGCUCUACGUGAAAGAUUCAACACCACACACACAAUUGGCACAAAUCUGGUAUUCCCAGGUUGCCAAGACAUAUAUUAACCCAACAUGAAUGAAAUGGAACAAGGUAGAACACCACAACAACAAUUAAGCACAAACUUUGAACAAAAUGGCAAAACUACAUAAUCUGCCAGUUUCUGCAUCUUAGCUGUUUGGGAGCAACAUGCAACAUAGCUACAGGUCUUCAAAUAUGGCAAAUAAUAUAUUUGGCUGUUGCCAACCAAGAACACUACAAGCUCCAGCAAGAAUCACAGCAAAAGGAAUUAAACUCUAGAAGAUACAAGGCCACAAACUUUCCCAAAUCCAACAGUUCUCAGGGACUUAGUGAAAAUUCAUGCACCUGAGUUUCUGUUUCUGUUCUGAAGCUUUUGACAGCAAUCAAAACACAAGCUACUGGACUCCAAAUGACUUGAAAAUUGACAGGAAGCUCCACAAACAUACCAGGUUCAAACUACUAGCACUGAACUAAGUCCAGUUCGCAACAGAAUGACCAGCACAUCCUCAUCUACAGGGGAAGAAAAUGUUUCCAACAUUCCAGACUUAGUGAAAUUUUCAGAGUUCAAAAAUCUGGAAUUUUCCAGCCACAUGCCCACUUUGUUUAGGCAUAGUUUGCACAGACAUGUCACCAAGAGGUAGUUGACACCACUAUGGUGUUGAUCACAAACCCCUACUACUAUCACACAAAAAUUCAUGCCCUUGGGCUCCAUCUAUACCAUGGAAACAAAGCCCAAACUUCAACAAAAUGUAAAUGCAACUCCAUAAGGUAUGCUUCUAAGAUGACAAAUACCUAGGUGAAUCUUAUGUGCACAAUGACAAAGUGACAUGGGGGUUUGAACCCCAUGUUUGUGUCAUGCGCAUCAACAACACCAACACACACAAUACCUCACAAGCACUAGCAUCAAGCUCAACACAAAAUAACUCUAAGUUAACAAGAGAGUAUGCACACCCCCACAUAUGGGCAUGUGAUGGUGCACACUCUCACAAGCAUCACUAGGAUCACUCUAGGACUCAUGUCAUUCUCAAGGAGCAACCCCCUACAACAUUCUACCCUAGCUUAACUAGUAAGCUCCACCUACACAUGCUAACAAGGUAGCCACCUAGUGCAACUCAUCACCUCAAGUACAUGUGGGGAGGGGGAGGCAUCCACCCCACUAAAUCCAUGCAAACAAUUUAAACUACAAGAUCAACUUAGCCCACACCAAAGUUCCAAAGAUGGGGCUAUACAUGAUUAGCUAGUGCAACUUUCCACCUCAAAGCACAACACACACAAAUAGUACGACAUCUAGCAUCAACCCCUAUCAAGGGUAACUCCACUUACCUAAGGUGCAACCACCACAAAUAGCAUCACAAGGGUAGCAAUAUCAUCUAUCACCACUUAGUGUGCAAAACACACACACAAUUAAUCUAACCUGACUAUACUAGCAGGGAAAAGGAAUUAAAAGCCACCUUGCUGCCCAAACACAAGGAAGAGGAAGAACAAUUAAAAGGCAGCAAAAGAGAUAGCAAAAACAAAUAUCAGGGGUCCUGGGAAUCGAACCCAGUACCCCCUGGUACACAAGGCACCACCUAGCCACUGCACCAGCACCACUAUUUCGACAGAAAGGGGGAAGAGAACAGGGAAACAUGUCCCUGCUGCUCUUGCACAGGAAUAACAGGAAAAUCUGACAAAAAUACACAGCGCCAAGGGGGGGAUUCGAACCCACAACCUCUCAUCAGGCGCACACAUGGAACAACCACUGGGCUACGAUGUGAUUACUGACAGAGGGGGAAACUCGAACAAAUAUGCUAUUUGAAAUCGCCCUCUGUUACAGGGAACGCCAGCGACAGAGAAACUGACGGGAUACCCAUGCCGGUGUUGCCGCGCUGCGCUACCGGCGACGAGGAGGUUUCUCUGGCCACGGCGCUGCUGUCGCGAGGGGGGAGGAAGCCCUCCUCUGCGCAGCACACCCACGAACUCUGCACUUUGCAGAACAAGCCGCAACUACUGCAUCCUUCCAUGCUGCUGCUAGUUGAACAGAGAAAGUACGCACCACGACGGACCCGAGCCGAUCUGCGGAGGAGGAAGGAAGGGGGAAGGCGCGGCCUCACCUUGGGGAGAAGAGGGGGCGCCGAUCUGACGGAGAGGAGGCCGGACCGGGGGAAGAAGACGAGCCGAAGAAGUUCCUCCGUAGACCGAAGAAGAGGACGCAGUUCGUCGGGUUCGCGUCGAAGACACGCUCCUGCCCAUUGCUGUGGUCGCUCCCCGACCUCAACAACGGCGGGAACGGAGCGCGGGCAGUAUCCCCAAGCUCCCGGGCAUGGUGGCCGUGCCGCCCGACGAAGCUCGCGGGGGUAGACGCCGGCGAGCUCUCUUCUCUGUCUCUCUGCUAACCCUACAGGAAACUUACCUGGGGAGAAAAGGAAGAGAUGGAGGGGGAGGAAGGAGAUGGCGGCGGCAGGAGGAAACCCUAUUCGAGGGGGAGAGGGCACGCACGCCAACGCAUAUAUAAGGGGGACCUCGACGUUGCUUCUCACGGCGUCAACUCGCCUCUCUCUCUCUGGUUCUGACGGAAAGCAACACGCGCGGGGGGAGACGGCGUCAGGAAGGAGGGGGUUGCUUGCCUGGGCUCCUCGCGCUGGGAGGGAGACCUACUGGGCCAGCACGGGAGGAAGACCUACUGGGCCAGGGAAGGGAAGAAACACACAGGAUGUUUUUCUAUUUAGCUUAAAACACACAGAGAAAAAAAAUAAACCACAAGAUAAGAUGUUGUGACAAAAUCAAAAGGAAAUACCUGCUAGACAUAAGGAAUUAUGGCCCAUUAGAAUAAAAUAGGAAAGCAAUGUUUGGAGCCUUUUGAAAUAAAUGCAAAAACAGAAAUUAAUUUACUGUUUUGGGUUUAUUUGCACCUUUAAAGUUCAAAUAACAAGUCAGCAAAAAUACACCUCCUCAUAAACACAAUUUAAUCUAACCACCAGACAUUUUAAAAUCAUUUUUGGGAAGAAGGAAUUUUGACAUGAGAUAAUAGGAGGGAAAAGGAUUUAAAAUAGCUAAGAGCUUUUGAAAUCCUAGCACUCACUCCUACCCACAUACCAUUAUCACAUGAGCAUCAACACAAGAUAAUAACAAACCUCAACAACACUCCUAACAAGAUCACAUGCAUCUAUAUCACCACAAUACUAACUCCUAGUAGGAACAUAUGCCACCAUGAUCAUGACAUGCAAUCAUAAGGUAUGGCAUAGAAUCAAGGUAUGGCAAAGAUGGUAUGGCAUGGAUACAUUCAUGCAAAGAAAACUAAAAAUAAGAGUCACAUGAAAACACAAGAUCAAGGAGAUGACAUGUUAUGUUAUGCUAAGCAUGCAUGCAAGGAAGAUAUGCAAGGGACACAGGAAAUCAUAGACACAAGUGGCAUCAACAUAUAUCUGACAGGGUGGACCCACAUGCAACAGGUUCCAAAUAGGGAAGGUUCCACACUUGGGGCAUUACAUUAUGGUUUAGGCUUGAACAAAUGCGGAAUAAAAGUAACGUUUAAUUUGUCAAGCACAAAACCUACAACAACUAGGCUCAUCUAUGUGCACCAACAACUUGUGCUAAGCAAGAUAAACAACUAAGUGAUAGCAAGAUAUAUGACAAUAAACAAUAUGACUAUCACAAAGUAAAGUGCAUAAGUAAAGGGUUCGGGUAAGAGAUAACCGAGGCACGCGGAGACGAUGAUGUAUCCCGAAGUUCACACCCUUGCGGAUGCUAAUCUCCGUUGGAGCGGUGUGGAGGCACAAUACUCCCCAAGAUGCCACUAAGGCCACCGUAAUCUCCUCACGCACUCGCACAAUGCAAGAUGUCGUGAUUCCACUAAGGGACCCUUGAGGGCGGUCACCUAACCCAUAGAAAUGGCAACCCUUGGGGGCGGUUACCGGUACCCGUAUAAAUUGCUCGGGGCAAUCUCCAAAACCUAAUUGGAGACCCCGACGCUUGCCCGGAGCUUUACACCACGAUGAUUGAGCUUCAAGACACCACCAAGCUUCUAGGACGCCAAAGCAUCCAUGAAGAACAAUCUCUAGGGUACUAAGUACCAAAAGGUAAUAUGGCUUCUCAAACUUCACUUCCACGUAUCACCAUGGAGAACUCAAACCAAUGCAACUAAUGCAAUGGCAAGAACACACGAAGUGGACAAGUCCCUCACACUCAAAUCCCUCCACAACAAUAAAAGCUACGGAGAAAUAUAAGAGGAAGAACAAGGAGCUCACAAAGAACUCCAAGAUCUAAAUCCAAGGGGUUCCCCUCACAUAAAGGAGAAAGUGAUUGGUCGAGAUGUGGAUCUAGAUCUCCUCUCUCUUUUCCCUCAAGAACAAGCAAGAAUCAUUGGAGGGAUUGAGAGUAAGCAAGCUCUAAGAAGGUCAAAAUGGGGGUAGAACAUGAGCUCAACGGAUAGAUAAGGCCAAGGGGGAAGAAGACCCCCUUUAUAUAGUGGGGGGAGGAAUCAGACCAUUACCCCCACUCACAGCCCGAGCCCAGCGGUACUACCGCUGGGCCCAUGGUACCGCAAAGAUACUACAUGGCCAACCACCGCCAAGAAAGUCUUCGCAAAAAGUCCGACGUAGUACAGCCGCAAGGAUGACGGUACUAAAGUCUUGGAGCGGUACUACCGCUGGGCCAGCGGUACUACCGCCAGCUCUAGCGGUACUACCGCCAGGGCCAGCGGUACUACCGCCAGCUAUAGCGGUACGACCACUAGGGCGAGCGGCACCACCGUUAGGGCCAACAGUACUACCGUUAGGACUGGAGCGGUACUACCGCUCGUCACUGAAACAACCAUAACUUUCGCAUACGAGCUCCAAAUUGAGCAAACCCAAGCUCUUAAGGUCACGUAGAUAUGAAAAUGCUAAUGAUAUAGAGAUGUGAGUCCUCUAUGAAUGAAGAACCGGCAAAAACUCCAACAUCGAAAACAUCAUAGUAGAUGCAUAUGAACUCUGUUUUCGAUGAACUCGAGCUUGUCAUGAAGAUGACCAUAAGUUCUAAAACUCACAAAGAGAAACACCAAAUAAGAACCAAGAAGUAUGAUGCAAGGAUGGAAAUGGUUUGAGCUCUUAACGAACGAUACGAUCGAUCUACUCACUUGAGAGCCCCCCUUGACAGAACGACAAUCUAUCCUAAAACAAAAAACCUAUCAAGGGCAAACCUAUACCUUGCACCUCGUCCUCUUGAGCUAGAUGACGAUGAUCUUGGCUUCCUCAAUAUGGACCACCUUCUUGAUUGUGUUGACUUGAUGAAGACUAGUUGAUUGCUCCCCCAUACACAACAUGGGUGAGCCGCUCUUUAGUAUAUCUUCACAAGUCCAUUGCCACCACAAUGGACGGCAGGCUUCAAGCAUGAUAUCUUCGUGUUGAUCCACUUGAACUUGCACACCGCAAUCUUGAUGAUGAUCACCACUUGACGUCAUCCUUCAUAGGUUGUAUGAUAUCUUCCUCUAGACGCAAGCCCAUGGAGACACACCUAACCCCACAUAGAACUCUCACGAAGACCAUGGGUUAGUACACAAACACGUAAUGGACAAUGCUUACCAUACCAUGGGAUCACUUGAUCCCUCUCGGUACAUCUUGUACGCUUUGUGUGUUGACCAUCUUGCUUUACUCUUUGUUUGAGAUCUUGAUCAACCUUGUGUCUCUAUGACCAUUCUUUGGAUAAUACCUUGAAUACCAUCUUGGUCAUCAUAUAAACUCCUUGAACCCAACAAAUGGACUUCAAGAAGUGCCUAUGGACAAAUCCUAUAAAUAUAACUUAAGGCAACCAUUAGUCCAUAGAAAUUGUCAUCAAUUACCAAAACCACAUAUGGAGAUAUUUAGGACAGUAUAACCGAGCCUAAACGGAGACCUCUCACACCCUCGCGUUUUCUGACCGUUAAAUCACACAUUAGGGUCGUUUUUAACCGUUAGAUAUGCUGUCCUAAAGGACUGCUACUCCACAAGAAAAAUCUAAGACCUGUGGUUCAUGAGGCCUUUUUGCCGGCCCAUUAACCUAUAUGCCAAUCGUGAGAGCCAGCCAGAUUAUUAACCGGUUCGUCUAUAUCGACAGAAUCAUACCAACGCUCCUCACCCGACUUCUCAUCUCUCUCACGACCUAGAGUCCUCGACGAACCCUAGGUAUGUUGUGGCCAUACAGCCACCGCCGAUGGUUUGCCAAGGAAUCCUCGCGCUGGAGGAUGGCAGCGGCGGUGGACAUGCAUGGCCCGGCGGAUGCCAUCAUCAUUGGAGCCGGGGUGGCCAGAUCUGCCCUCGCCUACACGCUCAGAAAGGUGACAUGUUUUUUCCUUACUUCUCCGUCCUUCCAUUCCGCUGGUUAGGCACGAAGUUCUUGUUUUUUUAGACUCGAAACUUAUGGUUCCUGUUUCUUGCGAGAAGGAAGACGGAAUUUUUAUUCAACAAACAACACUGAUUGAAUUUUGUAUUCAACGAGGUUGGGUGUUGGCACUAGGAUCAAAAUUUCCACGAUUUUUCUGUCGGACCUCUUGAUUCAGUUCAGGAAGCCAACUACUCACCUUUUCAUCAAAAAGGUAAUGUGAUGUCUUUUGAUAUGGGUAGAUGUAUGCAAGUCAUGUGGCGGCCCUUGAUCUGGGACAGAUGCAUGUAGUGAAUAAUUUUAAUUUGUCGUAAUUCGACUGGUGUUUUCUUUGCGUGGUUUCCCCUUGGGUGAAAGCUAAGCCUCUAUCAUGCAGCUUCUUAUUUGUUGAUGUUGGGGAUGUGGAAUACAUAUGGUGUUGGGAAGGUGUUCCUUAAAUAUCAUGUCAUGCAAGUCUAAAUAAGAAACAAAUCUCACCCAAAAAGCCGUUGUACAAAAUCGAGCCGUGGUACAAUAUCAUGUGAUGCAGCUUGUCAAAUAAGUUAAAUAAGUUAAAGUGCCCAGCGAGGUUAUUGGUUUAGAUGAUCUUCGAUUGACUGCAUGGGCAUUUUUAUGAUGCUUGCUGCUUGUACACCUCUUUUUUGCCGGAAGUUUGGUAUGAUUUUCAUGAUGCGCAUUUCUUUAACUUAUCCUGGAGUAUUCAUUUUAAAAGUAUAUUUUUAAUUAAUUUCUAUUCAUAUCACAAGCUUGGUAUAUUGAUCAAUCCAUGUUUUAGAUGGUUGAUCUGAACAUUAGAACAUACAUAUUGUUAUGCACACUGCUUUUACUCAAAGCUGGUCAUGUCAUGCUUGAUCUCAGUGUAUAUCUUGGCAAAACCAUAUAGGAUGACAGACGAUUAUUAUUUUGCAAUUAGGAUCACAUUGUGGAGAUAGCAUCAUGAGAAGAAGAAUCCCAGCUUUCAUAUUGUAUCAGGUGAAGUAGUAACCUGUCUCUAGCUUUAUCAUGUCAUCACAGAUGUUUGGAACUUUAUUAUAUUUGAGUGAUGUCCUAUCUUCGUAUUCUAACACUAGCAGGGCACACAAUUCCUACUUGUCUAAUUUAGAGAAACAUAUGGGAACUACGUUUGGGAAAUGUUGUCGGCCUUAGGUUGCUACUAUAAGAAUGGGGUGUGUAUAUGACCACUUUUUUGUUAUGUCAACAAGAUUCAAGGACAACUAGGCGGGAUUUAUGACAUGGCCUUUACAACCUCCUAAUCUUUGUGACCAUCUCAUCUUUUAUUCAGAUCACUACUAACAAAAGAAAAUGUAAUUAUAUUCCAAUUUUCCAAUAGGGUGGACUGCUUGACAAGAUUAUAAGCUGAUGGGACAAUCUUCCUACCGCCAAGUCUAAUCCUAUAAUCCUGCAUGUGGAAUUAUUUCCUGUCUCACCAAAUUAGAUAUUCUCACCACUGAUGAUGAAUACGAGAUUAGUGAGGUAUUGUGAUGCUUUUUUGCCUUCACACUUUUGGUAGAAUUAAUCAAAUAAAAACAUUUUCGCUCAUCGAACACUUAGAGGGGUAUGGUUGAUGCCUUCAUGGUGUAUAUGCAUGAUGUCUUCAUUGUUGUUAACUAAUAAUGUACUAAUUCUUAGAAACACUAAUGAUUAUUCUGUGCACGCGUCUUAAAUGGUUUACAUAGAUGCACUUUCCAAUCAGUACUUGCAUUGUUUAGUUCAUUGUCUUACUUCGGCUACAAAUAAUCUUUGGACGUGAGGAAUAGCAGCAUGAGUUUUGCAGCCCAAUUUUGGCUCACAUUUUGGAUGCCCAUUGGAUAAGGGAAAUAAGCAAUAUAGACAAAUUAGAUGCUUCCAUCUAUAUCUGCUUUAAAAUUAAUAUGUUGUAGAAUGAGAUGAUUUCAUAUAAAUGUUUCUCUUAACUGAAAUGUGGAAACUAAGCUUUUUCAUGCAUAUUGGCAAACCGUGGAGCAGCUGGGUGAAGCUACAUCUAUUUCUCCCUAUAGGAAAAAUAAUUGUAUCUGUUUUUUACUUUCGUGUGCAACAUUAUUGUAGAGCUUACCCAACAUCCAUUUCUAUUUAUAGGAAAAAUAAGUGCCCGCGUGCCUCAUAGGAAGUUCGUCCGGUGCACAAUUAUUUGUUGAAAUGAACAUGAGCUUCUAUAUCAAAAUUAUCACAAGUUAACGCAAUUCCGUUUGUUCUUCAAAUUUAUGACUACUAUUUUUUUGGUUAUAUGCUAUAUUUUAUUAGGAACAAGGCUGAUAAAAGGAGUGAUGUUCUUCUGUGUGUAGUACAACCGUGGAUUAUCAAAAGUUUGCUUUUUGCAACAUGCCAAAAAGCAAAAGGAAUGGCCAUUUCAAACCAAGACACGAAGCAUGAGCAUUUAACCUUGUAUAGUUUCAGUUAAAUAUACUUAUUUAUCACAUUGGGAGUACUUUACAAGAAUUGUAUUGUACACCUUAUAAAUUCUAUAUCAAUUGCUGAUCAAGCUUCAAUGUGUUUCCAGUACUGUUAUUCUUUGAGGCAACCUCAACUCAAUAAGAGUUUAGAUACAGAUUUUUGCUUAUCCAGCCAAACUUUUAUUUUCUCUUAUUGAUAUAUGUAUAAAAAUGCCUAUCCUUCUACUGAAAAAUUGACGGGCGCUUGAGAUCUGAACUCAAACAAACCACAAACACAUUAGGCCUAAGAAAAGAAAAGCUCAACACACUUCUUUCUUGCAAUCUAAUAAGAUUCAUAUAUUCAAUUUUGUAUCAAUAUUUUUCAAAAAUUAAAAGACAAGCGCAAACACGAAAAAGCACAUUACUUCAAAACAUUGUAAACACAUGCAUACAAACUACUGCAAACUCCUAAUAAUUACAAGAGACAAAUUAGACGGGCGCGGCAACGCGCGCCUUCAACGAUCUAGUAUGCUCUAACACCUUCAAGACAUCAUCUUUACGAAGAGAGGCGACAACAAGGUUGAUCAAUACUAAGUCAACGAGUGAAUCAAGUUGAUCAACACACAAAGCGUAUAAGAUGUACCGAGAGGGAUUAAGUGAUCCCAUGAAAUGGUAAAUAUUAUCCAUUAUGCUUUGUGUACUAAUGAGGGUCUUCGUGAGAAUUCUAUGUGUGGUUAGGUAUAUUUCCAUAGGCUUGCAUCAAGAGAAAGAUCUCAUACAACCAAUGGAGGAUGACAUUAAGUGGUAAUCAUCAUCAAGAUUGCGAUGUGCAAAUCCAAGUGAAGCAUCAAGAAGAUAUCAUGCUUGAAGCUUGCCGUCCAUUGUGGUGGUAAUGGAUUUGUAAAGAUUCGUUCAAGAGUGACUCAUCCAUAAUGAAGUAUGGGGGAGCAAUCUACUAGUCUUCAUCGAGCCGGCGAAAUCAAGAAAGAUGAUCCAUCUCGAGGAGGACAACAUCGCCAUCAUCUUGCUUAAGUGGACUAUGCUCAAGGCAAAUCUUUGUCUUUGAUAGAUUUUCUAUUUUACCGGUGUGAGUGCAUGCAUGCUUGUGUGUGUGAUCCAUUGUGUAGAACUGCGAAACAUGAAAACAACAACAAUGAGUUCGCCUUCUUUUAUUUUAAUUAGCCUCUAAUUUAUUUUGACAAUCUUUCCUUUCCACACUUUGACCAAUUUAAUUUUAACGGUUUUGCUGGAGAUGCUUCGAGUUGUGGAAUCACCGGGAACAAUUUUUCAUAUUUUCCAACGUUCACUCUUUUUCUGCGUAAGUGGGUAGCCAUGCACGGAAAAGAAAAUCGUAGCAUGUGGCACCAGCAGCCGGCUGGUGUCGCCCGGAAGACCGAGGUUUCGAGAAACAAUCAAUCGGUCUCUCUACCGUAAAACACCCAAGGAUUUAAUUUAAUUAAAUUCAAUCCAUACUUACUAAAUUAUUAGGCAAACAGAAAAGGAAACCCGUGUGCGAACACGCGCGGCAUUUGCACCCCAUCUCCAGUCCCAGUUUAGUUUUGCGCCGUGGCGACGCGGUCUCGCGAUUUGCGUGCGUGCAUGCGGUAAUUGAGCCGGAUUUUCGGAUAAGAAUAGAUAAUCCCGCCAGCCUGUCUGCGCGCACCCUGCCGUGGAACUCUCCAGGCGCGACGGGGGCUUCGCUCCAGCUGUACCCCACUCCCUGCACCCACCGCACGGGCCCGUACACGUGGACCGCCCUCCGGUCGCCCACACCCAUCAGCCCCCCGUGCAGCGGACAGCGUCCACGGACAUCCCGUGUUAAUGGCGGCCAUUAAUCCACAUAGUACCGCACCGAGAUAUUAUCGCUGAGCAUUAAUGAACGUGCCCUCCGAGAUAUUAUCGCUGCCGCGAAGCGUCACAGACAGGUCCAUCCCGGAAGGUAUAAAAGAAUGUAAUUACCAAGUAGUUUCAGGGGGUAGAAAGGCAGCCCAGCCCACGAAACCCUAUCUACGGCCCAUUAACCACCCCCCGCCCUCUCGCCGUCUAUUUAUUCCCUUCGCCGACGCUUCCUCCGUCCGUCCUUCCGGUUUUAUUUAUCUCCCACCUUUCCUCUCCGACGACGCAUUCAUUCAUCGCUUUUCUGUGAAGCGGAACAAAUUCCCGGAGGAUUCCAUUCGUAGACGGGCGGCUGUGAUCACGAGCUUCCAUUACGGGCGCGGAAUCAUCGGUGAUCGGCUUCUUCGCGGGAUUCGGUUCCAUCUACAUACUACUACUACUACAAAGGGUGUCUGAGGUCGUUGCGACUGGAGGAAGCGGGGAGCCAUGGGGGCGGGGGUCUCGAGCUUUUUAUUCGGCGUUGGCGGCCCGGCGGCGGAGGCUGCGCCGGGUGCUGCGGGCCUGGGCGACCUGCCGGAGCUCUGCGCCGCGCAGGUGCUGCUCCGGCUCGACGCGCCGGAGAUCUGCCGCCUCGCGCGGCUCAACCACGCGUUCCGCGGCGCCGCGGGGGCAGACUUCGUGUGGGAGGCCAAGCUGCCGGAGAACUACCGCCACCUCAUCGGGUACGUCGAGGGCGGGGGCGAGGAGGGCAGGCGCCGGCGCCGCCGGGCCGGCACCAAGGAGAUCUACGCCAGGCUCUCCAGGCCCGUCUCUUUCGACGACGGCACCAAGGUUAGAUAUUCUUCUACAUGAAUAUAGGUCC
rnacentral:lncRNA from 1 species